UUGGCAAUGCUCUUUGUUAGGUCAGGCGAAAGAAUAGUUUUGAACUUUUCCUGGCAUUGUUUAGUCUGGGGAAAAUUCUUUAAGAAUUAUGAUGAGAAGCUGAAUCUUUGCUUCAAUCUGCCCGUCGUUUUCUUUUUAUGCUUUUCGAGUUGAUAACACUACUGAUUAUCAGCUAUAAUAAGCUACUGUCGUUGCAACUUGGCAAUGCAUAUGGUGAGUCAUUCGGUGGCUUCAUUUAUUAUUCGCUUGAGCAUCUCUUUGCUUAGUUAUUGGUACUCAAAAUACAACAAAAAAAUUUGUUCUCAAUGUCAAAAUUUAUUUGCAAACUGGACAAGUGGAUGCAUAGCAGUAUGAACUAUACUGUUACAAUUAUGACAAAAAACAACUACUAGGCUACAUCUCUAGAUUGUGCUGUUCCUACAUCUGCUUGCUUAAACUUUUUCCUCUGGAUCUACCUUAGAAUCAGCGUCUACCUGCUUCAUGUCUAUCUUUUUGUACUUGUACCAGGAUGAACACAUCAAAUAAACUCCGAAGUUGGCUACACUUAAACCUGCUAGCAACCAAUAGAAAUAGUUCAGGUUAUCUCUGUUAAGAUUGUUACUAGCCAGCCACCCGCCACUCACCUUGUUCACCACAUUCACUACUACCGUACUCGUGUAGUAACCAAAUGCCAAGGAACACCAGGAGAUGGCUGUGCUCAAUGACUUCAUGCCUGAUGAGCUCUCUGCAUAGAAGAAAUCCAGCAGUCCCACCAAUGUGAACAUGUCAGCCAUGCCGAAUAUAGCAUAUUGGAUGCCCAGCCAGAACACACUUAUAGGCAAAGGUUCGAGUGAGUCAACCAUGUUGUGCUCAACAGCAACCGAUUUCCUGCGGGUUUCAAUAACUCCAGCGACUGCCAUGGAUAUUGCAGAAAGUACAAGCCCAACGCCAACUCGCUGCAGUUGGCGUAUUCCGGUUGGUAUUCCUGUGAACUUCCGUGCUAUAGGGACGAAAACGUGCUCAUACACUGGGAUUAGGACGAACAUAAAGAACAGGGGAAUAAAUGGAAUCGAGGCUGCGGGCACUUGAAAGCCUCUGAUGCUUCUAUCCAUUGUUGUGCCUUGCUGAAUGGAGAAAGUUUGAAGCUGAGCCAAACAUGUAUUCAUAAAGACAGUGCUUAAUAUAACUGGGAGCAUGCGAAUUAGAAUCUUAGUUUCUUCAACUUGUGUGACGGUACAGAGUCUCCAGGGUCCAGGAACAAUGACUGUGGUUGAAUCUUCUGUACUCCUAACAAUUGCAGCCCGAUCCAAAAUUCUGAAAGACGUGGUUAAUGUGGUUAUUCACUAGAAAUUACAUCACAAGGAAACACUUAAAAAAAAACUGAUGAAAGAUGUCAACGUACUUGAACUGAUCAGUUCUAUCAAGAAUCUCAAUCUCAUUUCCUUUCCUGGCUUCUUUGUCACGUAUCUGGUGUAAAUCAUCUGCCAUUUCUGGGAUCGGAAGAUUUCUGUUUCUAAUGGCAGCAACAAAAACCUGAAUCAAGAGCGCCAAAUACUUGGCUUAGCGUUGAUUAAACUAUUACAGUAGUAGUUUAUACGCAGCAGUUGCUAAAACGGUGCAUACCUGUGCAAUACGAACAAAUGGACUUCCCUUGGGGACAUUAUUUCGGUAGAUUGAUCUUCCCAUGCUCAAGAACAGAAGUCCCAUUGUUACAGCAAUGGUACAAACACCAAAUGACCAAUCCCAUCCCUGAUUUGCACUUAUCCAUACUAAAAAUGUGACCCCAAGCAUAGCUCCAAUAGUGAUGGAGAAUAACAACCAGUUGAAGAAGCUGGCAAGUUUAGGUGCCUCCAGGGGGCUCCUUUCAUCAAAUUGGUCGGCUCCCAGGGAUGGCAAUGCUGCUUUUACUCCGCUGUUUCCAAACGCGAACAAAUAGAGACCUGCAAAUAAGAGGGCUUCUGGGCUUCUGGUUAUUGUCUCACAUUGAGUCGACUUCAGCGUGGCUGCAUCCUUGCAGAGAAUUGGUCUUAGUUGUGGAAAGUGUGCUUGCACUGUCAGGACAGCAAGUCCCUGAAAAAGUCAUAAUAAUAGGCUCAGCCAACAUCUUUCAAGAAAAAUAAAACAUUUUGCCUACUCGAAUUCCAUGCAUAGCCCAUUUUUAAGUACCUUAAGUAAAGAAAUAUAUUGCUAAAUAGUUAGUUGUAGUACCUAAAACAACUCCUAGCAUAAAACAGCUUUGGAAUCAUCUUACUCUACGGGAAAAAUUAAGACGAAAAAGGAUACGUCUUUGUCAGCAUACUUUCAAGUGAAAUGGCAAUUGAUGAUUCUUAGCAUACUAUACUAUUAGUCUGUUGUUACAGCACGAAUGCUUCCUCUGCGCACGUAUCAUAUAUCAUUCAUCGAAGUUUUCAUUGUCUGUAGGAUGGGAGAGCGUGGACUGUGGAAGUGUUUGGGUGUUACACCAUGAUUAGGAAAUAACAUGCAUGGUUCAUUUAUUUGCUGUUUAUUGAGAAACAACCAGAUUAAUAUCUUCUCAUUUCUGCUUAAUAUAUUACAACUUGACCCUUGUCUUAUGACAGAAGGAAAGCUAUUCAGCAACCAGAAGUUAUGUCUGUACGAGGAUGUUGGCAUUGGACGACUCACUAGUACUCCAUUCCUAAAUGAAUUUAGUUGAGAAGGUGCUUGAAAUGGUUCAAAUUACAAGUUACACUUUGUUAGAUGAUAUUUCUGCGAUUAGGAAUUGAUGAAUUUAACAAGAGACAAGGGGAAUUUCUAAAGAUUAAGAAGAAAAGCUACAGACCACAAAUAUAAAUAUGCUUAUGGUACAAGCACAAAAGAGAACAGAUAUAUGCAUUUGAGGGAAAAAAUUGGUGUGGAUGAGACUUGAAGACUUUUACUUACCACAGCUUCUAUGCAUCCAAAGAGAAUGGAAGUCUUGAAUCUUGACAAGUAGGUAUCAGAUAUAAACCCUCCGAACAAUGACAGUAAAAAGGCUGUUCCCAUGAGGUUUGUUAGUGUAGUGGCCGACUUUGUCAAGCUGAAGUUCAUGUAUCCAUGGAAGUAAGUGAAUAAGCUCACAGCAUUAGAAAUAAAUGCCAUAUUCUCCAGUGAGGCCAUUGCUGCACACAGAUGAUCAAUCAGUUAUAGUUUGAAAAAAAAAAAAAGGGAAAUCAAGCAUAUAUAGUUUUAAAAAAAAGGAACAAGUAAAAAAGGAAAUGACUAUAACCACUAGCGAUUACUGAAUAGUGUAUUCGUAGUAGAAACUUGAAGUUAUACAAUAUACAAAUAAGGCAGCUCGUGUUCCUCCAAGCUUUGCUCGUGGCUUAGGCUGAGUUUCAAUGCAUAUGGCCUGAAUAUUAACAACCAAAAAAGUUGCUGAUCAGUUGGGAAAUUUCUUCCUUAUUGAAUGUACCACAAAGGGGGAAAAAGAAUUGCUAAAUGCAUUAUAGCUCUUAUGACUUAAUUGUUAGCAUGAACGAAUAGGCAAAUUCUACGCCUCAAACAAUUGCUUACCAUUUUGUUGAGAGCUUCUUUGGAAGCGGCCUCAAUGCAAGAAUGAAAAUGGCUUCUGCAAAGAACGAUUAGGGGUUUGGAGAAGUUGUGCUUUGAUGCUUUAUUUAUAUAGAGGCAUACGGGCACAACUACUCGGUCUUCAAAAAAAAAAAAUGACAAGCAAACCACAAAGGAAUCAAGGAGGCAUCUAUGCAAAUGAAGAAAACUUGGUGGAGUAAUGGGUUCUUUUUGUUUCUUCUGAUUGGAUUUAAUGUGUAUCGAUCCUCCGUUUCUGUUCAUUAAUGUGAAGUUUGUUAGCAAACAGCCUGUGACGUGCUUCUUUUGACUUUAUUAGUUGACAUUAGCAAAUGAUUUUGCAGAAUCCCGUGGAGACCGAGUUGGUUGCACACAGAUGAAAUUGCCCAUCACAAAUAUUAAGGUCAGCAUUCCAUGUAUUAGGCCAAGAACUGAUAAUCUUCAUGAGAAAGUGCCCUGGUUUGGUGGUAGGCUAGCUUUUCUUCUGAAAAAAAAAAAAGAAAAGAGCAUCAAGAAUUACAACAACUAAUCCCGUUUAGAUGCUUCUAUAAUCCUCUUGGACUGAGUUUUUGCCCUUGCCUCCUACAAAAUUAUCAUCCAUGCACACAAAUUUGAGUUUGAAUGGCCUUUCAAGACUACUCAGUAACUGGAAAAAAAGAAAAAACAUUUUUUUCCCAAGAUUGUCUUGUUGUGUUAGACCAAAUAGAAAUAGGUUCCAAAAUUUUAGACCAAAUGAAUGUUGUAUAUCUUGGCUGGUCUGCAGCAUAUAAGAAAAGAGAAAACAAGAAAACAAAAAUGAAAAUCUAGAGAAUGGUCAUUUGUCAGAUGUCCGGCCGGUUUACGUUCAUUAAUUUAAUGUAAUCCAAUAAUUAUGCUUAAAAAAUUUGACGUUGCUGAUCAUAUUCAAAGGCGUGCUGUCGUGGCGUCUGGAUGCCUAUUAUUACCCUCGUCUACAGCCCGAAUCUUCUAUGCAAGUCUGUCCUGCAUGCCAAAACAUUUAAACAUCUUGAAAUGGAAAACGUCUACAAGUUCUGAUCUGUUGGUAACAAACCAAAAACUAUUGGACGCUUGGAUCUUUUUCUCUUUUUAAUUUUUCCCCAAAAAAUAUGCAAAAUAGAAACUUAGCAAGAAUCAGAUCAUUUUGAUUGAAAGAGCCCACUUAUAGGAAUGAUACUUGCAGAUCAUAAUCGGAAGAUCCCAGACUACAGCUCUGACACAACUGCUGUGAGUUUUUUUUUUUUUUUUAAAUAUAUGUGGUGUUACAUGAGCAUGGUUCAAAGACUCGGCCGAGUCGUCACCGUUUCGGUCCCUCCGAUAUGGUACCGAGACGAUACGAUUCCGAGAUACUUGACUCGUCGAGACGUCACCAUGAAGGGUUGAAACGAUUGAGUUACACCGAAUCACUCCGAGUCAUCUCGAAUUUUUAUUAUUUUUAAUUAUUUUUAUUUAUCAUAAUUUUUAUAAUUUUUAAAAUAUUAAAUAUUUCAAAAAUUUGUGUCUCGUCGAGAUCGCGAUCGAUAUGCCGACAUCAAUGUGGAACGGUUCGAACCGCGACCGCGACUUUGAACCAUGUACAUGAGCUAACCUUCCCUUAUUUUGCCAAAAAUAAAAAGAGAAAGCAGAAACAUAUACUCCCGAAAAUGCUCAGUAGGUAAUGAAUGAUCUGUCGUCUGAAACUAGUCAACUGCCCUUAACUAGUUAGUUGCAGCUGUAGGAGUUAACCAUAGGUUUCCUUACAGGUUACAAUAUUCCCACCUCCCCGCCGCCCACUGCAUAUUUCCUGUCUCCCGAAUUCUUGGAAAGCAUUUGAGGUGAUCGAUCACACAAUUCAGUUGGCAAACUAUUAGUUGAAUUCAUUAAAUGGUGCCAUGCAGAAUUAAAAUUCUAGGCAUACAUUUCCAGCAGCCAGGUCCACAGAACUAAUUUUUCUCACUACUUGGGCUGAGGUGAUUGACAGAUGAAGCUGAAGGUCAUUUCACAAGCAAUGGACAUGGUUCAGAUUUUAUAACAUAGAUUAUGAUGUAAAUCAAUCCUUUUUUUUUUUUUUUUUGUUUUAGUGUUACAAUUAACCUCAACUUCAAGAAUAAUAAAGAAGAUACUGUGCUAUUACUGUGGCCAAAUCCGCCAUCAUGAAUUACAGCAAGCCCCUAAUGAUAAGAACCCAAAAAAAAAAGUUUUUAAGAUUCAAUUUUUGUACCAUUUAUGUCAAGAGAACACAAAGCUGUACCUUGUUUGUCUUAUUCUCAUCAGUUUAUUAGACUACCAUUUUACUAACCAUUGAUUAUAUAUACAAAGCACGGAAUAAUGGCUGCCUAAGUUAGCAGACAAGAUAUGGAUAACGGAAUCCGUAGUAAGACGAACGAAACCAUCCACUAAAAGAUACUCCAAGAGAAGGGGUUAAAUCUAACGCUUUGCAGUGAGCGACAAGUUGAUCUGGGAGGCGUGCUUGUAAGUCGUAUGGCCUGAGGACAGACCGGAAACUGGGACAUGCUCCGACAGGAAGGGGCUUCAAGCAAGUUCCACAAUUUUGCUUACACAAAACUACUUGCAAAAAUUUUGCUUAUUUGCUCCUACGAAGAAUUGGCGUUGACACAUACCUCAAACUCUUUAUAUUUUACUCAGGUCAACCUCAAAAUAUUUUAAACAAUCAUUUGCACUCGUUAACAAACAUUAUGAUGCAUCUAUCACCCAAUAAUCGUCUCGCAUUUUGGUCGUGAUUCAAUUGAACGAAGGCAAACGUGUCAGCCCAACCGUCAGUAGGAACUUUCCACUUCAUUCAGCUAUGUAAUUAUUAUUUAUUUAUGAUACAAGUACUCCUGUCCCCGACAACCUCUCCAUCUACCUUUUUUUUUUUUUUUUUUUUUUUUAAAUAAUGAAGUGGGAGGUCUUGAUUCUAGACACUCCAUUUCCAGCCUACUACCAGUGCUCCAUUUCCACUCUGCACAACGAAUAUGGACCUUUUGGAAUUAACGAGUAACCAAACCCAAGUGUCAUUAGCGCUAGCUAAACACUUAAAUCUUGAUUAACGUACUCACAAAAAUUUAGCUUCAUGCACACGAGGUUGCGGUUAAAUCUUGAUUAACGUACUCACAAAAAAAAAAAAAAAGAUAAUGUAGUCUACUGAACAUUUUAAGGAACACAGAUAUAAAUAAGAUAACUUAAAAGCAAUCGCUAAAACUAAUUGUACAUGAACCUAAAUUUAGCUGCAUUUGCUGUUUGCAACUAUAGAAUCGAAAAUUCAAUAUGUGAAGGUAUUAAUCCCUCGAUCUGUUGCUUGGCACAAAUUCUAGCUAACUUUUCCUGCUUCUUUUCCUGCUUUCUUUCCUUGCGCGUUUUGGGCCAAGUGACAUUACAAGGAUCACGAGGGUCAAUUAUAAGUUUCUCGAGGACAAUAGCGUUUUCGAGGAAGUAUUCAACAAGUUCAAGUUCACUUCUGCGACCAUAGUAUCCAAGCAACUCAACCACUUUCAGAUGUUGGAGCGGAAAGCUAGCAGCUUUCUUCAACUUUCUAUCUCCCCUGACCAUAUCACCCCACCACGAUUCCAGCUGCAAACAGAUUAAGCUGUCAAUAACUAAAAUAUUGCAGAUCAAAAAGAACGGGGGAAAAUCUGCUAAGAGUACCCAACACAAAUUAGAAAAAGAAAGAAAAGAAUAGGAGCGGCAACAGAAACAGCAUGUCUGAUACCAAGAAUAUUAGUAUAAUCAUUGCUUUCUCGCUUUCAAGAAUUGAUUGGGAUCCUAAACUGCAUUUAAAAGUUCAUGAUCAUAAGGAUGUUCAAGUCCCAGAGUAUAAUGCUCAAUGGCAUGGCAUACAGCAAAUGCCACGGUGAAAGACAAGAAUAACUAAAGCAAGGCUCAAGAAAACAAACCGAGACAAUAAAAGAAAGCAAUGGCUGAGAUUAGUACAGCAUUAUGCUACCUUCAGCACAAACUUCUCCAAGUUGGGCGAAGCCCUGAUCAAAGAAGUAAAUCCAAUCAAACUGCGAUCUUUUGAUGCAGAAGCUAUUAAGACGAACUCCUUCAGAUUAGUAAGUUGAGGAAGCUCAUGAACAAUUCCUUUUUCCUAGGAUGAUCAGACAAGAAGAAAGCAAAAUCAAACCAGUGAGGCAAGCAGUUGGCAGUGAUUAUAAACAAUAGUUGGAAAGGAAUCUCUUCAAAGAGUUCCAUUAAAUAACUAGAAAAAACCUGUGAAACUUGAAACUUGUUGGCACGUAAAGUAAGAACCUCUAGUUUUGACAAGCAGCAAGAAAGCCAAGAAGUAACAUCCCUGAUCAAGUUACGGGAAUUCCCAGAAACCCAUACAUUCACAAGCAUGGGGACGUUCUGAAGUACAAGAUGGUGUGCGUCGGUAGUUUUAAGGGAGACUAAAUUUGUGUCGCUGACAAUAAUGGAUUGCAACAUCAAACAGCAGCAUACCUCCAGAUAUUUCAAGGCAAUAGAUGGACCACAAACUCGAAGGUUGAUCAAAACUGAAGAGGCCUCCACUACCAGGCGCUCAAGAAAUGGACAAUUGAUCAAGAAGAAUUCCAGUACCUCCCCAGUUACAUUCAGACUUUUCAAACUCAAUGCUCUAAGGGACUUGAAGCCAAUCUGUGCAUGAUGAUGGAUUUCAGAGUAACCAGGUUGAGAUUGACCACUGCUAAGGCAAAAAAGUUCAUAAUGAAAAGUAUAUGAUUCUUGAGAAGAAGCCGGGUCAUCAUCUGCAAACACGUUCAAUUCUAGCCUUUGCACUCUCCUUGCAAAUGCAUGCUGAAGCCAUUUAUGAAUCUUGUCUCCAUAAAAAUUGUCCAAACAAAAAGCAACUCUCAAAUCAUCUAAUGCCAAGGACUUGUCUGAUUGAAGCAGCACCUUGUCAACCCAUUCAACAUACUUACGCCUUUCCUUUCUAACAAAGUCCGCAUACCUUCCCCAGCUGGAUAUUGAGAACAUCUUCUUUAGCACUUUUGAAGCAUCAAAAUCAAGGCAAGCCAUGGACCUCCAUAGAUCUAUCCAACGCUUUGAAAGAACACUUGUUCUGGCAGCUUCUUUUAGCGUUAGGCAAGACAGAAUAUAAACAAGAAUUUCAUCUGGAAGCCGACUAAUCUGAUCCUUGAGGGGCUGCCCUAUCUUUGCACACUAUUAAGAAGGAAGAGAGGAAGAAAAGGAUCCAGCAGCAAACAUAUGUUCCUUUAGCAAAUAGUUACAAGAAAGAAACUUCUUUUGUUUUGUGUUAGUAAGAGUGAUCCUGUCUCACCUUCCUCGGUCCAAAACCAGUGGCAAGUAUUGCCCUUGAUUCCAUCAAGAUCAAAACUUUCUGCUACUUUUCUCUCUGUUAUCAAGAAUGAGAAAAUGAAUAACAAAGAAUUCCAUUUAGUACCAUUUUAAGAACAAGAUUACUAUGCUGAUGCUCGUUAAUUGACCACUUGGAGUCCUAUGUUAACAAAAGAACCAUACAAGUCCUUAGAAGGAAAGUGAGCCUAACAAAAUACCCAUUAAGAAUGACCAGGACUGAUAGCACAGAAUCCAAAAACAACAGCCAAAAACAACACAUAAAUCUGCUACAAUGCAGGAUUUUUUUGUUGUCCUCCUUGCAUGCUCUUCUUCCAACAUAAAUAACAACACAUAAAAACACAAAUAUACCGCUGCAAUAAAAACAUAACCUUUGAACAAACUGCAAGCAUGACGGCAGAUAAAAUCAGUCAACAAAUGAAACAAAUAUAAUUCAGCUUAAGCAUGGUUAUCAGAAAUUCGCCCUAUAAUCAAAAGAAAUCUAAUAUAAAUUCUGUCUUGGCCAAAAUCAUUCUAAUUAAAGGAUGCUGCAUAACAAAAUUGCUCCAAAAAUCUAACAGAUAUCAAACAUUCAUGGUAGGAAUAUAUAUGCAUAUAAGCUACCAAAAAACGUAAACCACAAACUUAGCAGGCAAAUAACAUGGCUAAACUAAAGAUCCUACCAGAAAACAAAAAAGCAAAGAGGACUAAGGGUGUGUUUCGAUUGCUUGUUUUCGUCAAAAAAUAUUGUCGUUUUCCGUGAUCAUAUUUUCCUAUCACUUUUUUUUCUCACAUAUAUAAAAACGCUAUAAUAAUUUUUUCAUGAAAAAUGACGAAAAAUGCAAUCCAAACGCGCCCUAAUAUGGAAGUGAGGCAGCUACAAUCAAUUACGAUUCCAAAAAACAAAAAGGAAUUUUGAAACUAACUGCUGCAGCCCACUGUCGAGCCAGGGGAGAUAAGUACAGCCACCGUUCUAAACGCCCGGUAUCCGCCUACUUCGGCUUAGUCGAAAGUGGCCAGGAAUAAAAUAAGCUGGAGAUUGUUACUUGUACGAGGAAGAGAGAAGACUGAUUUAGGCUGCUUUCGUAAAGUUGCCAGUUGCAUCUUUUCCGAUUGUUGGGUGGAGUCCCGUUGGGCCCUACAAACAUUAAACAUGGGCUUGUGUCCAUUUAGGACAUUAUCAGAAACCUCCCCUGUUUUGACACAAAAAAAAAAAAAAAAAAAAAGAAACCUCCCCUGGGUUCUCUUAAUAAGUUUUAAGAAUAAUCACUUUUUUUUCCAACAAACGUUUAAGAAUAACCACUUACCUCCCUUAUUUUUGUUAUCUGUGUAAUAAAAUUUUUAAAAAUCCUAAACUAUCCUAUUACUUGUUAAAUGAAAAUACUCCUAAAUCACUUUAUUUACUUUAAGAAAAUCAUUAUCUGAAAAACAAUCUCUACUAGUACUGCCAUAUUAUAAUGCUAUAGUCCAUAAAAAUAUAUAUUUGAAAAAUAAAAAUGAUAUUUGUAAAGAAAUAUGCUUGACUAAUUUAACUCUAUAUAUUUAAAAUUGAUUUCUUAUGAACUUUUUAUUUUUUUUCAACUUCUUCUCAACCUGUGUCCAAAUCUUUAAAUUGUACUGAUCAUUAUAAAAAUCAACCUAAAAUAAGCAAAUAAACCAUACCCAUUCUAUCACAAUCAUAAAAACUAAAAGAUAAACAAAAUUCAAUUUAUUAUAAUUUACAAAUAAAAAUCACAUAAUCACCCAAAAGAUGAAUAAGAGAGAAUGUUGAAGAAAAGGAAAAGAAAAGAAAAUGACUUUUGUUUUUUUGUUUUUAAUUUUUGAACUCCAUUAAUUUGAUAUAUGAAUUAUGUAUCAAGUGAAAGUUAAUAUAUUUUUUUUGAAUUUAUUAGUGGGGUAAGUGAUUUUUUAAAAUUUUAGGAGGGACAAGUGAUAUUAGAAGAAACCUCAAGGGAGGAUUCUGAUAAUAUCCUGCCCAUUUAUCCUUCGGCCAGCGAUACAAAUUUUUAAACUCGCAAGUCCUAACCAAUACGCGUGGUGAAAACCAAUGGUGGAUUUUACGUUUUCUCAUAUCUCUCUUUUCGUGUCAUCUAAUCCUCUUGAGACCAAUUAUCUCUUUGAUACCUAAAACAGAGGCUCCAGUGAACUUAACUUGCUAUAGACCUAUUAGUCUCUGCACUGUCCUGUACAAAAUCAUUUAUAAAAUUGUGGCCAAUAGGUUGAAAAAAUUUCUCAACCAUUGCAUCAGUUGUUCUCUAUCAGCUUUAAUUCUAGAAAGACGGAUCCUAGAAAAUGUCUUGAUUGCUCAGGAAAUCCUUCAUGUUUUGAAAAAUAGAAGGGAAGGAAAAACUAGUUUCCUGACAAAACUAAACUGGACAUGUUUAAGGUAUAUAAUAGAAUUGAAUGGAAUUUUCUUGGGAGAAUGCUGAUACAAAUGGGAUUUUAUCCUAUUUUUGUUAGGUGGAUCAUGGUCUGUGUCUCUACUGUUUCUUACUCUUUGAACUUGAAUGGUGACCAAACAGUAAAAUAAUCACCUCCCGCUGGCUGAAAUGUAUGAGAUUGAGAAGUUUGCUAUACCCUGCUAUCGUCUUUGAUCAGAAAUCCACUAAUAGAUGGCCCCGACACCUGAGCUGAAGUUCCAACCUCCAGAGACUCUUUCGGGCCUCACAUAGUUUUUUUUUUUUUUACAACAGUAACAUUCCUGUAAUUUAACCUAUUCCUCAAUAGGAAUAGAAACUAUCGUUGCAGAAAGCUAGUGAAGACAGCCACGUAUAGCGGCAAAUAGUUAACUUGGCCUACAUAUAAAUGCUGUCUCCUGACGGCUCCAACAUUUGUUGGCCUGAAAAUUAUGGGCUCACUUGACCCGCUUUUACUGGAAGAAAAUGUUCGCGCUCCUUUAUUACUUAACGUUCAUUUGCGGAUAAAAUGUGCAAGAAAAUAUUUGAUAGCAUUAUGCCUAAAUUAGGGGUGGCAGCUAAUUAAGCUGCUCACCGGUAGUUCGCUCAAGCUUGAUCGAAUUGAAACUCGACAAAUUGCUGAACGAUCAUUUGCGGCAUUUGCUGUUUAAAGAUGCAAGAAAAUAUGUAAUAGCAUUAUGCACGAUUGGGGAGGCAGGGAGGGGGGGAAGGAGGCAAAGAAUCGACGUGCUUGAGAGCAGUUGGUUAAAAACUCCACUCAACUUUGGUCAAAUCGGAGAUCAAGCUACUCGAGUACAUUGUCGAGUCAAUUUUGAUUCUUUAAAUAUUCUUUGCUUGUUGAAUUUUCCAAACUUUAUGUAUAUAUAUUAUUUUUAUUUCACAUAACUAUUAUAUUACUAAAAAAACCUAUAUUCAUAGGAUAAUUACAAGUCUUACCAUUUAAAUUUGAGCAACUCGAUCUCAAUUUAUUCCUUGAGCUGGCUCAAACUCUUUAUAUUUUACAUGGGUCAAGCUCAAUCUUGUAUGGUUUAUAUUUUACACAAGUUGAACUCGACCUUCAAAUUUAAAAAUUUGUCAAGCUUGAAUUGUUGAACCCCAACUUGAGCUCUAGAUCCAAUAAUGUACUUCAAGCUUGAGUUUGAGUAUUUGAGUUCAAUUCCGAUCAUUGUCGCCCUACGCCCAAUGUCUUACUAUUAUAAGAUUGAGUAGCUAUUUGCUGUAGCAACUCCAAGAGUUGUCAUGUGGCGCAAUGAGAGACAUGAGGAGCUUUCUUUAUUUCCUACUUUCCUUUUUUUGCUUUCAAUACUUUUGGGUUAAUGCUGAUACAUAAGUUUUUUUUUCUCCCCUCUAAUUAUUAUGUAGACCAUAUGAACCAACUUAUUCAAGAAACAUUUAGAUCCAUAAUAGCUAAUUAUUUAUUACCAUUUUAGUCAAGAAUCAAUAAUAUUAGAAUUGACUAACAAUUUAGGAGGUAAAGUGAGAAAAAAAAAAUAACACUACGAGUAAAAUGCAAAUCUGGUUAAACUUUAGGGAAGUUUUUGUAAUUAACCCUCAUGCAAAAUUAGCUAGUAGUAUUUGGCAAGUGGAGAAAGAAAAGAGAAAGAGCAAAUAUUUCAGAAAUUGAGGGGUUUUAGACAAUUUUGACGGAGUGUUGUAGUUGCUGUUGUAAUUUUUACAUGAUACGGUGUAUGCUGACAUACUUUGUUAUACGUGUAAAUUUCAUUUGCAUAGACCGACUAAAUUGUAUGAACAUAAAGGUGUUUUCAAGUAUAUCAUCAAAUCACCAAUGAUACUACAAAAUAAUGGGAUAGGAUCCUUCCCAUUGAAUUUCUCUCUAUUUAUUUAUAUCUAAAAUUUUAUAAUUUUACAAAAUCAUCUGAUCAUAUCGUCAUUUUUCUCUUAAUCUCUAGAUAAAUAUAAUAAAAAAUAAUUUUCAUUUGAGAAUAUUUUAACAUUCAAUUUACAUGAAACAUUUAAAUGAUAAAAAAUUAGUCAAAAUUAAAACAAAAUUUAUAAUGAUUAAUCGGAGGGUAAAACUUAAUCAAUUUAUAUGGAAAUUGUAUGCAUAACUAAUACAAGUAAUCGAAUAUAUUAUAGAUGAUGUUGAUUUUCAAAAAUAAUUUUUAAAUUAAUUUUAUUGGGACAUGAUGGCGAGAAAUUAUCUCCAUUGCAAUAGAAGAAGCCUAACCUUAAAACAACCACGCCAACCACAUCAAGUGCCAAUUGUACCUAUUAUAGACCGUAAGCACACCGUUACGCGUGUGACCCCAACCACAUGCCCAUACUCUUUAAAAAUAUAUAUAUCAAUUGUUGUAUUCUAGAAGUUAAAAAAAAAAAAAAUUCAUCAUGUUUCAAUAUAAACAAAAACGUGUCAACCGAGAACAAGCGGUAGCUUCUCCGUUAGGCUAUUACUGCUUCUUCAUUAAGCUCUCUAAUUACUGACCUGUAUACGUAGUCUCUACUGCCUGCGGAAGCGGGACCUCCCUGCUAAAAUCGGGUUUGUUUGGAUUGUGAAUUAUUAGAGAUAUUUUAGUACUUUUUUGUGAUGUGAUGUAUCUGAGAUAAAAAAGUAAUUGAAAAAAUAAAAAGGUGUGUUGAAAAUUGUAAUGAUGAUGUAAGUAAAUAUAUUUUGACAAAUAAACCACGAUCCAAACAAACCCCACCAUUUCCUUCAUUGAAAGUAUUUGGAUUUCAAUCAACUGAGCUUAGGGAUGGUAAUGGGGGCGGGUGCCCCCGCGAGGGGCUCACGGGGCGAGGGGGCGGGGGAGUAUACCCUCGCCCCAUCCCCCGCCCCGCCACCCGCAAAACAAAAAAAAUAUAUAUAUAUAUAAAUAUAUAUAUAAAUUACUAUAUAUUAUAUGUAAGUUAAUUAGUUAUAAACUUAUGAUAAUGAUAUUAUUAGUUAGAUGUAUUAUAUAAUGUAUAUUAGUUUAUGUAAUAUAAUUGAUAUUAUCAAUUAUAUGAAUAAUUAUACAUGUCUACUAAUAUAAUUUAUUAAUUAGUUAUACUAAAUUUACUAAUACACUUAUACUAAAUUUCUAAUUAUACUUAAUAGAAUAACACUUUUUUCUCAAAAAAAAGCACAAACACAAUGAUGAAUUAGUGAUUGCAUUUGUACUAAAAGUGAAAUUUGAUUAUUUUAGUUAUAUUUAUUUCAUCAUAUUGGAUUGUAUUCAAAUAACUUCUGUUUGAUUGUUUUUAUGAAUUUCAAUUGUAAAAUUACAAUGAAUAAUAAUUUGGUGAUGUGUUGAUAUUUUAGUACUUGAUUAUUUAUUAAAAUCUAAUUAUAAUAAAAUUAUAUAAUAAAAUUUUAUUAACUCUGCAGAUGGCCCGCGGGGGAAGCGGGGCAAGGCGGGGGGAGCGAGGGGCGGGGGAUAGAGGGAACUAAUAGGCAACGGGGCGGGGGACGGGGGAGGGUCCCCCGCCCCGUUGCCAUCCCUAACUGAGCUCCAUUUAGUGCUACUAGUAUAUUUUCCUUACUGAGGCACGAAAGACAUGGAUCUCCGGGAAUCCAUCAGCAACCAAACCCACCUUUCCUUGUCACUCGCAAAACACAUCAUCGCGACGAACACCCAGGACUGCAACUUGGUGUUGUCGGCGCUGUCCAUCCAGGUGCUCUUGGCCCUGAUCGCCUCAGGCUCCAAAGGCCCAACCCAAGACCAGUUCCUCUCUUUCCUCAAGUCCGCCUCCACCCACGACCUCAACUCCCUCUCCUCGCAGCUGGUCAACGGCGUCUUCGCCGAUGGCGGCCCCUCCGGUGGGCCUCGCAUCAGCUUUGCCAACGCCGUCUGGGUUGAUCAGUCCCUGCACUUUAAGCCUUCUUUCAAAGAGAUUGUGGAUGAUGUUUAUAAGGCCGCUUCCGAUCGAGUUGACUUCCAAAACAAGGUAGUAAGUUAGUAACCGUCUCCGUCUAUCAUUAUUCAUCAGCCUACUCAUUUUCCUAAUUUCUUUUGUUCUGUUUGAAUAUGUGUCUGCUGAAUCAUGGUUGUGUUUCAUAAUCUCAUGCCACUUUAGUUAGCUACGAGAAAGCACUUAACCAUACGAGCAAUUGGGCAUACUAGUUGGAAUUAAAAAAAAAGUAGAAAAUAGUCUCUAAUUGGCAUGUCAAACUUUUGGAUAUGGCAAAAGUAGAGUCACGUUUCUUGUUUGGAGGGUGUGAAUUUUCUGCAACCCUUUUAUGUUCAAAAUAGCAAACCGUAGAAUAUGCCAAGUUGCUAACGUUUGUUUUUCUUUAUUUCUGUUGAUUGUUCUUCUGAAGCCUGAUGAGGUGACCAACGAAGUAAAUGGCUGGGUUCGGAAGGAAACAAACGGGCUUAUCAGGGAGAUUCUUCCUAGGGGCUCGGUGGAUGGAACAACGAGACUGAUUUUGGCAAAUGCUCUGUAUUUCAAAUGAGCCUGGCUAAAGAAGUUCGACGAAUCCAAUACCAGGGAGCAUGAGUUCCACCUCCUCAAUGGCAGCUCAAUUCAGGUCCCCUUCAUGACCAGCAGAAAGAAACAGUACAUUAGCGCCUUCGAUGGUUUUAAGGUGCUUCGCCUUACUUAUAAACAAGGUGGCGAUGAUAAACGCCGCUUCUCCGUGUAUUUCUUCCUCCCGGAUGCCAAGGAUGGGCUGCCAGCUUUUGUGGACAAAGUCAGUUCCGAACCUGGAUUCCUGGAAAAUCACUUGCCACGCUCAAAAGUACAAGUAGGCGUUUUCCGCAUCCCAAAAUUUAAGAUAUCCUUUGGGUUUGAAGCUUCUCAAGCUCUGAAGCAACUGGGGCUGGUGCUGCCUUUCUCUGGUGAAGGAGGACUUACCGAAAUGGUCGACUUCCCUGUCAGUCGAAACCUCUGCGUUUCGAGCAUUUUCCACAAAUCUUUUAUUGAGGUUAAUGAAGAGGGAACAGAAGCUGCGGCAGCAACUGUUGCCAAAGCGAUAUAUAUGUCUUAUACACAUUACGACAGAUUAGACUUCGUUGCCGACCGCCCAUUCCUUUUCCUUAUAAGAGUAGACAUGUCCGGGGCGGUACAGUUCAUUGGUACCCUGCUUAACCCCCUUGACUCAUAGGUAGCUGAGGAUGCUCACCUCGGACACGCGGGUGUCCGAGGUGAACACGAGUCUCGUCCCUCACCGGAACUCAUCCCUGUCUUGAGCACAACCCCAGAGCUCGGCUUCAUCCCUAGUCCACCGUGUAGGUGACCUCGGCACAUCCACCUCGGCUGCACGCUGAUGAUGUCAACCCACCUGACAUCAUCCAGGACCAGCACUUUAUCUGAAAAGCACUGGAGGCACUUAAUGGCACCUGCACCAUAUCCUCCGUCAUCACUCCCAGGCGGCUACAGUGUCAGAGUCAGACCUCCUGGCAGGAGACAGAGCCGUAAUGCCAGAGAGUGGGUCCCGCUAGCAUGAGCCUUCCGUAUUGAUCACCUCUCUUCUAUAAAUACCCCAGACACGCUCCCAACAAGUAAGCAUACACUGUUCAUUAAUUCAUUCUCAUUAUUCUCGUUCUCAUACUAACUUGAUCGUCGGAGUGAUACCAGGGGAGAAGCCCCGCCACUCACUUCGGACAAGGAGGUUCACUUCGGACACAGGAGUUCACCUCACUUCAUCUCAAAAAGAACUGAUCCAGGUCGGUCUAGUUACCAACCAAAAAUCACCUCCUCAAUUGGCGCCGUCUGUGGGAACGAGACUACUAUUACUAAAAUGAGAUCCACGCGCUCCAGAAGUGGUCGAGUUCCCUCAACUGGGGCUGGGCAGACCUCGGGAGCCCAGCAAGAUCGCAUCUCUGAAGAGCAAGGGUCCCCAAGGACCCAGCCUAACAACGAGGAGGCCAUCGCCAAGAUGGCCGAGUUCGUAUCACACAACCCAACCAUUUUUGAGGAGCUAGGAAGGUACCUCAAAAGACAGGGGAAAGAAAAGGCCGAGUCUUCCAAGAGGAGGCCGACGAAGUCCCCUGAGGCACCUUCAGGUGAAGACUCCGAUGAGGGGCGUCUCUCUCGGAGUACCUCCAGGCGUGCCUCCUCCAAGGCGACUUCUAAGCUAGCCUCCAUCUCCCGGGCGUUUUCCCGGGGACUGCUAGGGAAGCGAGCUGAGGGCCUACCUCGGCGCCCCGGGGGACUGGCUUCGGACUACAUGAGGGCUCCGCCCUUUACGGAUGACAUCAAUGGGGAAAGGGUGCCCCCGAAUUUCAAGCUCCCAAACUUGCCCACCUAUGACGGCCGAGGUGACCCCGAGGAUCACCUCCGCGCCUUCAUCUCCGCAUUCCGACUCUACUGUGUCCCCGACGCCGUGAUUUGUCGGGCUUUCCCCAUUUUCCUACAUGGGACUGCCCGGAAGUGGUUCUGGAGUUUGGAACCGGGGAGCAUUUCCUCCCUGGAUGAGCUGAUAGACCGGUUCAUCCACCGCUUCGUGUCGUCUCGACCAAUCACGAAGACUUCAGUUUAUCUCUUGAACCUUCAACAGGGUCAGGGCGAGUCUCUUCGCUCGUAUGCUCAGAGGUUCAACGAGGAGAAUGUGCAAAUACCUGAUCAGAAUGAGCAGGUAACUCUCGCGGCCUUUACCAACGGGUUGGUGGCCGGACUUUUCAACACCGAAAUUCAUCGGGAUUACCCCCGUACACUUCACGAACUCUGGGAAAGAGUGGAUCAGGGAAUCCGAAGUGAAGAUGUGAAUCGCAUGAAGCGAGAAGCCCAAGCAUCUCGUACGGGGCCAGAUCCCCGGAGGAGAGACAUCGGCCGAGGUGAACCCGGCCCAAGUGGCACUUCAACCCAACUCCGGGACCGCCGGAGUAUUUUCGAUCGAAUAGUGAAAGGAAGAUCGUCCACCUCGGACGCUGAGCUGACACCGCUCAAUUCCAGCCUGGAGACUUGGUUCUGAGGAAAAAUUCAGUCAGCCGAGCUGACACCGCUCAAUUCCAGCCUGGAGACUUGGUUCUGAGGAAAAAUUCAGUCAGCCGAGCUGAGCCGCAGGGGAAAAUAUGCCCGAAAUGGGGAGGCCCUUACCGAGUUGUGGAAUCUGACCCUAAAGGGUAUUGUAAGCUGAGUUACCGAGAUGGCUCAUUAGUGCCGAGGUCUUGGCACGGGUAGUGAGGAUGGUCAUUUUGGCCCGGACAGUCCUAGGCCUUACUCAGUGGCACCUCCCGCAGGGCCACCUCGGCCUUACUCAGCGGCACCUCCCGAAGGGCCACUUAGGCCUUACUCAGGGCACCUCCCGAAGGGCCACCUCGGCCUUCCUCAGCGGCACCUCCCGCAGGGCCACUUAGGCCUUACUCAGUGGCAGGCCUUCCUCAGUGGCACCUCCCGAAGAGCCACCUCGGCCUUCCUCAGCGGCACCUCCCGAAGGGCCACCUCGGCCUUACUCAGCGGCACCUCCCGAAGGGCCACUUAGGCCUUACUCAGGGCACCUCCCGAAGGGCCACCUCGACCUUCCUCAGCGGCACCUCCCGCAGGGCCACUUAGGCCUUACUCAGUGGCAGGCCUUCCUCAGUGGCACCUCCCGAAGAGCCACCUCGGCCUUCCUCAGCGGCACCUCCCGAAGGGCCACCUCGGCCUUACUCAGCGGCACCUCCCGAAGGGCCACCUCGGCCCAUUAUAAAUCAAGGUGGUAUCUGCCCGUUUUACCACCUCGGCCUUACUCAGUGGCACCUCCCGAAAAGCCACCUCGACCCAUUAUAAAUCAAGGUGGUAUCUGCCCGUUUUACUACCUCGGCUAACGACCUGAGAACAAUAGGGUUAUUACGCUAUCAAAAAAUAAGGGUGACAAACAAGGGAUGAAGUCAAAGCAAAGCAAGAAAUUAAAGAGCUGAGAUGAGAAGAAAUAGACUUUCAUUCAACAGAAGUGUUACAAAAAAUACAAGGCCGAGGUCAGAGUGCUACUAAACACUCUUCACCUCGGCCACCCCUUUAGAGCCUACGAGCCUACAUCCCCGUAUCGGCUCCAAUCCCGGUCUUGGCUCCCUCCUGGGCAUCUUUCUCUUCGGUCUCCUUUCCGCCGGGGUGAACUUCAUCUCCAGGCUCUUUGCCGACGUCCCCUCCGGCUUCGCCCCCUCCGGCUUCGUCUCCCUCGGCAUCCUCUCUUCCAGUUUCUUCCUCUUCAACCUCCUCGAACACUUCGUCGAGUUCGGACAGCCAUUUGUUGAAUUCGGCCAGGACCUCGGCCAGGUUCCUUCCAGCUUGGAGGCCCUCAGCCAUCCGGUCGCACAACUCCUUGGAGUCCUCGUUGUAACUGACACUCUCUGCACGAAACGUCCCACUACUUCACGACGUGACGGUUACGUGCCGACUCACUCUCCAGGUCCCUUCAACUGACAUGCCCACGUGUCACGUCCCCGCACCUUCCGGAGCAGGCUCGGGACACCGACUCUUCACGACUUCGGCAGAAGGAAGCCUCGGUACCUCCCUGGCCCGAAGCUCCCGAGGCUUGGGGGGCUUAUUGAGGAUGCUCACCUCGGACACGCGGGUGUCCGAGGUGAACACGAGUCUCGUCCCUCACCGGAACUCAUCCCUGUCUUGAGCACAACCCCAGAGCUCGGCUUCAUCCCUAGUCCACCGUGUAGGUGACCUCGGCACAUCCACCUCGGCUGCACGCUGAUGAUGUCAACCCACCUGACAUCAUCCAGGACCAGCAUUUUAUCUGAAAAGCACUGGAGGCACUUAAUGGCACCUGCACCAUAUCCUCCGUCAUCACUCCCAGGCGGCUACAGUGUCAGAGUCAGACCUCCUGGCAGGAGACAGAGCCGUAAUGCCAGAGAGUGGGUCCCGCUAGCAUGAGCCUUCCGUAUUGAUCACCUCUCUUCUAUAAAUACCCCAGACACGCUCCCAACAAGUAAGCAUACACUGUUCAUUAAUUCAUUCUCAUUAUUCUCGUUCUCAUACUAACUUGAUCGUCGGAGUGAUACCAGGGGAGAAGCCCCGCCACUCACUUCGGACAAGGAGGUUCACUUCGGACACAGGAGUUCACCUCACUUCAUCUCAAAAAGGACUGAUCCAGGUCGGUCUAGUUACCAACCAAAAAUCACCUCUUCAGUAGCGAAGAAUUUAUAGUACAUGGAAUGGAAGUCUUCAACAGCUGCAUUUCCUUUGUCUUUUGUUUUAUGUUGUACGAUACUCCUAUGUUUUUGGAUUGCAUGAUGUUCUUCGCUCCUUUUUCUAUUGAAUCUUGUAGUAUGUGAUUGUAAGAGUGCCUUUAGUUUUGCAAUAAAAUAAAGGAAAAAUCGUCCAAAACGUCCCUCACAUUUUGUAAAAUAACUUUUUUCGUCCCUCACUUUUAAAAGUGUAAUUUUAUAUCCCUUAUAUAUUCAAAUCGGAUAAAUUUAGUCCCUAACUAGAUUUUCGAUCAUUUUUUGGCCGGAAUCCAUCAUAUGCAAGGCACAUGAUCAUUUUUUAAGGGUAAAUUUGUCAAAUUAUAUUUUACAUAAUCUCAUCUAUAGUCCUCCACAUUUUAUAAAAUAAAUUUUUUCGUCCCUCACAUUUUAUCAAACGAUUUUUUUCAUCCCUCACAUUUCACAAAAUGAAUUUCUCCAUCUCUCACAUUUCACAAAAUGAAUUUUUCAUUUCUCACUAAUUAUGUGUGUGAAUACAUUUUUUAAACACAUAUAUAUGUCUAUUUGAUUUUGUUUAAUAAUAAUAGUAUAAAUACAUGUAUGUAAUUGGGCCCAACUUGUGGGCUAUCUUCUCUUUUUGUAUGAUUAAGACUAAUAUUUAUCAAUAGAAUCUUAAUUUCCAUAUUCUUAUUGUAUUUUGACCGAAAAUAGAUUUAUUGGCCAACUUGACAAUGAAUGCAAGAUUAUUUAUUAGCUAAUACCAAAUGAAAUCAAAUGAUCACGUAUAAUAUAUGGUAUUCGUAUUGUUAAGUGAAAUCAAAUAGACACAUACAUAUAUUUAUGCUAUUCGGAUUAUUAAGCAAAAUCAAAUAGACAUAUACUUGUGUUUAAACAAAAUGUAUUCACACACAAUUUUUUUUAAGGUUUCCCUCACAUACAUAAUUAGUGAGGGAUGAAAAUAUUCAUUUAUUGAAAUGUGAGGGAUGGAGAAAUUCAUUUUGUGAAAUGUGAGGGAUGAAAAAAUCAUUUUAUAAAAUGUGAGGGACGAAAAAAUUUGUUUUAUAAAAUGUGGAGGACUAUAGAUUAGAUAAUGUAAAAUAUAAUUUGACAAAUUUACCCUUCAAAAAUGAUCACGUGCAAGGCACGUGAUGGAUUCCGGCAAAAAAAUGAUCGGAAACCUAGUUAGGGACUAAAUUUGACCGAUGUGAAUAUGUAAGGGACAUAAAAUUACACUUUUAAAAGUGAGAGACGGAAAAAGUCAUUUUACAAAAUGUGAGGGACGUUUUGGACGAUUUUCCCUAAAAUAAAAUUCCAGAUUGUAAUACUUACAAUAAUAUGGCAGUAAUUCAUAGAUUGAUUAGAUCUGGUUUUCCGGAACCAAUUCUCUUAAUUUGAAAUAGCAGCUUCUUUAGCUGCAUGAUCCAUCACUGGACUUAAAGAUGCGAUUUAUUUGUGAAAUGUUAGUAGUGAGAUUAUCUAACUUAACUUUGGAUGAAGUGCCUUUUUUUUUUUUUUUUUUUUUGGUUUUUUUGUGAAAGAGCUCUGGAUAGACUACUUUGGAAUUUAAAGGUCAACGUAUCAGCUAGUACUUGCAUGGUAAGAGUCGUUCAAUUAAGCUUUCUCCACCGUCACCGUCAAGGCUAAUCUUUUCGUGAUUCAAAAAAAUAAAACACAAAAGGGCUAAUAUUUGUUUUCUUGAUUUUUCUCAGUAGUCUGGUCAUAGUGUUAAAUAGUAAUUUAUUUGGGUAUGAUUGAUAGAUUUGUUUCUUAAUAGCUACGCAGAACUGCAGAAGCCCAAAUCACUUGACGCGUAGCCGUCCAAAGGCAAACGUACCUUCUGUUCCUUCCUAAAAAAAGAAAUGAAUUUCCGCCCUGACUUGCGUUGUCUUGCUCAUGCCUUUGGUUGGGAUUCGGGGGCACGGACGGUUGCACCCGCAACCGCAAUCGUUUCGGACAGUUUUUGUCAUUUUUAAUUACACGUAAUUUUCUUUGUACAUUAUGUAAUUUUUUUUACACAUCGUAUAAUUUUAGAGCAAAUUUUUGUGAAAUCCACACAUAAUGUGAAAAUCGAAUUACAACUUAUAAUCUCAGCCGCACAAAUUUUUGAGAUCAGAUCAUGGCCAUUAACUGUUCAGGAUAGUUAUACUAAUGACCGUCCUGCCCAUUUCUCUUUGGACACCUCACUGCAAAAAUGCCCUUUUCUUCGGUGCUAGUAUCUGUCCGUCUAUCGUUAGCGUCUUUGUGCGGCAUUAUGUAGCGUGCCGGAGCAAUCAAAUUAUUUAUUACCCAAAACAAAAUUUUUUUUUUACGUACGAAAGUCAUGAAAAAUUCAUCAACUAGAUCAUUCGUGUAAGAAUUUAUUAGGCCAUGUUUAGAUUGUCAUUUUUUUUAAAAAAAAAAUUUACAUUUUUUGUGAAUAUAUAUUCCUGUCACUUCCUUGCUUCACAUGCAUUAAAUCAAAUCGUUAUAAUAUAUUUCUUCACAAAAAUUUCUAAAGAUAGCAGCAAUUCGAACAAUUCAUUUUGUUUGGAUAGAGUAUUAUUUGAAAUAUUAUUUGAAAUAAUUACUGUAGCACUUUUUGUGAUUUGAUGUACGUGAAAUAAAAAGGUGAUUGAGAAUAUAAAAAAGUGGGUUGAAAAAUAUAUUUGUGAUGUAAGUAAAAUAUUAUUUAAAAUAUUUUUGUUAUCCAAACACUCCCUGAUGGGCUAUAUUUAGCUUAGAAAAUGGACAAGUUUCGAAUAAAUGGUCCGUAGGGAAAAGAUUCCAGGGCAUUUAUCACGACCCAAUGGUUUUCCACGUUUCAUCUGAUCUAGAAUAGAUUCAAAGCCCACGUAUCGAGAAUCACAUCUCGUUUUCUUAGUAGGGAAGAAGAAGAGAAAAGUUACCUCACCCGCCCAAAAUGAUUUAUUAAUUGCUAAGCAACCUCACUAUUAAAGGCAGAGUUAUUUAUUGCUUCUCACGAGAAGCUCAAGCUCGCCUCUUUUUCUGUUUCCACUUUCCAGUCUCCAUAUACUCCAAGAGAAGAAGAAAUGGACCUGAGAGAAUCAAUCAGCAAGCAAAACGACGUCUCAUUGGCACUCGCAAAGCACGUCAUCUCGUCGGAGGCCAAGGACACCAACUCCGUCUUCUCACCGUUGUCCCUCCACGUAGUAUUGGGCCUGAUUGCAGCCGGCUCCAAGGGCCCGACCCAAGACCAGCUCCUCUCUUUCCUCAAGUCCACCUCCACCGAUCACCUCAGCUCUCUCACUUCUCAGCUCGUCACUAUUGUCUUAGCCGACGGCGCCCCCUCCGGCGGGCCUCGCUUGUCCUUUGCUAAUGGCGUCUGGAUUGAUCAGUCUUUGCCUUUUAAGCCUUCUUUCAAAAAGAUUGUUGAUGAAGUUUAUAAGGCCGCUUCCAAUCAAGUAGAUUUCCAAAACAAGGUAAUAAAACUUCAUGGUCUUUUAUCAAAAAAAAAUUUUUUCUCUUUUUUCCUGUUAAUUUUCUCACAUGGGCUUUUUCUUUUCGUUGUGUUAAGCUAUUUGUUUGUUAUCAUAUGUCUGCCUUUUUUAGUUGAUUAUCUAUUGGUAAUACUUCCUGCGCCUUUUGCAAGUACUGAAAUUGGCUAGUAGGAAAGGGAAGGGGCUUAAAAGAAGAGGCUUUUUUGACUGUUGUAUGAUUGAGGUUUAUGUGCAUGUUGCACGGAGGAGUUUUUUGAUUGUGAAACUGUUUCUUUAGUUUGUUGAUUUUCUUUAGUCUGUCCUAAUAAGCACUUUGACGGGUAGAAAAGAAUCGGCUCUUCAUGAAUUUCCUGCACUCGUUCGGAUGAUAUUUGUCGUCAGAUUUUCUUGCAAUUAGUCUUUGGUUAUGUUCUUGGAAGUUGCUGAUAAGCACGCAUAUUCAGGUUGAAUGCCUAAGACCGUCUCGUUCUAUUUGUAGAGAAAGUUCGCGUCUUCAUUAAUUUCCGGCAGUGCUUCAGAUCAUACUUGUCCUCGGAUUUUCUUACAAUCUAUUUGGCUUAUGUCCUUGGAAGUUAAAGAUAAGCGCAAACAUUUUGGUUAAAUGUCAAACUCAAUCAAUGAGUAUAGUUAAUUUGCUCACUUGUCUUCUUUUAAGAGUUGAUUUUCACUUCCUGAUUAUAUAGUAAGGGCUGCGGAAGUUGGACACUGUUUUUUAUCACAUUAUCUGAAAUAAUAAAGUUUUAGAAUAACAUUCCUGUGAUCUUGAAGUGGGAUGGAAUUGUUUUGAUCUUGGAAUUAUGAGUAGUAACUGGUUCAUUUAGGGCCAUGGACAUCUUAAUCUUUACUUAUUUUCUUCUGUGAUUAUUGAUUGACCCCUACUCUUCCAUAGUACAUCUAAAUAUGCUACCUAACAACAGAUCAUGGAACUGUCUUCCAGUGCCUUUUUAGCUUUUCAAUAUAGUUAAAACUCUGGCUUCUAAGGUUCUCUUUGUAGAGCUGUCAACUUGGUUCUCAAUUCUAUCUGCAAACUUGAGCAUUUUGUCUCUUAAAUUUCGUGCUUUGUGUCUGAAUGAGAAGCUUUGUGCUUUUGCUCUAUGCAUCAAGUCCUUUACGAAAAGAUGGUUUUGUUAAUGUAUUAGAAAUUCAGUAUUGACUUGUAAUCUUUGUUGUAAUAUGCAUGGGUUCCAUAACUAGAGAAAAUGGUAAGGAAAUUAGCAAGGGAAUCAGUAGUGUUAAUACGUUUGCUAAUGUUUGCAUUGGUGUUGAUGAAGCCUGCUGAGGUCACCAAUGAAGUAAAUUCAUGGGCCGAAAAGGGUACAAGUGGACUUAUCAAAGAAAUCCUUCCUCCUGGCUCUGUAGACAAUACAACAAGGCUGAUCUUUGCAAAUGCGCUGUACUUUAAAGGAGAAUGGGAUGAUAAGUUCGACGCAUCAAAAACAAAGGAGCAUGAUUUUCACCUACUGAAUGGCAGCACCAUUAAAGUUCCCUUCAUGACCAGCAAGAAGAAACAGUAUAUAAGUGCCUAUGAUGGUUUUAAAGUACUGUGUCUUCCUUAUAAACAAGGUGAGGAUAAGCGUCGCUUCUCCAUGUACUUUUUUCUCCCAGAUGCCAAGGAUGGGCUGCCAGCUUUGUUGGACAGAGCUGGUUCUGAACCUGGAUUCUUAGAGCAUCAUUUACCACGUUCAAAAGUAGAAGUUGGCGACUUCCUCGUACCAAAAUUUAAGAUAUCCUUUGGAUUUGAAGCUUCUAAAACUCUGAAGGGACUGGGGCUUGUGCUGCCUUUCUCUGGGGAAGGCGGCCUCACUGAAAUGGUAGACUCCCCUGUGAGCCGGAACCUUCAUGUUUCAAGCAUCUUCCACAAAUCCUUUAUUGAGGUUAACGAAGAAGGAACAGAAGCUGCAGCUGCAACUGCGGCUACGAUACGCCUACGGUCUGCCCAAUUUUUCAAUAAAUUAGACUUUGUAGCUGAUCACCCAUUGCUUUAUUUUGUAAGAGAAGACAUGACUGGGGUGGUGCAGUUUAUUGGUAGUGUGGUUAAUCCUCUUGAUUCUUAACCGCUGGAGAAUGGGUUGCUGUUUCGGUCUUUUGACAUGUAUCUUAUUUUGUCUGGUUAAUGGUGUGUAUAAUGCUAUUUCCUAACCCCUAUAAGUUCGGCUUUCCGAUGUACUGUAUGUUAUGUUGCUUCCAGUUGUUUUCAGGUACUUAUGUUCAGAGAUCCUAUACGUGAAUUUUAAGUGUUGUGUUUUCGGCAUUGUUUCCCAAAAGGUCAAAACGUGAACUUAUCUAGCAGUAUCUGAUGAUGACUUGUUUUCCUCUGGUUCAAAGCUUGAAUUUAAGAGGGUGAAGCUUUACUGGAUGCCAAAAAAUGUUGUACUUUCUGUUCCGGGCGCUGUGCAUCCAACUACUCUUGGGCCUGAUUUGCCUCGGGUUCCAAAUGCCCAACCCAAGACCAGCUCCUCUCUUUCCUCAGGUCCGGCUACACCCACGACCUCAACUUCCUGUCUUCACCGCCAGUCGACGGCGGCACUUUCGGCGGGCCUCGCAUCAGCUUUGCCAAUGCCGUCUGGGUUGGUCAGUCCCUGCAUCUUAAGCCUUCUUUCAAAGAGAUUACGGAUGAUGUUUACAACUUAAUAAGACCGCUUCCGAUCGAGUUGAUUUUCAAAACAAGAUAGUCAGUUAAUGACCGUCCAUCAUUUGUUCGUCAGGCUGAUUAUAGCGGUUGCGGAUUUAGUAUCACAUUAAUCUCUUUUGUUCUGUUUGAAUAUGUGUCUGCUGAAUCAGAGGGCUGUGUGUCGUAACCUCAUGAAACGUUAGUUAGCUAUGAGAAGGCACUUACCAAUAUGGACAUACUGGUUGGAAUUAAAAUGUGGCAAAAUAAAUUAGCAAAUCAGAUUUCAGAAUAUGGCAAAAGUAAAAUCAAGUUUGUUGUUUGAAGGGACAAAUGAAGAUUUCUUUAAAGGGGCUCAAUCAAAAUUGAAGCCAGAUAUUUAGAAGUUUCUAAUGCUAACAGUAAGGUAUGUGUUUUAUAAUUUUCUUUGAAUGCUCCAAAAAUUUUAACAAUUAUAUGUAAAAAUUUAAUUUAUAUUAAGAAAUUUUAUAAUGAAAAGUAUACACGAUGUUUAACAAUUAUAUGUUCCAGUGUGACAUUUAUUCACAUAUUCAAAAUGAUUCAAAAGAAAAUAAACUCAAUACUCCUUUUUGUAUUUUUUUAUAUCCAUCUUUUAUGUGGUCAUUGGAUAUUUGAAUGCCUUUUGCACAAAUGAUAGAGUGAUAUUACCACUGUGUUAAGUAGGUAGGCUUCCAUGUAGAUUGCUAUUGAUGGCUUUUAUUUUUUGUAUUUUGUAAGUUUAAGAAAACCUUCCAUAUUUCUUUUAUUUUUUUUAAGUUUAUACGUAUUUGAAAAGGCCAUAGUAUCGUAAGAUAAAGGUACAAUUAUUAGUAUUUUCAAGUAUAAAUUUUGAGAUGUUAAUUAUCAUUCAUAAUUUAGUUUUAUCAUCAUCACUUAAGAGUAUCGUACACUGACAAUUUAAAAUAUGUUGUUUUUUUUUUUGGCAAAUUUGUAAUUUUUUUUUGGUACUAUAAUGAUAGACAGCUUUAAUUUUGGUCGAAAAAUGUGAAGAUUGAUAAUCUUUCCAUGGGGUUCAAGCUAUGAAAAAGGAAAAUAUUACGCAACGAAUAUUCAAAUUAAGCAUAAUUUGCAAAAAGAUAUUAUCAGAUAAUUGGGGGAGCAGGUACAUUUCCUAUUAUAAAAUUGUUAAAUAUUUAUAUAAGCAUGUUUGCAAAUGCGAUCCAAUGGCUAAAUAGAGGCUUAAGAUUUAUAGUUCUUGAAUUCAAAUGCCCUUUUUCCUCCCUGAUUCUUAAACUCCACCCAUUCCCUAAUCACUGCUUACAAAAAAUUAAAAAAUAUUUAUAAACAUUAUAAUGUAGUAGAAGAUUUGAAGAUCUUGACCUUUUAUUUUCUAAUAAAUUUAAAAAUUAUCUAAACAAAUUUACAGUAGGUACCUUUUAUAGAAAGUUUCACUAAAUUACAAUAGAUUUUUAUUUUUAUUUUGAUUUCAACGAAUUCAAUCAAGCGUGUCCAUAUGUUUAAACACAAGAAUGAAGCAAGUACACAUAUUUCCAAGUAUAUGAGCAAAGUUCCUAAAAAAAAGUCAUAGACACAAUUGUUGAAAACAAUAAUGUUAAAGAUUAAAUGUUAGAAAAAAAUAUGCCUACAUCUUUCAAGCAUAAUCACAAAUUGAGAUAAGAAUUAAUAUUUAUAUAGUUUUACAAAAAUUUCAUUCACUCUAAGGUUUUCGCAUUUUUAUUGUAAGAAUUAGAUAAUUUUUUUUAACUAUUAUAUAUUUAUUUUAAAUUUUAAUUAUUUUUCAAACUUUAUAAUUCCCUAAAGCUAGCUGUAAGCUAUGCAUAUGCAUGUUUGACAUCUAUUUGCAUGAUACAUAUUAUUUUUAUUGACAAUUUAAUGUCUAAUUUGAUUUCAAUUAUCACAGUUACAUAUCUUAUUCCAAUUAAUAUUUGAAUCAGGACAUUUGUCUCGAUUUUCUCACUUGCAAAUUUUACUUAACUCUCAACUGUUUGUCCUGUAUUUAAACAUAUCACAUACUUAAUGUUUUCUCUUUUUUUUCCUAUUUUUGCAUCACCAUUUUUUUUUUAACAAUUUUGGCACAUCCAUGGUUUCCAUAUGAGAUGUGAUCCCACUUUUCCACGAUUCCCAUGUUAGAAUUUCCAACUUGAUUCUAGCUAUGCAUUAUCCGUCGGUGUUAGAUACACGCGACGUGAAUCAAUGUUGGCUUGUAUACCCAGUUUGUAUUUCACAUUAGAAAUUUAAAUUUGAUUUUAAUGCAGUGCAUAAUGCAACAGGGAUACUUAAAUAUGACAUGCAUGACUAUAUAAAUAGUAUUAAUGAUCAUUAUCUACUGGCUAUAUUUCAAUUCCUCUAUCUUCUAUUCCUCCUCCUUUUAAUAUCCUUUGUUAUUGAUGCUUCCCAAAAACCUUUGUUAGCGACGCCAAUGAGGAUGCGGAUAAGAAUUCCAAAGACUGAUGAAGUUUCCCAUCAUGGUGGUAAGAUCAAAAGCAGAUUUGAAGGCUGUUAUAGCUCUGAAGGAUUUCAAUCCACAGUAGCUUGUAAGGGUGAAGGUUCCCACCAAUUAUAAGGCCAGAGGCAAAUCAAAGCCGUUGAAGCGACGCCUUUCUAAACUAGCUGAUGCCGGUGAAAUGAAAUUUGUUUUUAGGAGAGUUAUCAACUGAGCAUUAGGAUAGUAGUGUAUGAAUGGCUGAAUGAUUAGACGAUUUUCAAAACCAGCCAAUGCGGGCGAUGUGGAAUUUGUUUUUAGGAGGGGUAUUAACUGAGCAUUAGGAUAGUUUGUGAAAAGUUGGGUGAUUAUUGUAUGGGGUCGUAGGGGAAUUAUUUGGCAUAGGGAGAAGGGAUUGUUGGUUAACAUGUUAACCAUUGUUCUCAGUGAUGUUAAUAUCUGGUCUAAGUCGAGUUUUCAUUUCUCAAAUCCACAUAAUUACUACGGAACUAAAUUUGAAAUACAAAGUGUUGAUUGUCUGCUUAAAUAUUUUGCAUUAGUAUCUUGUGACUAUAGAAAAACGGAAGAGUGACAAGCUGCCCAGUCGGGUAGUGCCACAGUUGACAUAGCAAAGAAAACUUCGAAGAUUGAUCAAUUUAGCUCUUAUCAUCCUAGCUACAAACGUAUUCCAAAUUCUUUAAGCUUUGGACGGCUGGGUUAGGCGUUUGUUGAAGCCACGAGUCCUAUGGCCCUUUUUUUUUUUUUUUUUUUUUUAUGAAUGGUGCCAAUAGAUACGAGAGCUCAUACAGAAUUGUAUAGAACAGAUUCACCAGCUACCAACGCAGGGGCUUAGAUAGAAUUAUAUAAAAACAGAUGAAUACUUCACAGGCUAGGCCACCGACCCAAGAAUUGGCACUCAGAAGUCAAAACCCAGCCCCAUCUCAGUCUGCUUAAUUUGCAGUAGAAGCGAAAUGCAUUUCCCACAGGCCACAAGUACACCUAAUAUUCUACUAGUAGUAAAGGUUUUUGUCCUUUAGUGUUGUUAUCGUACGUAUGGUUAUUGGUUAGGGAGUUGCAGUACUAUAGAUUAUAGAUCGUACAGGUUAGGCCCCACAGACCCGGACCCCCAGAGCCCCAGACCAGGCUGCUUUCACGUGCCUUGCUGGCGCGAAGUUUUAAAAGCUGUGAACCUUAAGGCUAUGUCUACUGUUGCCUCCUUCAAAGUCCGUAUCAUCUGUAUUCCCAAAGUUGGCCUUCUGUUUAUUUCAAAAUUACUGCAACUGCCAUUAGUGGAUUUUUUGUUCGGCCAUGUCUAGCGAUUAGUGGUAGCUGCUAAUCGCGCUCUCUGGGCUGGGCUGGGCUUUAAUAACCCACCCCCGAACUAGAAACUUACUACAAAUACCCGGUCUUGAGCUUUCAAGUGGCAGUGGCAAAGAUCAUAUCUCCAUUGAGCUGUGGAUGGCCGCAUGUGGCUUGACCCGUUAAUUUCGGGUUUGAAGAGCCCAAGUUUGGGCUAACCCUGCACCAUCAACAACUCUACUCACGAUGAACAAAUUUUAAACGAGGCGGUUAUGUUCAUUUGAACAAAUGGUAAAUAUGUAGAGCAAGAUAAAUUAUGUUGAAGGCAAUAUAAGCAUAGAGCACGUGUCUACGACCAUUACAUAUGGUAUUAAAAUCGAUCGACACAACACAAUAAUAAUAUUUUGAAUCUUAAAUAUUUUCAAAUUUACUUUAAUUGCGUUCAUGAACCUUUUGGAAACGCUUGCUUAUGACAAUCGAUCUUGUUUCUGCUUUGAAAAUUUUGCAUAUACAAAAGUACAACUAUUAAAAUGGGAAAAAAUAAAUGGCACCCUAUGAUGUGGUAUUAACCAGUGUAUCCCCUGUUCAAAUGGAGAAAUUUUGACAUGAACAGGAAAAUAAAAGAAAAAUGAUCCAUCUUUUGUUUCUUCCCGCAAAGCGGCGAUGGGGAAGGGGCCGCAGGAAUUGGGAUUGUGGCGGUGACGGAAGGCAUGGAUGGCGGUUGACGUGGCGACAAGGGCGGGUCCAAAGGUGGGCUAGGGAUAAGGACAUGAAUUUGACAGAGCCAUGUCGUUUUUGCGCUAAUGGCAAACAUUCAUUAUUAUUGAUUCAAGAUUCAAAAGUUGUGCCGUGUUAAUUUGAUGGCCUUCGAUUGCUAGGCCUUAGCUAUGUACGUUAAUUGAUUCACUAACCAAAAAGUGGUUUAGCAUACUUGAGCUGGUAAUAAUUUCCCCCUUGACCACUGAUUAGCUUUGCAUUACAUUUUCAACUAAUAUGAAAUAUUUUGGUCCUUUUGGACUGUUAUAGGUUCUGUUAGUAUCUCCCAUUCACAGAAAAUAUUUUCUGUAAAUAUAUUUUUUAUUUUUAUUUUUUUUUAAAUCACUACAGUAUUUUUUUUUCAAAAAUUUAUAAAAAAAAAAAAAUCCAAAUGAGUUCACAAUUAGUUGAUGUUAAAGAUGCCACGGAGCUUCCAAUAGUGCAAUUGAUUAAUGAAAUUGCCCUCUUGAAUACCAUUAUAUGUGAGGCCCCAGUUCGUUCUACGUUGAUAUAUUCAUUAAUUGGGCGGUAACGUUUGGUUUUGGGAGUAUUUCGAAAACCCUAAGUAGGGAUUAAGAUUUAAACCCUAAGUUCCGGUUAAGAUUGAAAACCCGUUUUCCUACAUUUUCUUUAUUAGAAAAUGCCUCAGAUAAUUUUUAUUGAGUAAAUAGAGUUUUUAAAUGAUUUUUCUAGUAUUAGUUAGUUUUUGAGAAAUUAAGAACGUAUAUCGGACGUGGGACCCACUAGUGCGAAAAGUUCGGAAAAAUUCGGCCAAUUAGGUUAAAUUCCGGAUACUGUGUAAAAUUUAUCGGGUGUUAAGAGAUAAGUUGAGAGUGAGAAGUGAAUGAUGUGAGGGGGAAAAAGAAAGAUAAGAAUGCAUUAAUGAGUGUGACAAGUGUCACAAUAUGAUUGGUUGGACUUUAUGGUUUACUAUUCACAUUUUUUACUUUUGACCAAAAUUAGUUAAUAUCUCCAAAAAUUCACAAAAAAAUCACCAUUUUUCACCUCUUGAUGGCCGAACCUCUCAAGCUCAAGAAGAAAGAAAUUCUUCAACUUUCAAGCUUCCAUUUCACUCAAUCUUCCAAAACCAACCACAUAACUUAGAUUCUACUCCAUAAAAUCUAUCCUUUGGGUGCUUGUGAGUGGUCUAUUGAAGUUUUUUUGAAGACUUAAGGUGUCCAACAUCUUCCUCUCUCUUGGUUACUUGGUAAGUGGUAUAUGAACACCCUCCUAUAUCUAAUGAUGUUGAAUUUAUGCCUAAUGGUGGCUAUUGUGUUAGAAAUUGUGGUUUAUUUCAUGGUUUGGAAUGAAUUGGGUGAGUUUUUAUUUUUUUUUUGGAAUUUUCUGGUUUCAUAUGAUCUUGAUGGUGUGGUUGUUUUUGAUGGUUGGUAAUAAGGGGCUUUGGCUCUAGUAGGUGCAUUUGAUAGGAAAUUGCAAUCAAUUUUGAAUUUGGAAGAAUUUCUGGAAAAUUAGGGUUCUUGGUUGAACAUUCUGUCCGAAAUUUUAGGUCAUAGAUAGAGGCAGAAUUGGACUUUGCUCAAAACAUGAAAGUUGUAGGUAUUGACGUGUUUGAGGUGCCUGUAAAAUUUCAGGUCAAUCGGAGUAGCGUAGAGUGAGAAAAGUCGAAUUUACCCUUGCUGUUCUGGUUUUGGCCGAAUGUAAGAACUGCGAUUGUAAUUGGUUGUUUUGGUUGGGAUUGCUUCUGAAUUGGUUGUUAUGGUCUUCUGAUGAAAUGUAGCCUUAAAUCUUAGCUUUCAUAUGGCUUUGGAAUCUCGGAAUUUGGACUUAGGUAGCCUGUUUUAUGAUGUUUGUGCUAGAAUACAUUUUGUGAAUCUGUUUUUGCGAUGCUGGUGUAGUAUCUUGCAUUUUUGACCUAGUUACACUCAAAACCGGAUUGAGUGGCCUUCUUCAACAUUGUAGCCUCUUAGGUCCUGAAUCUACUUGUAAAAUUUCAGGUCAAAUGGAUUAGUGUAUCCUGAGUUAUGGACAAAACCAUCAGGCCUGUUUUAGACGUUCGUUUGUGUACAUUUUGAAUUUCAGUUUCUGACCGUGGGUUUUUCCGUAUUGAUCCCAUUCGAUCUGGGUGUCGACUCCUUCCUAAGAAAUUUAGAUCUUGGUCUCAGCUUCAAAACGGUAUAAAGUACGUCGGAAUCCGAGUUCCGUAGCUUCUGUUAUGACCCAAACAAUAUAGAUCGUCAGAACUGCCUUGUAUCUGGACAGUUCUGACGGGUAUUUUGGCACUCGAUUUUCGUUCUAUUCUGAGUGGAUUCAGAUCUUGGCCAAAACAUCAAAGUUUUAGCCUUAUGUUUCAGCUUUCUAACGCCUCUGGAAUUUCUUGAUUUCAAUUUCUGAGCCGUGAGUUACGGCCUUGCAAACAGGGCCUGUUUGGUAAACCGCAAUGAAACAGCUGGCACUGUUUCGUGCAUUUUUGACCUAUACCUAUUGAGAUCUGGGUUGAGAUACCUAAAUUAAAGUUGUAGCUCUUCCUUUUAGCUUCGAAACGGUGUCUCACCCACCUUGAUCCGACACUCCUAGCCUAACUUUUGACCAAAACGGUUUGAGAUGGCAGAUCUGGCCGUCCCGUUUGCCGUUUUCGCACUGGCGCGUGCCAAUUUUGCCGUUUUGCUUGUUUUAAGUACGUUAGUGGCCGUUUGUGAUAUAUUAUGACACAAUCUUCUAUUUCAGACAGUGGUGAGCUAGGCGGAGCCGGUGGGGCCCACUACUAGCGAACACGCGCGAAGCGAUUUUGCUUUAGUACUACUUUUGUAUUUUGGGUAAGUAUUCAGGCCAGUUUGGUGUGUUUUCUUUGCUAUGUGUUUGAGAUAUGUGAAAAGGGCACUUAGGCGAGGGUGUACUUUAUCGCACUCGACCUAAACCCUAAUUUGAAUGUAUAAUUGUAUUUGGCAUAUGUAUAUGAACCUUUUGGAACCAAAACCCUUGAGCUUGUGGCUCGGGGCGACUUUCGAAUAAAGUUUGUGAAGUUUGCAAAGUUUGUGAUUUUGAAUAAUUUUGUGAAGUUUGUGAGUUUGGGGCGAACUCUUGACCUGGUUGGACUAUUCGAGCCGGUUAGGGCUUGGUCGAAGUCAGUCCAACUUAGUCUGAGGUCACCAAGUUUGUAGGUUCAUGUUAUGAACCAAUUUUGUGAAUCCGGUUCACCGAGAAGGUGACCAAGUUUGUGACCCGAGCUUGUGACUCAAGCUCAAGUUUGUGAUUUCGUUCGCCCGGGCAAGUUUGUGAGGUGACUGGCCAGUGAGGGUGAUAAGGUGUCGGUGGGUGUACAAGGAAGUUCUACGGACUAUUAUUUGCGGUCGACGGAGUGUCGGCAGGAGAUCAUGCAUGGCACAUGAAUUGGCUUUGGAGCCACCCGUAUCCUUAUUAUAUGAUGUUGUUCUUUUCUGCUUUUGCUUUACUCUUAUUGUGUAAUUGUUGCUACAUGAAUUUACGCUUUCGCCCCUGUUUACUUACUAAGCAUAUAGCUUACCCCAUUCCUUUUGUUUUCCUUAGCAGGGGCCGACGCGGGGACUUUUGGCUCGUAUACUAGUAUAGUUAGUUUGGCUUGUAAUAGUUGAACAGUUAGGAUGUUUGUUUUUGUUUUGGUGGUUUGACUCGAUACUUUUGGAGAAUGGAAUUAUAACUCUUUUGGGAUUGUAUAUAUUGUAUUUAGAGCUCUUUCGAACUUUAAGUUUUGAGUCCUGGCGCGAGCUAGGCAGGCGGCCCGCCGAUACCCUUGGGUUCGCCCUUGGGAGAAGUGGGGUCGUCACAUUAUAUACGUUGUGUUUUUUUUUGUUUUUCUGAACUACUUUAUGUUGAAUUACUCUUAAGCAAAACUCUCUGAAAUAAUAAAUAUAGAUAUGGAAUUAUAUUAUGAUUGUGACUGCACUACUCUUCUUUUCAGAUUGCCGGAUUGUCAUAUGUUGUUAUAACUUAGUAUGCAAGCAUAUGCGUGAUUGAAAAAUAUGUUCAAAAUAUUAUUAUUUUCAAAAAUUAAAUUGCAACUGCCCUCAUAUAGCUCUUUCCAAUUAGACUCUCAAAUUGACGUCAAAAAUAGUAGAGCAAAAAUGUAACUCUCAAAAUGUAGAUUGUGUGUUUGGAUAGAAAUUAUUCGUCAAAAAAUUAUUUUUUUACAUCAUAAAUACAUUUUCAACACACGUUUUUAUCAUUUUAAUUAUUUUCUUAUCUUACAUAUAUCACCUUGAAAAAAAUAAUAUAUUAAUUAUUUCAAAUAAUCUCCUAUCUAAAUGCAGUAGUAUCAAGAGAACACCACCACCUAUGCAAUAAUCGUGCGAAAAACUUUUUUUGUGCAACCAAACAGGCCCCUAUUUGCCUUGAAAAAAAAAAAAAAAAAAAAAAAAAAAAAGAGUCAGAGGACAAAAUGGCAAAGCAAGGAAAGGUCGGGGAAAAGAAUAGGAAAAUCUAAAAAGACUUCAAACCUCCACACGGAAAGAGGAUCCGUGGCAAAACCGUUAUACAAUGGAUGUCUAGGGGUAGUAAUGCAAAUAGCCCUCGAAACUCGUGGACCCACGCGCUACUCGCUCACUCUCCAUCGUUAGCCCAUGCACCAUGGGGAUGUACCUCGAAAUCAACAACGUGACAAACCUUAACGUAAACCCAACAACACACAAACCCACACCUUGCACACUAAUUUCCACAUCCCUCAUCCCUUCUUCACUUUCACUCUUGCUUUCUCAGCACCCUCUCUCAUCUUGUCAGAAACUAAUCAAUUAAUACUACUAAAUCUGAUCUGAUAUACGUAUUUAAAGCCUUUCUUAAAUUCUCAUCAACAACGUUCCAAGGCUUCAAACUUUUGAAAUACUAGCUAGUUAUAAAAGAAUCCCACUGACACUAACAUGGUCACGUCAUGUUAGCAGUACUUGUAAUUUCGUCCCCAAAUUUGUCUUCUACAACUUUCAUGUUUUGCUUCUAGUAUGGGAGUGUAGGUGUCGGUGCCGUUCUGAUUCUUGAAAUCAAGGAAGACUGUAAAUUUUUUUCAGAAGUAGAGGAAGGAGUGUUAUAAGGGACAAGUUUUGAUUUUUUGACGAGUUUGAGUAGCUUGGGAAGUGGAAAAGGUUGAUAAGAGAGUAGCAGAGAAAAUAAAGAUGGGGGAAACGGGAAACCAUAACCACCAGCCACCGCCACGCCAGCCACCGCCGGGGCCGGUACCACCUCUCGGUGCAGCCAGAGGCCCUCUUUAUCCUCCUGCAGAACAACUUCUUCAGCUUCAUUACUGCAUCCAUUCUAACCCGUCUUGGCGUCAGUCUUUUCUUCUCUGUCUUUCUCUAUACCAACUGCUAGCUUGUGAUAUCUUUCUCGUUUCUUGUUAUAUGUAUGAUAUCUAAUCUAUCGUAUUGCUCUAACUUGGGUAGUUAAAAUAUUUGAUUUUUGCAUCAGUAAAGGGUCCAGUGUUUGGAUUUUACUUGUAUCCAACAUGCAACACUUUGGUGCUUUUAAUGUUUCUUCCUUAAUUUAUAGAAUGGAACGACGAUUUAUAAUGCCUACUACAAAGUCUGCAUUUUCCCCCCAUUUCUUGAUAGUAUGCCUCCUGAUCGUGUAAGCAAGAAUUCAUUGAUGAUAAAGUAGAUUUAUAAGUCGGACUGUGGAGAUUCCCCACUGCACCACUCGCUUGCCUUUCUGGUUUUCGCAAGUUCAUGCCCUGUAUGUGAUUUUCAUUUUCCCUAAUCUUGAGCUUUUCGAUUAAAGCUAAUUUGGGCUCUGUUGUUUUCAUAAUUUUGCAGAUCAAACUGUCCUCUUGGCCUUUCAGCACUACAUUGUUAUGCUCGGAACUGCAGUUAUGAUUGCUACAGUUCUCGUGCCAAGAAUGGGCGGAGGCCAUGUAAGGUUUUUUCAUUUUUAUCUGAAUGAGGACGCCUAGUUAAGAGAAGAUAGUUUCUGAAUUAUUAAACUCCUGAAUUUGUUAUUGUAUGAACAGGGUGACAAAGCCCGAGUGAUCCAGUCUAUGCUUUUCAUGUCUGGGAUAAAUACGCUUUUGCAAACUUUAUUUGGUUCAAGACUUCCUACAGUAAUGGGUCCAUCUUAUGCCUACUUUAUAUCAGUCCUGUUGGCCAUCAAUGAUUUCAAUGAUAGUAACUUCACCACCGAGCAUGAGGUACCUGAACUCACUCUAGAGAGUAAAUAGUGCAGGAAAACGAUCUACUUUAGCUGUUUGUAACCUAUUUUUAACGUUUGAAGCAUUCUAUAUAGACAACGUUAAGAAAGGCAGCUGACAGUUGUGAGUGUUUUUAUUGGCAAUGCUAUGCUUUUCUUAACCUGAUAUCUGUGUGUGACAGUCAUUUGUGACUUUUGUUUUACUCGUAAUUUAGCGAUUCCCUACAGUUUGUUAUUCCAUAGAAUGCUUUAGGAAAUCACCUUCAAGUCUGGCAUUACCUGUUCUUCAGCUAUUGCAAAAUUUUAACAAGAAACUUUCCAUGCUAGCAGUUUAAUUUUGGAAAGUAUCCAAUAUGAAAGGUAAUAUCCCACUCCCUGUUCAAAGGUCCCCCAACUUCAAGCAACAACAUUCGAAUGGGCAAAGGACCCAAACAAGUGCUCAACCUCGUAUAACAGCAUAUAUAUAACAUUACUUUUGUGGUCUUUUGGUUCUUGUCGAUGGGGGAGAGGAGGUAUGCUUUGCGUCCAAUAUAAGGUUUUAACCUGCUGAUUCUAGUCAUGAACGUAGUUUUAAAUGGGGUAGCAUGGGUGAAGGUUGGUUAAUAGGAGCCCUCUAUAGGGAAUUAAUUUCACUUCACCAUUCAAGCUCUUGCAAAGUUUCAUGCAGCCAAACCAACUAAGUUUUGUUCACGCUACAUCAUUAGUCCUCUAUUUGCUACUUAUGCUUAGUGGAAGCCUGAUAUGAGCUUAGUCAUAUUAUCUGAUUGCUGCUACUCCAUACAUACUCUCACAGUGAAGGUUUCAUUUAGAUAAUCAGGGUAUAAAAUGCAGUAAAAAGGGAUCCUUCGUAUAGAUUUAAUUGAACAUGUUCAUGUCAUUAGAAUCUACUCCUUUUUCACUUUUCUAAUUUGGGUGCUUGUAGAGAUUUACACACAUUAUGAGAGCUGUUCAAGGGUCACUAAUAGUAUCGUCAAUUCUCAAUAUUAUCAUUGGAUAUGGCAAGGCAUGGGGAAACCUUACUAGGUACAAAACUGUGGUCUAAUCUAUCUUCUGUUUUUUAUUUUGUUGUUUUCUCUUCGUUUUCCCCCUUACUACCACCUCACUCAACGGCAGGCAUCCAGGGGAAAAUCUUAAUGCACUCUAAUUUGAUGUAGGUUUUUCAGCCCUCUCGUUUUAGUGCCAGUGGUAUGUGUGGUUGGUCUGGGUUUGUUUGCUAGGGGCUUCCCACAGGUAUGUAUCCUUGAACUUUUUCUGGAGCUUGUUUCAAUUCCUAUAUGAUGGUUAGAAUGAAGAUUUCAUGGUUUUUGUACACUGGUUGGAUGUUUCUACAGCUUGGAAACUGUGUGGAGAUAGGGCUGCCCAUGUUAAUUUUGCUAGUUAUCAGCCAGCAGGUAAGAUAGUGUUCAUUUGACUUUUUGCAUGGGUGACCAUCACAAGGUUGGACUCUAAUUUGUAUAGUUUGACUGUAGUAUCUACAACACAUCCAUCCAAAAACCCGUCCAAUUCUUGAGAGGUUUGCAUUGCUGUUGUGUGUUGGAAUUAUUUGGGCUUUUGCUGCUAUUCUUACCGUGGCUGGUGCUUACAAGAAUGUUCGGGAUCAGACCAAGAUGAGUUGCCGCACAGACAGAUCUUUCCUGAUGUCAUCUGCUCCUUGGUAUGCUAAAAUAUGUGGUUCUUUUUUCCAAUUCAAGCUUCAUAUGAUUGAAUCAUGGUGUUUCUCUAACGCAGGAUAAAGAUUCCCUACCCUUUCCAGUGGGGAACCCCUAUAUUUAGAGCAAGCCAUGUUUUUGGGAUGAUGGGGGCUGCACUUGUUUCAUCAGCAGAGGUAUUACUUCUACGAAUUUGAUUUACCAAGGGACAUCAAAUGCUUUUCCUUGGAUUUGGUGCCCUUUGUUUUCUCUCUCUUAUUUUUCUGAUUGUUGUUCAAGGAUAUUAGAACAAUAAUCUUUGAAAGUUAUUUAUCCUUUAAUUUUUUGGUGGGGAAUGGUGGUUGUGAGUUGGUGGGCUGUUGAAAUGAUAAAUGUUCAGGGAUUAAGUUUUACAAGGGGUAAUUUGUUGCUUUAACUAUUUGCGUUGUACUGAUGUUAGAUUUCAUUGUGCAGUCCACUGGAGCAUUUUAUGCAGCAGCGCGACUUGCAGGUGCCACACCACCCCCUUCACAUGUAGUGAGCCGGAGCAUUGGCUUGCAGGUUAUAGUGCAAUCAAGAGGCUUUGAUCUCAAUUGCUAAUCGUCUACUAUAGUAUCGUCUCUUUUUAAGUAUUACAAUUAAAAAUGUUUAUACAACUAGAAAAGAAACUUAUAUGGUGUAUUCUUCGUGUUCGCAGGGCAUAGGCCAACUACUUGAUGGCAUAUUUGGUUCUUUGGUUGGUUCAACUGUAUCUGUGUAAGGAAUUAUGCCUCUUGGUGAAGAUGAAUUGCAGUUUCUGAAUAUUUCAAUAUUUAGUAGGCACAUUUAUUUCAAUCUCUAUGAGAAACAUAAUGCUAGGUGCAUACUAAGUGUUACUGGCAUGUGCACAAGUAGGUAUGGUUGAAUGGUUAGAUGCAGGAUACAUUUGGCAUUUCUUUUUCUUUGAAUGGGCACUUGAAUCUGUGAUGUGAUGGAAAUGCGGGGUUUACUUGUAUCCUUUUUGGCUUUUGAGCACUUAUCUAGUUCUACAAAGCAUGUAUGGUACUUGCUGUGACUGUCUAUACUGUCUUGAAAGCAAGGAAUUUAGCUGGGUUUCAGUCAAAGCAAUUUUCUGUUGUGGGGAUUUUAGAGUCUUUAAUCAGAAGAAUGCAGUGUAUACUGCUCUCCUCUUACCUAGUAAUCUGGAGAACUGGAAUUUAGUAGUUGAAUGGGGGGCUUCCUAUGCGAUGUCUAUUAUAGUACUGACCAUGUUAGUCUAGGAGAUUUUAUGGUAUACUCGAGUAAAUCUCCUGUACGAACUUUUUUUUUCUGAUCUUAAUAAAAUUUCUAAUUAUUGUGCAGGAAAAAAAACCACUUAUCCAGUUUUGUUAGAGUAGGGGUUGGAGGGGUUUCUAAAUAUUCUCUUCUGAUUGGCUUCCCGUUGUUUAGUGUCACUUGAUCUUUUGUCUGGAUUAAAUGCAGUGAGAAUGUUGGUCUUCUUGGGCUUACACGUGUAGGGAGCAGAAGGGUGGUCGAGAUAUCAAGUGGUUUCAUGAUAUUUUUCUCAAUAUUUGGUUUGGAUAUUUACCCAACACUUUUCCUUUUAUCCAUAUUACAGGUCCAAGAAUAAUUUUCCCCUAAUGCGGCAUUUUGUUGUUUGUAAUUUUGUGGCGACAAAUUUUUUUCAGGAAAAUUUGGAGCUUUCUUUGCAUCUAUCCCCUUGCCAAUAUUUGCUGCCAUAUACUGCGUGUUAUAUGCUAUUGUUGGUGAGUGAUGCUUCAUUGGUUUUGAGCCUCUUCAACGUCUUUUUAAGGCGUCUUUUUAAGGCGUCAAUGUUAUAACAGUAUUUAAUUCCCCCUUUUCAUGCAGCUGCCACUGGGAUAUCGUUCAUUCAAUUUGCAAACCCAAACUCCAUGCGCAACAUCUAUAUUUUAGGCCUCUCCUUGUUCCUAGGGAUAUCAAUACCGCAGUACUUCGUCAUGAAUACGGAUAUGGCUGGCCAUGGGCCUGCUAAAACUGGUGCUGGAUGGGUACGUACGAAUAUGCUAUGCUGAUCUCGUCUCCUUCACUCAACUCUCGCACUUUUUUUUGCUUUUUGAUAUGAUUAUUGUCUUCCAUGUAUGGCUGUAGAUGACAUAGGUAGUUUUGAUCAAGAAGAUGCUUUUAUGCGGAAAUUUCAACUAAAUUCGGUAUAAAACAAUAAGAAUCAAGAGUUCCGUAGUUAAACAGAUAAAGGUAACUCCAAGCUCUAUUGUGCUGAAUUAUCCAGGGUUUACACUUUUAGCUGAGUAAGACUUUUUAUGUAAUCAAUCCUGGUAUGCAAGUUCCUGUUGUGAACGUACAAAGCGCCUGAUUUGAUAUUUUUGACACGCUGAUAAAACAAUCUGCUAUAAUCUCUUUCAUUGAGCUUGUCUAAGAUUGCAAUUAUUGGAUGUUGGCUGCUGGGCUGAUGAGUUUCAUUUUCUUUGGUGCUUACAGUUCAAUAACAUAUUAAAUACAACAUUCUCCUCGCCUCCUACCGUCGCAAUCAUAGUCGGAACCCUUCUAGAUAACACUCUAGAAGCGGGGCGCGCUCGAGAUGAAAGAGGAUUGCCUUGGCUUGUACCCUUCCAGAGGCGAAAAGGAGAUAGCAGAAAUGAGGAGUUUUACAAUUACCCUCUUAUAAUCAACGAUUACAUCCCGACUAGAUUUCUGUGAAGAAGACGCAUUAAUAAAUUAUUGUACAUCUGUGGCUUGUGUUGAAAUCACACACGUUUCAAAAGUGUGUAUGAAAGGGGCCUGUUUUUUUCUCUUCCAUUUUUCUGAUCAGGAAGAAAAUUGGUCAGCAGUCAGUAUUGAAUACUACACUAACCACAAGCCUUUUAUUAUGAUUGGCAUAUUUGGACCAUAUUAUUUGCACGAGGGAAUCAUGCAUGACUGGACAGAUUUGACCUAGGUGUUCUCCACAUACUUCAUUGACUGAUGAUGUCGACUUCCGUUCCGUUCCGUUCAUUAUCGGAUGUCUGUCUUCACGUUCUAAGAUGAGCAAGCAGCAAAAGCAAGUCCGGAAUUUCGGCAGCCAGUUAAGGUCAUUUUGAUCCUUCUGAAAGGAGCGUCUGUGUGUGUGAGGUCAUUUUGACUGAAAGAUGGAACUUUUUAAAAAGGAUGUUGAAUAUAAGCAUCGAGCGUUAUUUUGACUUGAAGAAGAUGUAAAGUGCGUCAUACUUGAAUUAUAUAUAUAUAGUUUUAUUUCGAAAUUGUCCUUUUGUUGGGUUUUGAUAAACUAAUUUGAAAUUCCUAAAUGUUUGAAAAUUUAUCAAUUUGCUUUUUAACGGAAAAUUAUAAGUUUUUUAUUGAGGUUGGGAGAUCCUCAAAGAAAAUUUAUUCUACAUUUUCGACAAAAGAUGUUAAAACCUUACGACUUAUGAUUAAUUUACAAAACGCAUAAUAAAAGUCAUCCAUAAUAGUAUAUAAAUGAAAUAAUUUUUUUUUGCAUCUUCAGAGCAUUUCAAAUUAAUUUUUUUAGCCAUCUCAAAUAAGUUAUAAAUAUAAAUUUAAACACUUUUCCAUCUUUUUUAAUUUACAAUCCAUCGAUAUGGAUAAAAAAAAAAUGAAAAUGCUAAAUAAUUUAUAAAAUUUCUUAAAUUCCAGCUUGCAUAUCAAAAAAUUAAGGUGGACCCAACAUUAAAGUUUUAAAACCAUAAUCUAUCCCCUCAAUUGCGACACUUUAGUAGAGAGAAGAAAUCUGACAUUCGGCCAAAAUAAUCGACCUCCUAUUAUAAUAUCAAAUAAUUGAACCAUAAAGGAGACAAAAAAUUUUCUUUUUCUAAUUUGAAAAUAUUUUUUAAUAUUUACAAAUUUUUUGCUUAUGGUUGCGGUUGCCAUAUUUUGUUCCAUCGCAUUUACAUCUUCAUACUUUUGUCUUUUGUUUUUAGCUUUUUAUUAAUAUAUUUGUUUAUUUUGCAAUAGUGAGGAAAUCGAAAGGCAAUAAUGUUGGAAAGAAACUAUAAUGUUCUCUUUUCUUAAAAUGAGCGAUUCUUUUAAUAGCAUAUCUUGAAUUGGGUUUAAAAUGUUACAAAAAUUUAAAAAUAAGAGAGCUAAGUAAUAUUUUUGAAACCUCAAACAUCUCCUAGGUGAUAUGUUGCUCGAAAUCUCUAGGUAUCCUUCUGUAAUUAUCCCUCGUAUAAAACAAAACAGAUUGGAAAAUCGUCUGAAUUGACAGCGUGUUAGCUGCCGGACAAAAGGGUCCACGCGUUUUAUCUUACGCACUCGUUCAUGAAUCGUUCCACAAACAAUCACGAAGUUGUUAGGUCGAUGAUGAGAGCUGAGAAGCCCUUACUUCAAGAGCAGCAUUCUCGAAAGGGAUAGCACUCUCUGUAGUCUGUAUCAAGUACCUACGGGACUAGAAUUUUCAUGGAUUUGUUGCUUUCCUUACCAACGUUUAUUCCACUUCGAUUGAGAGAUGCUAUUGGUCCCAUUCGUACAUUGCGGGGAAGCAAAAUGGAAAUUUGAUUGUAAUUUUUUGAAAUUUUUAUAAAAAAAAAAAUAUUAUAACAAUUUGAUAUAUAUAUAUAUAUAUAUAUAUAUAUGUGUGUGUGUGUGUGUGAAUGCUGAAAUAAAAAAGUGAUUAAAAAAAUACGUUCACAAGAAAAUGUAGAGAUUUUUUUAUUAAAAAAUAAAGAAAAUCUCUUUUCAAACAAGGACUUUCUGUUAUUCUAUUCUUGUAGGGCAGGGAUUUGACGGGUCAACUCGUACGCCAUGAUCAUCAAUCAAUGACCAUAAUAUAGAAGAAGUUCAGUUCAUGUUUUGAGUUGCUAGUUUCUAUUUACAUUUCAUGAACCCUACAACAUUUAGUGUGGUUGGCUUGAAAGGUAAUUCAAAAGUCGGAUCCUCUUGCCUCCACACAGGUGAGAGGUCAGGAUUUCGGAACACCGUCCCUCCCAUCUUUGUCUCGCAAUUUUCUGCUCCCAAUUGACCAAAGGAAAGGCCCUGAUCAUUCAGCUAGCCAGUCCAGAUUAAAGCAUUCCUCGGCAACUUGAACACAAAGAUUCGAGCCAAUCUUUUCCAAAUCCUUCCACAACCAAGAAACCUCUUCAUCACAAAUCACGCGCUGCAAAGACUGCAAUGCUGCAACAGACAUUGGCACGUUUCUAAUCUGUGGACAUUCCCUCAUAUCAAUCUUCUCUAAACUUCUGCACCCGCCAAUUUCCUCCGGCAGGCAUCGCAAAUUUACACACUGCGAGAUGUCUAGGUACUUCAGCCAAAUAAGAUGACCGAUUCCAGAGGGAAGGCUUCUUAGUUUUGGACAGGCAUAGAUCCUUAAAAUUUGUAGUGAACUCAGUUUACCCAAAUCCUUUGGAAGUCUUUCAAGAGUAUCACAAUUAGUGAUGCUCAGGCUUCUCAGUGACUGCAUCCUGCAUAUGGAUGGUGGGAGCUCAGAAAAAUUGAUGCAGUGAUCCAUUGUGAACUCUGAGAGACGUGGAAAGAGAUGGGGCAAGUCUACAACUGAUUGAUCAAGGUUGUUGUUGAUAUCAGAAAGAAUUAUUGACAUCUUUCGCAAAUUUUCUAGGGGUAUCAUUCUGUCAGGCAAGCGAGGAACUGACACUUUUUCCAACCAGAGGCUCCUCAAGUUGCUUAAAUUGCUGAACACCGACACAUUGUGUAGGACUGCACUGGAGGUGCCAUAGUUGAUGAGUAUCAAAGCUCUAAGCUUGGGCAUGUUGUCAAUGAAAGGAGGCAAGAAGUAUUCAUCUGAUGAAAAAUUCAAUAUGAGCACUUCAGCUUUUGGAAAAUCCAUCUGGAACCAGUCCAUCCCUCCCAUUCUCCCUGAAUUCAUAAAGUAAAAUAUAUUUGUAAGCCCUCAAAGUGGAUCAACUUUUAGGACACAGAAAAGUUAGCUGAGUUGUGACACUCUUAAAAUAAUUGAAACAAUGGAAGUCUGUCAAUUACAUGCCCUGGUCAUAAUAGCAGCAGCUGAUAACACUAGGGCAAAAUAUCAUAAAAGUAGCAUAGCAAUGGCCGAGUCAAGCUAUCAAGCAGUAAAUAUGAUAUACCUGUAUACACGGAGACGAUCUGUGCAUUGAAUGGCUCAUCCAGAUUCCUCUCCCACUCCUUUGGCAGCCCUUCUUCUCUUCUUGGCAUAAGCAGACGCCUCCGUCUAUUGAUGUCCUCACGACUACUUAAAUAAAUUGCCAGGUCCCUCAGCACAUCAUGUUGCGAUACACAUAUUUCAUAAUAAGUGCUAUACAUGUCUCCUGAUCUGUGCAGUGAAAAUGGUUGAAACGUUUCAGAACACUACUUUUUUUUUUUUUGGUUUUUUUGGGAGGGGUAGGGGGGAAUUAAAAAGGAAAGAAAAAAGAAAGCAUGCGUAUCAAUUGACUUUCACAAACAAGGAGGAAUUCCAAUUGACAGAUUGAAUUUUUGCGCUACAACUAAGGCACAUACCGAGCAUCUUUCACGAGCGUCAGGAGAUUUUUGUUUGAAAGCUCAACAAGAAUAGCAAAAGCCUCCUCUUCAUCAAUAUCAUGUAGUUCCACCCACAUGUUAAUGACGAUAUCUAAAGGAAUUUUCUUAUCUUCUGGAAAGGAACCCAAAUCCAAGAAACAUUGUCUGACUUUAUCUGGCAAGUAAUCAAUACUCAAUUUCAUCCGCUCAAGCAGUUGGACUUCAUGAGAUUCACAAAUUGGUUGGCUUCGCGAUAAUCUGUUUUUGGCACUUGUCCAGAACAAUUCAGGCUGGUCCCUUAGAGAGGCUCCGAUCACCUUUAGAGCCAGAGGGAGCCCUUUACAUUCAUCAACAACCUAACAGAUGCAUUUUGAUCCUUUAGCAUUUGCAGGAACUAAGAGAGCAAAUGACAGCAAGUCAGCUAGCUAAAAAUGCUAACCUGUUUAACCAGGUUUUUAUUGAUUCCGAGAGGGAUGGAGUUUUGUCCAAAGGCAAAGCGGCAGAAUAGGGACAUAGCUUCAUCUUCCCUCAAUAACUCCAAUUCAUACGUGCAAUCUGUGACUUGUUGGAACUUGAAUCUUGAAACCACAAGGAUUUUGCAGCCAGGAAUCCUAAAUUUCAGCUGUUCAAGGACAGAAAGUGACCAAACAUCAUCAAGAACAAGAAGAGUCUUUGCAGCAGGUUUGAUAUCAUACUGUAGCCUCCAUUGCGGAAUCAUAGGGCUAAAACCAUCAAUCGAGUUGCCAGAUAUCAUUUCCCAAAUUUUUGCUCUCAGUUGCUCCACAUUUGGAGAUUGAGAGACAGUGAGGAAGAAAACUCUGUUACUGAAAUGGCCUAAAAUCACAACAGACAUUCCAAGUACGUUUAUCAGGAUCAGAAUAACACAUGAUCAUGCUAAUUUCAGCUCCACAAUGCACCAAAAAUCAAAGAGCAGCGUUUCCUCUAGUAAAUUGAUUCUACAAAUAUUAAAGAUAUACUACUAUAUUAUUAACGGUAAAGACAACAAUUACAUGCUGGAAACCUUAUCUAAUGCAUCAAAGCUUAUAAGAAAAAGAAUAAAACUUGAUAAGAAGCAAAAGACUUGAAACUUCUAUAUUUCUUAAACAAUAACAGAACUUAUUUCAAGUUUUGAACUCUCUCUGUCUUAUUCAGGUCAUACCUAGCUCAUUCUCAAUAAGUAAAAGCAGAACAAACUAGCAGUAGUUCAUGAACUAGAAGAAAAUCUAAGACUAAUACCACACCAAAAAAAAAAAAAAAAAAGGAAUAGAAACUAGAAGAAAUACUACAAUUAGUACUUAAAUAGUAACUUACUUCUGACUUGAUCAUCCCGGCAAAUUUCUCUAGCCAAGGUUGUCUUUCCACUACCACCAAUCCCCAAUAUCCCAACCACACUCAAAUCUUCCCUGCCCAUCAGCAUCUCCUUCACCUUCCGCUUACCCAACUCCAUCCCAGCUCCCAAACUCAUGAACCCACCAUCACCACCGCACAUCUCCUCCUCCUCCUCCACUCUCUUCACCGCCUCCCCGAUCCAACCACCACUCUCAUCAACUAUACCAAUCUUCAGUCCACCAAGCCUCUGCUCCAGCCUCCUAGUGGACCCCUCAAUCCGAUCGAACCUCUCCGCCAUGUCGAACCUCACGUGGUGCACGUCGGCAAGCACGUGAGCUUGCAUGGGGCCAUGCACAAACCUGGAAAUGGUCUUCUCUAGCUUCUCCAUCUUCCUUGCUAGCUGCAAAUUCUUGUACACAUUCCAACGCGGGGAUUUGAGAACUUGUGCGGCCAGUUCUUGGCCGUCCCGGAGCUUCUGGGAGAUAAAAUCCAGCUGCCGCUGACGAGUGGGAGGGAGCUCGACGCCGGUGUAUUUGAUUUCGCGGAUGAUGGGGAUGAGUUCUUGAAUGGAGUCCAUGAGGUCCUGGGCGCUGGACUUGCAGAGGGUGGAUUUUCUGCAGAUGGUUAUGAGUUGUUUCAGGAGCUCGGUGGCUAUCUCGCCGGCGAAGAAAUCGGUAACCGCCAUUUUUAUUUAUUUAUUUAUUUGUGUGUGUCGGGCUGGGCCAGGGCUCAGUGGAGAGAGGGGCUUUAGCGGUUUAGCCACCCACAGUAGUGGUGGUGGACAUGGACAAGGAAAACUGAAGCUGCCUGUUAGGUUCGGUUUAUAAGGAAGGGGAAGGAAGUAGGGAACAGGGAUGGAAAUGUGGGGCAGUGGAUAAGGCCCCCGCGACGGACCGAAAAUGGCACAAAUGCCCUGCCAACUUGCCUUUGAUUUUGGUUUUGGUUUAGAAGAAAGAAAAAGGAGACAGGGACAGUACUUCUAUUUCUAGACCUCAUGAUUGCUAUCAAACCAGCUACCAAAAAUAUCUAAGAAAUUUUUGUUACGGUAUGAUUUUUCUUUCUUGAUUUAAGCUUGUAUGUUUCACAUUCCAAAAAAAGUACUUCUAAAAUUCAUGGGCCGUUUGUCAAGUUUAGGUUUUUUUUUUUUAUUUGUCUAAAAUUUUACUUUAACUUAUUAUAAAAGUUUUUUUUAAAGAAUUUUUAAAUAUUUUGAAGUAUAUAGUUUAAAAUUUUUUAAAAUUACUAUAACUAAAAUUUUAAAAAAAUUUGUAGCAGACAAACUUGACAAAAAAUUUAUCCGCUUAAAACUAAUUUCACCAUUUUGUGUGUGUGUGUGUGUGUGUUUUUGGAUGACUCCUAGUAUUUUUCAUUUCACGAUUUCGACUGUUGUUUUAGAGAUUAUUUGUGCUUUAAUUUUGGUAUCAUUUGGAUUGCUAUUUUUAAAAAAUUUUGUAGAAAAAUAUACCAUAAUUAUUUGAUUAUGUGAUAUAAAAAAUAAUUAAAAAAUAUAUUCAUGAAAAAUAUAAAAAAAUUUCUGCCAAAAAUCAAAAUCCAAAACAUAAAAAAUUUGUCAAAGUAUGAAAAUCCGAUACAAUUAAUUUUUCUUUCAUACGAAGCGCGAAUGGUGACUUUGGAGAAAUGCCGUAUUUCUUAAGGUUUCUUUUUUUGUAUCUUAAUUAAUUGAGGUUGGCCAGGCUGCUAACAUGUGUUUAACGCAGGAAACAUUUUUCUCAUUGUGCAUAUUGACGUUGAUAACACAUGAUGUCCACUCUAUACCUAGUUAUGGUGGAUGUCCUGUUUAUCUUUGGUGAGGUUCAAUGUAUCAUCCACCUCAAUCCCUGGUCAAGCAUAUAAUCAUUCUUACUAACGCAAGCCCUUUGUAAUGUGGUACAAAACAAAAGUUACUUUUCAUUAGUUUAAGUUCCAACUGAAAGAAAUUAUGAAACCCAUCAGUUUUAGAGAAUCUAAUAUAUAGAAUGGUUUGCACACUAGUAUUAGUCACUGCUUGAAGUCUAGCGAGUUCCUUAGAAAUAGAGAUGUGACCUUAUAUGAGUAUUUUAAUGCAUUCAAGGUAGCAAUUAUAGACGGGGACUAAUUCCACUUUGCAAUUCUAAAUUUAUAUCACCUUUUUACUUUACAUUCUAAAUUUGAAUUUUUUAAUUGCAUUCUAAAUUUUUCUAACAUUGUUCUUGAUUAGAUUUAAAUGAAACAAACUUAAAAACUAAGAGUAUAAACUAUCCAAAACUAGAGCUUAUCGUGCAAAAUGGAAAAGUAAUAUCAGUCUGGAGAUACAAAAUAAUUAAUGUAACAUUUUUUAUGAUGUGAUGUAUGUGAGAUAAAAAAAUAAUUAAAAAUAUAAAAAAAUAGAUUAAAAAAUAUAUUUAUAAUGUAAACAAAAUAUUAUUUAAAACAAUGAGAUAUCCAAACACACUCAGAAUUACGUCUAAAAUCAAUCAAGUUCAAGGGACAGGGAGACUAAUGAAAGUAUGAGAUCAUCUACAUCAUACCUAGAGAUGUAAACGAGUCGAAUCGAAUCGAGUAUUUCAUGUUUGAACUCUGUUCGUUAAGCGAUUUGAACAACGUUUGUGUUCAUUCGUUAAUUUUCGAAUUCUAAAUCUGUGUUCGUGUUCGGCUCGUUAAGCAAAAUUCGUGUUCGAGUUUGAGUUCGUGUUCAACUCGUUUAACAUAAAUGAGCCAUUCGCGAACAUGCUCGAAUCCAAAUUAUUUUAAGCCUUAAAUAUGUCAUGCAAAUCAUUAAUCAUUCUAAAAAAUAAUUAAAGUACUAAGUGACUAAAUUCUAUUAUUUAUUAACUAUCUAACUAAUAUUAACAUAAAAAUAACAAAUAAAACAAAGCAAUUUGCCCUCCAAAUAUAAAAGUCCAACCAUAAAAAUUAACCCUAAAAUUUGUCAAAUGAUAAUUAUGUCAAUGUUCGCGAACGUUCGUUAAAAAUUGCGAACAUGUGCGUGUUUGCUCGAUUAUUAAUCAAACAAAAAAAUUCGUUCGAACUCGGAUCGUUUAAAAUUUCAAACGAGUCUUUCAUGAACACGAACAAGUCAAAACAAAUCGAGCUACCGAACAGCUUGGUUCGUUUAACAGCUCUAAAUUCAUACCAUCGAUGACCGCAACAAUCUUUCAGAAUAUUCCCAUGGAUAUGCCCUACGGAUCAAAAGCAGUUUACGUGUACAAAAGCAGACUAAAAUGAAAAUCAAAAUCGUCACAUGUACAAAUAAAUGAUCCAUUGCCCUUUGUUUGAAACUCAAGAAUCAAAUCAACUAAAAACAGACCGAAGUAAAGGAAUCCGUAAAUUUGAAAAACCUGAUUAUGAAAAACAAAAGCAAAGUAAUCAAGUUAAGCCACAGUUUAAGUAGGAAUGGACACGGGUUAAGUCUUCGCCUUAUACACGAUUUGGUUGACCUAACCCAUACCUUAUAAGCCUGUGAUUUUUUGACAUUUAUCGGCCUUGCAUAUCAAUGGGUAUAUGUGGUUAUCAGAUACCCUUUAAAAAAAGAUUGGGUCAAUGGGUAUUUUUUCCGAGCCCGCUCAUUAUUUAUUUAUUAUUUAAAAUAAUUUAUACUAAUUUAAUUUAAAUUUUAUAUAUUCAUCUAAAAGUCAUCAAAGAUUUUUUUUCUUAAAAAAUGUUUUCUAUCAAAAAACAAACAUGCAAAGAAAAUACAAGAAAAAGAAAAAAAUUAAAAGAAUUAAAAAUCAAUGAAAAUUUUUAAAUACAUAUUCCAUGUCAAUUAAAAUAUUUUCUAAAAAAAAAAGAUUAUGAUAUCUACAAAUGAAUCUUAUAGAUUAACUAUAGUCUAUCAUAUUUUUAAUGCAAUUUGUUCAAUGAAAGUAUACAAAUAAAAAAAUAAAUAAUAAAUAUGUGGGAUUGAUUCGAGUACCUGCGAGUUCUUAAAUCUGUAAUUCUAAUCCACCCUACAUAUAAGCUGAUAACCAAUCCUGAAAUGAAUCAGAUUUAGCAAGUUUUCGAAUGAGUAUUUUCGCCCACCCUUAAGUUUAAGUUAUUGGAGUAGUCUUUUUUCUUUUUUUUAAUCCCUCUCCCACUUCCCCCCUGGCCAAGGGCUUUAAUUCCCUGCCCCUGGCCACCGGCAAAUUGGAGCAGCCUCGACUCUCAACACUGAAAACGUGAGAAAAUGAUGAAUAAAAUAGUAAAAGAUUAGAAGGACGCUUGCGAAAUCAAUGACGUACACGGCUAAAACAUCACCUCCUAAAUUUCCCUAUCGGCCAAACUUCCACUUGAGUAAUUAAACCACUCUGUUUUUCUAAGUCUUUUAAGCUUUCUAAACAUAUCUUAAUCUAUUUGAAUCAUGCAAGAAAGGUACUUGACUUUAAUAACAUGCCACUACCAUAUAUUUAAUUUUUCUUUGAAGCUUCUAGAACGAAAAAAAGCAAAAUGUGCUUCAAGAUUCCAACAAAUAGAAAACAUUAGGCCUUCCCUUUUUUUUUAUGUUUUCUAUUUUUCAUAAAUAUAUUUUUAAUUAUUUUUUUAUCUCACAUACAUCAAAUUAUUAUAAUAAAUUUUUUUACAAAAAUUUUAUAAAAUAACAAUUCAAACGGGAUCUUAAUUUAAGGUCACCUCAAAGGAGCAUUGCAAUUGUUUAGAAAAAGGGGGAAAAUGCAGAUUUGGAGGUAUGGCCCGUGGGACUUAUCUUUAUGAUUACGUCAAUAUAAAAAAAUAAUACGAAUUUCAACAUUGAGUGUAAGUUUGUCAAUCUUUAAUGAAUCCAUGGAUAAAUAGUCUUGAUCAUAUUACCAUUUAAUGACCAUGUGGUACCGUUUUGGAAAAAAAAAAAAAGAAAAGAAAAGAUGGAUAAAUAGUCUUGAUCAUAUGGGUUGAUCGAUGGACCCCAUCUGAUCAAUGUCACACAUGCUUAUAUAGCUUUUAAUCAGUAUUUCUAUUUUCUAUGCUACCAUCAAACUAGACUGGAGAUGGCGUUUAACCUCUGGGUCGUGCAGUUGAUAUUUUGCCUCGGCAACAUUCAUUGCCAGCUAACAGUCUAACACUAACUUUGGGUCGGUUAGGUUGCACAUCAACGACCACUAAUGGACGACUAAUUAAUUGUCCAUUAAGAGGCGGGAUGAUGGCGGGCAUCACAAGUUGUUCUUACCAUCUCAUGAGUGCUGGCUAGAAUUUUUGUGAAAGACAGACAAGUAAAUAAACUUUGCCGAUGGAUUAUGGAUUUUUACUUCAAUAAUUGUCCAGCUUCAAAAUUCCAAUUCAUGUUCAGAAUACCUGAAAGACCUCGACAAUCAUGUUAGGUUUGGUUUUAGGAAAUUGACUAACGAGAAAAUAAUAGAGUUCUUGGCAGCUUAGUAAUGAUAAUAAUAAAAACAAAUAAAUUAAACAGAGAAAUACAAGAAUUUACGUGAUUUGGUCCAACUGACUUGCGUCCACCGACGAAGGGGUGGUAGAUAAUAGAGUACAAAAUCCUAAGAUAUAAUUAUCAUGCUUAAAAGGCACCUAAAACUGAAAAUACAAAGGAACUUAAAUAACAGAAAUUACUUAACGGCUCAAAGGCCUAUGACUUUUUCUUUUGGUUUGAUGCUUAACCAAAACCUCUCUUAGAUUAGGGAGUAGAUCUCCUUUAAAACUCUCUUGGACUGGUGUACAUGGCACUUGGGCUGGUGCCCUUAGAUUCAAGAGGACUUCGAAUUAAUUUAUUCUCAAAGAUUCAAGAGGACUGAGAAGUGAUUCUUCAUUAUUAUUAUUAUUAUUUUUUUAUCAGACGAUAACAAUUAGCCUAACCUAUUUCUAUUCCUACUCCCACUCUAACCACACUGGGGAGGAGAGACCCGACGGCGUCUAGAGAAACUGAUGAAAACUGAACCACUUUUAGACUAGACUGGUAUAAUACGUACUCGUAUGAAUUUAGAAGAAAUCACGUAUAAUGACACGUUGAUGGGAGACAAGGUUUGAAUCUUUAAUUCUUCAUUAUUUGAUGAUAAGUUGUCUAACAAAUGUCAGUAAAUAUUUCUUUAAUACACUUAAAAUCAUUCCUCCACCUUAGAUUUAUACACCAUCCUAUGUUUAAUUUAUUUUUUUUCCAAAAUAUUAACACAUGAAUGAAAUCUGUGAUUCAGAACUUUGAUGAUUAGAUUCAAUUUUCCACCGUAGCUCCGGCUAGAUGGCUAUAUGUGCUUCUUUUUGGCCCAAUCCUUCCAUUCCGUGUCUCAUAAAUGGUGGCAUAGGCUUUGAAUACACGGAAAUUGUCUCUUCGGAGACUCCAUUUAUGCUUCUUUGGACAGGACUUCAUUCUGAGUCUUUGAAAACUAAGCUGAAAAUGAAUUAUUCUGCCCCUAGUAUUCAUAUGUUUCAUGCUCAUGCAUGCAUCACAGCGGAUGCUGAAGUCCAAAUUUGCGGCAACAGUUUUUUGUUCAUUUUCAUGCCGAUGGGGUCCCUAAAUUGUAUAAUUAGGUACGGGUCUUCGUCUCAUAUCCUCUAUGAAAGAGAAAAUUCAAACAUAAAAUAAAAAAAAAAAUUUCUGUGCAAGUUAGAGAAGAUUUAUCCGGACAAAGACGGUCAAGCCUUCAAAUGAAAUGAAACCACCGUUCUUUGUAAAUAAAAAAUUUUAGCAAAUCCGCCGGAAUGAUAUGAUUACCUCUUGCACUGUGACUAUUUAAUAUAUUUGUUACAGGUCAUUAAUUAGCAAGAAUUAUCAAGUUUUUUUUGUUUAAGGCUGAAGGGAAUGACGGCCCAAUAAAAAAAAAAAAAAAGAGGCGUUGUAUAAAAGUUCAAAAAAUAUAAACUUUUAAUCCUGCAAGAUAGCAUUAGUGUACAUUAGUAAAUGGAGGAUCAAGGACCUCUACAAUUGUCAUAGGGGAUUGCACGGUGUAGCGUAGAUAUUAAAACAACAAACGUAAACACUAAGACAACAAUAUGUAAAAACACAAUAAUUCUUUUCAAUUAUUAAAAUUGUGUUUAAAUUUUAAUUCCAAUCAUUUGAAUUUAAAUACAUCGAUUUCUCACCAUCAACUGCUCAUUGCAAUCAGGGCUGUGAUUACAGAGAACCCGAAUCCAUAAAUUGAAUACUCCUUCCGUCCCCCAUAUUUAGUCAUAUUUGGAGAUAUGUAUUUUUUAUGUAUAGUGCACUUCAUCAAAAAGUUUUUUUUUUUCUUUAUUUCACUUUUACCCUUAAUCAUGUGUUAGUCAAAGUAAGAAAUAAAAAACAAUCCAAUCACAUUUACCUUUAUGUAUCAUUAAUAAAGGGUACAAGAAAAAUUUCAGAAUAUAAAACAGUUAGAAAUGUCAAACAUGACAAAUAUUUUAGGACAGGUAAAACAGAAAAAGUAUGAUAACGGGACGAAGGGAGCAUUAAAUAUUGAGAACGUUGUACUUCGUAGUUGCGACAUCCGCAUCACAGUUGCAUCAUGCAUGGCCAUUUAGAUGUUGUUUCGAACUCAGCAUGUAUUCAUGCUUUCAUCAACAUGCCUAAUUAGAGCUGCGAACAAGUACUAAACUAGCCAAAAUUCCGGCCAAGCACUGAAUCAAGUUCAAUUUAAGCUCGAAUAGCUUAAUUCCUGCAACUAAAUUCGAUGUUUUCGCUUCGCAUCAAAUCGAGCUUAAAAAUGUUCAGUAGCACUAGUUAUUAAACCAAUUCUAGACCAACUCUUAUCGAGUGUCAAAAGUAAAUGGAAAGAACGAAGUUGUCAAGGGACCGGCAUGUUACACUUACAGACAGGACGACGCGAGUGUCAGCAAACCAGAGAAAAUGGAUGAGGAACUAGAAUUACGUUCAGCAGUAGCAGUCAAGGCAAAAUACUUUCAAGACGCUUAAAGUAAAUAGAUCAUAGAACGAUGAUGUAAAACGCAAGUCAAAUAGAAUAUAAUGAGAUUUAUACUUGCGUCUUUUGUAUACUUGUAGCACUUGGCACGAUCUGAUUUGCAUCCUAGGACAUGGCCAAACCAGCAGCACCACCAGAUUGAGGACACGACUACUGCAACAUUGUGACACGGAAUUCUUCAAAGGUCGUCGUCGGGAGAGAGAUGAUUGAUCGAGUUUCCUUCUUUCAGCCAUCAAAAGCACGGGAGUCCGGAGACUGGGAAUGACAACGAUGUCUCACCGAAUUGAACAACAAUAAAUAAAGAGAGAAAAAAAGGGGAAAAAAAUUGUGGAUCGUUGACCGACUAAAUGGCCAUCGGACCCCGACUCAAUUCCCAAACAUAUUAUUAUUAUCUCAUCUCCGUUCCGGGCCCGGGGUUGUCAAUCUUGCCAUCUCAUGGUUCGGAGUGGAGUUGAAAAAGUCGAACCAGGAAUAAUUGCUAGCGUCAUGAAGAUAAGGGAAAUGGAUUUUUGGUAAGCGUGGCAAUCCGCAAUCAUGUUGGUAUCACUCAUCGGUACAAACGAACCUAAGUUAAUUUAUGUAAACUUAGAUCCGCACGGAUUAAGUGUUUACGAGGGUGUUUUAAAAUAAUUUUACGGUAACGGUGUCGGUGUGUGUAAAAUUUUUUUUUUAUUAUACACGAUUCGUUUGGAAUUGGUAUUUUUAAAGUCGUAUUUUCGAAUAUUUAUAGAAUUCAAAAUUUUUGUGAGUAUUAUUAUAGAAUUGUUAAAAUUUUCCUAUCACCUGUCACCAUCAGUGUCCAGCAUCGCCAGCAGCCACCAUCGAUGGCGGUGGUGCCGCGUGAAAAAAGAAAAAAGUUUAUGAUUUAUUUUAUUUUUUAGUUAGUGUAUUUGAAAUUGUAUGAUUUUAACCCUCAAAAAAAUUGUGUGAUUUUGGAGUUGUUUCUAGAGUUUAUUUUUUGAGUGUAUUACAGUGUACAUCUCACAAACAAAAACAGUUUGUGGGGAAAAAAAUAGCAAAUCCUCCCAACGGAGCCGCCAUUUUCUCAUUUUCCAUCACCAAAAAUUUGUUUAUUGCUAUUCGAUUCAAAGAGAGUUUUACGUCUUAUAAAAUGAAAAAGAAUAUAGGAAUGACUUGAGAUUGAUUGUUAAUUUUUUUUUUUGGGCUGGUCAGAAGGAGGCCCAGCAGCCAUUGCAAACUAGUACUAAAAACGAUGAUGGAAGGCUCCCAUCAAGUCUGCAGAGAUUUAAACUGGAUCAAGUACUGAGGUCUCUUAAGAGUCUUUUCUGCUGUCGGCUAUACGUGACUGUUGGGAAUGGAAAAGACGUGAAAAUAAAAGAGACAAAAAAAAAAAAGGUCCAAUGCCAUCUUUGGUUGAACCAAGAAUCUAGUGAAUACCUGAUUAAUGUAUCCAUCAGCUGAGUGGGUCUAGAGGACAAAAGUGCUUGCUCUUUAAUCCACUUCGUUAUGGGUAUAGAUUGGAGCCAAGCCCAAUUUGUGAAGCACCAUGAAUGGUGAAACCCGAUAGCGUGGAAACAGCUAUAAGCAAGCACGCUUCGAGUCCUCGGGAGGGCCGUUGUUUGGUUGCAAAAUCAGACCGUAGCCACCUUCGGAGAAAAGAACCAAAAUGGAAUCCAUUUGCGUUGACGUUUGAUGUCGUUGCGUCCAACAGUUAAAGCCAGUUAUUGUGUAACGGCCCCACUUCUCCCUAGUGCGUACCCUAGGGUAUCGGCGGACCGCCUGUCCAACUCUCGCCGGGACUCAGUCAGUCACUAUAAGAAAAGAUAAGAAAAACCACAAAACAAUCGAAAUAACAAUAAUUCCAAAAUUAAACGUGAACUUAUAUACAUUACUGUCUCAAUGGAAGUACAACUGUCAAAAUAUAGGUUCUCAAUUCACCAUACAACCAGCCCGUGCCAAGCACUAGGGCGAGAACCUUUACAAAAGAAACCAAAGUACUACAAUGGCCAAUCUAUUCGUAGCCUCCGUUCUCGCACGUCUUCCCCUGCUAAGGAAAACAAAAACUAAAGGGAUGAGCUGGAAAGCUCAGUGAGGUUCCGUACACAUAGGCAAUAAGAGAAACAAGUGCAUGUAAACAACAAUUCACGAUACAAGUACAAUAAAGCGAUAAACACAUUCAUUAAAAGGAUACGGCUCACAAGGAGCCAAUCGUUCAUUCAUUCAUUCAUUCAUUCUCCUUCCAUUCUCCUUCCUUCAAUCAUUUGAAAAUACAUUUUGUAUAAGUAAAACCCCUCGUUCAUUCAUUCAUUCAUUUCAUUCACCCCGUCCCUGACUUUUGGCCAGGCUCCACCAACCUACAGAGUAAUACUCGAGUAUACCGGAUCGUUCACCCAAGUUCCUAAUCGCUCGACCGAGUCCAACUGGCUCGAGACGACCAGUAACAAGGGGCAAUGGCCAGUUCAGCCCGAAGGCCUACAUUCAUGCACAAUUAACAUUUCAAUCGCUCAAUCAUUAAAAUUUCACAAUCAUUUAGGCUAAAUGCGAUAAAGUACACACUCGCCUCGAAAAUCGUUUUAGCAAUCAUUGAAAGCGUUUAAUAUGUUAUCAAUCAUUCAAACAAGCCAUAUGAUCAGGAAAUAUAACAAAUAAGGAACACUCACCUAGACACGCAAAACAACGCCCACUUCUCAAUCACCAAGGAAACCUAAAAUCACAAGGAUCACAUUACAAUCCAUCUAACAUGAUUUAGAUGAAAUCAACAAUUACCCGACUACUCGCGAGUAAACGUAAAAAGACUUUCAAAGUGUAACGAGGCACUUGGAUUCGUAGACAAGAAUAACCCUAAUGCAACCCAAACCAAGAAGGUUAUAAAAUCUCUAAGAGGAAACACUCACUCCAAACAAUUCGAAAUUGCAAUAGAGCUAAGAAAACAUUCUUUCGGAAUUGCGUAUGUGAUUCAAAGGCAUAUAUAUACAAGUGGUCAAUAACUAACCAAUGCCUUGAUAAAAAUCGUGUGAAAAGGAGGACAAAAUACUUUAACUUUCACACUUAAAACCUUGCUUAGAAACAAUGCACUUAUGGCCGAUAAAACCCGAACUCAUACCUCUAUCGGUUGGAAAGGGUUAAGGACCAUUUGAAGUUUGAAACGAAAGAGGUAUCAUGUUUCAAAAGAUAAAACGGUCACAUUAUUGCCAAAGACAAUAUACGAGUUUGAAUAGAAAUUUAGUCUUCAAUCCUUUAUUCAAAACCCGAAAACGCUUCCAAGGAAAUACGUUCAAUAUGAUACAAAAUACAUUUUCGAAAACCAUUUUAACUUAUUCAUUUUACAAGAAAAUAAACGGACGGCAUGUCCCUUGUGUUUACCUAUUUUUCCAGCCAUUAAUGGCUUCAUUAUUUUUCUCAAAUCAGUCCCAACAUGCCGCAUAGAAUAAUCUCAUGUCCAAAAGCCGUUCACUAGGCUUAAAGUCAUAUAAAUACAACAAUAACUAUGAAAAGCAAGCUAGAAACAUUUUCAGAUAAAACAAUGCUUGACAUCAUUUUGCGGGAAUGGCACUAAAGGCACUACGAUUAUUGGAUUAGGGUGCAAGACCCACCGUUUCGAAGCUAAGAGAUAGUGCUACAACAAUGUAGAAGGUCACUCAGUCCAGUUUGUAGUGAAACUAGGUCAAAAAUACAAGAUACCAGAUCAGAACCGCAAAAACAGGUGGACAAACCACGUUCUGGUUAACGAACUACAAUUCGGUCUACUUAGGUCCAAAUCCAUUGAUUCCAAAGCCAAAUGAUAGCUAGGACAUCAGGCUACAUUUCAUUAGAAAACCUCUACAACCAGUUCAGAAGUUUUCCUAGCCAAAAUAGCUAAUUACUGCAACAAUUCCCAAGUUCGGAUGAAACCAGAGCAGCAGGGGUAAAUUCGACUUUUCUCAUUCUACACUACUCCGAUUGACCUGAAAUUUUACAGGCACCUCAAACACAUCAAUACCUACAACUUUCAUGUUUUAAGCCAAGGCCAAUUCGGCCUCUAACUAGGGUGAACAGUGCCGGACAGAAUUGAAGACAAUGAAGCCCUAAGUUUUCCAAAUUUCCUUCCAAACAACAUUUUCUUGCAAUUAACCAUCAUUCACACUAACUAGCCUCAUUCUAUAACAUUUCCAUUCAUUAUAUAUGACCACUUAGACAAAAUCAUAUGCAAACAGAAAAAUCAUAAUUAAAUAUCAAACUUCACCAUAAAUCACCCCAAAUCAAGAUAUAACUCACAAACUGACAUGUCCAACCCUUACACUUCACAAUUUAACCAUUAUCAAUGCAAGAGAGAACUUUCUUAAUCAUCUUACCUCACAACUCAAGAAGACUAGCAAAUCCAAGCUCCCCUUUAAAAAUCACUCCACCCAAAAGUUUUAACCUUCCAAGAAGCUCACUUGUAUGGAGGGAAUUAAAAAUCUAUUGGUGAAGUUCCAAGAUUAAAGCAAAAAUCAAAGAUGAAGAUUGAAGAGUUUUUCUCCCUUUGCUCUCAAAGCUCACGGCUGGACAGGGAAGAAAUGAGAUAUUUUGGACCAAAAAAGUGGGAUAAGAAUGAAAGAAACAGCCGGUCAAAGCCUCUGACCGGCUGUGACACGUCACAAUCCGGCCAGAAUCUGGCAGGAUUUCCAGCCGGAUUCUUGGCCGGAUAUGAGGCCGAGACGAAACAUUUUUUUUUUCAAAAUGUAGGGCAAUCCGGCCAGCUAUCCGGCCAGAAACUGGCCGGAUUUCCGGCCGGAUUUGGCCACUUCACUUUUCCUAAAUUUUCUCUUCUUUUCCAAAUUCGAUUGCCGCGCUCAACCGCACUUCUAACACAUACACAUAUACACAUAUCUCACACACAAAUGCACAUAACAAUGAACCUUCCAUUGUUUAACCGAAAGGGUUAACAAAUUUUCACUAAAAAUAGAGAAAAGAAAAUAAGCAAAAAGGCCAAGAAAGUUAUGGUAGGUUAGGGUUCUCACAUAUUGCUUUUAUUGAAAUUUUUAUAGAAAAAUAUAUUAUAAUGAUUCGAAUAUUUGAUGUAUGUGAGAUAAAAAAAGUGAAUGAAAAUGUGUUUAUAAAAAUUAUAAAAAAAAAAGUUUUACAAUGAAAUAUUCUUGUUACCAAAUUUAUCCAUGUCUUCGAAUGUUCUGUUUCUUAAGCAGAUAGAUAGACCUUUGAAAGUUAUUCAAAAUUCAAUCUUGGGAUUGUUUUGGGUUUUGAUUAUCAAUAUCAAUUAGAAGGAAAUAAAAUCAUAAGUGAUAAUAGUAGAUUAUUUUGUUUUAACAGAGCACACAACCGCUUAAUCACAAUCAUAAAGUACUCUUAACUAAAUAAAUACCACAACAUUGAUCUUUACUCCGGGGGGAUGAAGUGGCAUGUUUGGAGUCAGUCAUCGUCCCAUUUUUGAAUGGAACAUAGCCCGUUAGCCACCUCAAAAUUAGCCCUUUUCUUUUUAAACAAAUCACACAUGGAAUGGACGCUAGGCCAGAACCUUAAUAACCUCUGAGUAGCGAGGAGCAAGGAUGCUUCCACUAAAACUCUUCAAACGCUUGGUUAGUGUUUAAGUGGAUGUUUUCCUCUCACAAAGAGGUUUGUGUGUUCGAAUCUCAUUGUCGUUGACGUGAAAACUGUGUUGAUGGACGAUUCGUAAAGAACUCGUGAAAGCGAUUUAUAAUUUCGAAAACAUGCUGUGACCCUCAGUGAUACUCGGAAUCGAAUAUAGCCGAACUUUUUGGUAAAACAUAAAUAAAUAAAUAAGUGGAUGUUUUUCCCAUACCCAAUCCACUUGAAUAGGGUGGUUAUAUCUUUUCCAAAAUUUUAGUAAUAAAAAAAAAUCUUAUAUCAUUCACUUUAGAAGAUUUUACGGUCCAUUUUGAAUAUCAUAUUGUUGAGUUAAAAUUCCAUUUUCAAUAACUACUUUUGCGUUAAAAAUCGUCGUUGCAGGGUAAAAAAGAGUGUUUACAACUGUUAGCUUAUAGUAACAAUUUUAAACAUCAAUUGACGCUACAGUUUCCUGCCUACUGGGGAUCACAAAAUUUUGCUCUGAUGAGUAUAUAUGUUUGGCAUUGGAGCUUGCUAAGCUCCAAGCCGGAACAGAUAAAAUGAAGGCAAACGAUAAACAGGACAUCCGAAGCAACAAGAAUCCCAAAUCCAGAAGGACGCGGCAUUCACCAACACUAUGGACCAGCCAACUCACGACACAAAGAAAGAACCGAUGGAAGGAAUCAGCAGAUGGGGACACAAAGACAAAGGGGUUGUUGGGCAAAACUGAGGGGACGACGUUAGCGCUUAUGCAGGUUUGAUGCAAUCCAAGAAGACAGAGUACAUCUCACCGCUUCAACUGUCCACAUCUACUCGGGGUUCACUUUUCCAGCUGGUACAGUACAGACGACAAAACAUACACGUACUAGUUGAAAAUUUCCAACCGUAGGAACAAGCUGAUUGAUAUUUCUACAUUAGUUCCACGCGGCGAAUUUGUCAACCUUAGACCUCGUCUCCUUAAAAUAAGUAUCCUAAAUAAUAAAAAGGGUUCAUUUCAGAAACCUCUAUUGAGGUCUCUAACAAUUUUGAGAAGCACCCCUUAGGUUUCAAAAAUUACACUCACCUCCCUUGCUUUCACUAUUUAUGCUUCAAAAUAGGCCUAAUAGGCUACCAAUUCCUUCAAAUAUCCUAAACUACUCUUUUGUCAAAAAGAUAAAAAAGGAAAAAUAAGAAGAGCUUUGUUGAUUGCCUUUCUUCCAACGCCAAAGCCAACAAAUUCUUUCUGUCAAAAAUAAAAGUUUGGAAAAAAAAAAAUUCAACUAUGAUGAUUGUCUUCUUCCAAGCAAUGCCACCACAAAAGCCAAGCAAACACCCCAAUCUAAAUCAAAAUAAAUUCUAAUAAUUCUAGGACUUAAAACAUUACAACCUAAUUUAUAUCCAGUAGUAACCCCAACCCCCUACACUUACUACACAAGUCAAUUAAAUUCGUCAUUUGGUGCUAAAUUGGAUAUAACUUGAUCUCAAAUUUUAUCCAAAACUAACACUUUAUCAACAAUCAAUAACAUAGCUCUUUCAACUUCCUCUUUUUGUAGUCUCCUUUAUACAUUUUUUUUCAACCACCCAUUUCUAAAGCCCAUUCAUCUCUCAAAUUAUUGACUUUUGACAUCACUAAAUUUUAUCACCCAUAAUCAAUCAACAUUGGAUAAAAUAAGUAGACAUAGAAAAAUCAAACCCAUUACACUUAGAAUUAAAAGGAUAAAAAUGAUGAAUCUAAUCAUAUUUGCAAAAAAAGAGAUGAGAUUAAAGAUAAAAAAAGAAGAAGAAGAAGAAGGGAAGGGGGGGAAUAAAUAUGGGCAAAAGAUGAUAGAUAGAAUUUGGUCUUGAAUUGGAGGAGAAAUAUUAGGUAGAGAGAAAUGAGUGACAGGAAUUUAGCAAAAUAGGAAAUGGAAGAGAGAGAGAGAAUAAGUCAAUUUUGAUUUUUCAUGGAAUUUCUGAAAUUUUCCAAAAAAAAAAAAAAAUGUCAUCAAGUGUCCUAUAUAGGGGUAGUAGAGUACUUUUGCAGCAAUAGCAGUGGUAUGUGUAAUUUCAAAAUAUUAAGGGGAGCUUUGUGAAAUUGUCAGAAAUCUUAUCCAUAGUUAAAAAAAAAAGGUCUUGAAGCAGAGCAAAACAAUACUUGUGCUACUUACAAUACUACUAUUCUCUAAUUUUCUUGAGCAAUUAGGAGUAUUGACUUAGUACACGCAAUUGCAUGAGAAAGAGACUCAAAACCCACAUUUGCUGCUACUUCGAAAAGGUCAGCCAAGUGAUCACAGCAUUUCAAUUGCAUUAGUCACACGAUUUUCAGCAACUAUUCGAGCUUACUUGUAAAUCUUAUAAAGAUAUUACUUGUCACAAGGUUAAGAUAAACACAGUAGUGAUUUGCUCUGUUCUUGGAGGGAGUUAGCUAAGCUUAGCUGAUCAAUAUAGACAAUAAUUAAUGUUAAUCAGUAACACGAAUUAAAAGAAAUGUCAAACAAGGGUUACUGAUUGAACUAGACCUUCUUUUGUGUACGAGUCAAAACAAACUCCCAUCAUGAUAAGGAGGAAAGUUGCUAUACUUUUCCUCCCUUUCCUUGUUUAAUUUUCACUUAGCAUGUUAAAAAAUAAUUAAAAAAAAGACCAAAGAAGUACAAAUACAAAGGAAGGAAGACCAGGGAAAUAUUUCCCAUCCCGUGAAUGUCUUCAAACCCCAACUCAAAGGACCAAAUCUUUUGACAUUGCAUGAAAGAAAAAAAAAAAACAAAACGAACAAGACGUCAACUUCCAGCAUUGACAAAUUAGUAGUAUUAUGUGUCGUGGAUUUCGUGCAGAAUUAGAUCAUGCGAUGACUCUCGCGUUUUCUUCGAAGUUCAAUGCCGCACCAAAGCCACCAUUGCCAGCUUCCCUCCACCACCAAAUAUUUUUGUUCCGUCUCCAUCAUCACUAGUAAUAAUACCUUCCUUACUUAGCUUACUAGUCUUGUACAACUAGCAGUUCAUUAAUACUUGUUUCAUAAGAUGAAGACAACGUUAUUUUCCAAUUAUACAGAUAGCAAUUGUCAUAGCAAUUCUCAAUAAUUCAAAUGAUCAAAUGCUUCCUAAAUGGGCUGCAUUUUCACCUUCCUCUGCAACUUCUUCAGCUUCCACUUCCCCUUCUGAUUCACCCCUGAAAGGUAAUUCCAAGAGAAAGCUAAUUAGGCAGCCUAAACUCAGGCACGUUGGGGAUGAUGAGCUUGGUGUGUGGCAAGUUAAGUCCUUGCCGGCCUCCCCGGAAAAGGGUUCUGGGUCCAGUUGGUUCAGGUCACGUCACCACUGGUCAAGAUCAGCCGUGCCUCAGCCCCUGCCUCUUCCAGAAUUGUCUUCCACUCGAAGAUGUAGUAGAAGUUGCGAUAAUUUGCCUUUACCAAGAGAAGGGCCAAGCUGCAGGGGGGAAUUAGAUCCCUCCUCAAGCCCUGCAAUUACAGGGUGAGAGUCUUCCUUUGCCUUUCUCCUCAAAUUAGGAAUUUUAUCUGAUUUUAUGAAACUGAUCAAAUUGUAAAUUAGUCGAGGCAGAAAAUCUAAUCUGUGAAUUUAUAGGAACUAGUCUCUAAUAGGUACUUGCUUUUUCAGGUUUAUGAUUAAUGGGAUUCUCGAAAAGGGGAGUUGUUUCUACUAAAGUGGAUGGGGGAAAUAUGAGAACUGGAGAAAUCCCUAGAUUGGCCAGUUAUAUGUGUGUUAUACCAGAACAAAAUAAUCUAAAAUGUCGGAUGAAAAGCUGAAAAAAAGGUUACCAGUUUUCCAAGUUUGGACCUUUCUUUGAUUUAAGUAUCUUGCACAUUUGGCAAAGGUAGUUUGGCUGUUUGAAACUGUGAUGUUUCUGUUAUAACAUCUACUUUGUACUUGUAUGUCAGUGUGCGUUUGCAUGUUUUUUGGGUUUAAUGUAGAAUAAGAUUUUGUAUCCUCUUAAUAUUAGUGGGAUCAAUGUUGAAUUUAAUUCUAGUUUCUGUAUCCGUGAUAUAUUGCAGCAAUUCCUUUCAAGGAAUAUUGGGGAAAAGUAGUGAUGAUCUGGUCAGGAGAUCUUCUAAAUCUCCAACUUACCGUCGCAGGGGAUUCUUCAAUGGCCUUAACGUUGAGGGGGUUCGACGUGACUUUACGGUUAAUAUUCCUGCAAGGAGUGCUCCCAGUAGUGGUUUUUCAAGUCCAGCUCUUAGCCCAAGAUUCAGUACGGUGGAUUUCCAUUACCCAUUUCGAGCUUCAUCUGCUUUAGAAACUUCACCUCAGGACAGGGUCACUGGUUCUCCCCCACCAUUGUUGCCCACAAAACUUCCAUGUAGCCCUGAUCAUUCACCGGUUCGAAGCCCAACAUCACAAAAUCCUUGCAUGAAUGUCAGGAAAAACAAUGGUGCUGCGUUGCAUUCAUAUCAUAAAUCUCACUCAGAGACAUGGUUCGAUGGUAACAAUGCCAAUGUCCACCCAUUGCCUCUUCCACCAGGAGUUUUAAGGCCAUCGCAAUCAUCCCUAACCUAUCAAAACGUGGACAAAUCAGAUGUAUCACCAGUUAUAGCACAAUGGAAAAAAGGAAAACUCAUAGGACGUGGUACAUAUGGAAGUGUUUAUGUUGCAACGAACUGGUAGGUUGCCAAACUGAUGUUUCGUCCUGUUUCUGCUGAUACAGGAACAUAAGAUUUGGUUUUAUUUUAUGGCAGUAAAACUGGAGCUCUGUGCGCCAUGAAAGAGGUUGAUCUUGUUCCUGACGAUUCUAAAGCUCAAGAAUGCAUAAAGCAGUUAGAGCAGGUAGUUUUUGUUUUACACAAUUAUGUUACUGAUGUUUUGUGCUUACUUUAAAAAUGGAGAAAAGCUCUAUAAAUGUCAAUCUCUUGGUGAGUUUGUUUCUCUGUAAUAUCAGUUUUGGCCAUCAACUGAUAUUCUAAGAAAAUCUUUCACCCUUUGUAGUCAGUUUGUGUGGUUUGACAUUUAUGUGGAUUUAAGAUGUACUGCUUUUAGAUUUGUUUUCUGUUACUAUUACCGUCUUAUCUAUUUUCCCUGCUGCAAUUGCAAUGACUUUGGAAGCUUGUUAACAGUGUGGAGAAACUUGAACUUCUUGACUGUAAUGCAAGGUUUUAAAGAUGAUACUAGGGUCAUAUGCUACUCGAGCAGUACUACAUCUCUAAAUAGUGGAACUCUUUGUCUAUCGUAUUUGAAAAGCUGCAAAUUCACUAAAACGGACCAGAGAAGAGAACCAUAUGUUUAACUAAUUGCAUAUAUACAUUGCUUUGUCUCCGUAUUAUUUAUCAGGCAAAAAAUAAUUUUCAAUGUGCUUUCUUUUGUUCAGGAGAUCAAAGUUCUUCGUCAAUUUAAGCAUCCAAAUAUUGUACAGUAUUAUGGCAGUGGAACCGUAAGUAACUCUCUGCUUUGUACUAGUCUAUUCAGCCAUGUUUUCCCUUGGAGAAGUACAAGCACACUGAAGUGUUAAAUGCUACUUUUGUGUAGAUUGAAGAUCGCUUUUGCAUAUAUUUGGAGUAUGUUCAUCCAGGAUCAAUAAAUAAGUAUGUUCGUGACCACUGUGGAGCUAUGACAGAGAGUAUAGUUCGCAAUUUUACUCGUCACAUCGUCUCAGGAUUGGCUUACUUACACAGUAAGAAGACAAUACACAGGUAAGCCACAUUGUUUAUGUGGUUGGUUGAGUACACUCCAUUCUAAUAAUCUCUCUUAACCAUAUUAUGGUUCGUGAAAUAGCUUCUUUAAAUCUACUUUACAAAGAGAAAAGUAUUAUAAAUUGAAUUGCAGUUGGCAAAAAAGUGUGAGGCAUGUUUUGAACCUCUAAUUGUUCAGAGAAAGAACAUCUUUGAAAGGCCUGAUUAAUAUAUUGAUGCUAUAUUAAAUAGUUUCUUAAAUGUUGAUGAUUUGUGGUUCUCCUACAUAGGGACAUUAAAGGGGCAAAUUUGCUAGUAGAUGCAAAUGGAGUUGUCAAGCUUGCAGACUUCGGUCUGGCAAAACAUGUGAGUUCCUCAAGUUUUUACUACAAGUUUAAUCUUGUUAAAUACAUUUUGAACUCCAUGCAUUAGAAUUUUGCAAAUUGGGUGAAGCUUUCUGUCUCGCUUUUAUUCAUGAGUUCAACACUUUCAGCAGUUAUUGUUGCCUAUGUACGCCUUCUCAUAAUCUGAGAUUCUACAAGACAGCACACUGCAUAGCGUAGAAAACUCUCUCACUGGGUUAACAACUUUUCUAAUCUGGAUAGUAAGUGUCUAAAUAGAAGCAACUCCUCCAUUUUCCACAUAUGACUAACUAGAAUAGCUGACAAAAAUUUAGGAAGUGGACAUUUCCUUUUUGAUGUGAUUUUGAGACAACAAUCUGACUUGUUUCACCAAUUAAUUCAUUUGAAAUAUACGGAAUUUACUGCUAAGAGAAUCAGUAUUUUGUUCUUUCUUCCUUUGCUCAAAUUUUGCGUGGUAAGAUUAUUGUCUAUUCAGCUUACAGGACAUGCCACUGAUCUUUCUUUGAAAGGAAGUCCUCAUUGGAUGGCUCCAGAGGUACAAAUUACAUGCAGCACUCAUUUAUCAUUACCAAGCUGAUUGUAGCUGCUUAAACUCCAAUGCUUUUCCUUCUUUUAUAGGUCUUGCAGGCUGCUAUGCGAAAAGAUACCAAUUCAGAGCUUGCCUAUGGGGUUGAUAUAUGGAGCUUGGGUUGUACAGUAAUUGAAAUGUUAACAGGAAAACCUCCAUGGAGUGAAUUUAAUGGGGUAGGCUUAUGACUCAGCUUUAGCUAGUGCUUUUCUGGAGAAAAUUUUCUUUCUUGAUUUAUGAAACUUGAUCCUGGCAAGGAAACUGUUGAGUCCUCAUGAUCUCUAAAAUUAGUUAGUGAAAAAAAAAAAAAAAUCAAGUGCGAAAAUAUCUCUGUUUUAGUUGCCAUUGUUUAGUUCAUAGACUCGGAAAGUAUUUUAAUUGUUAACAAAUAACACUCCCACCUUAUCAUUUUCUGAGUACACGCCUAGAAUUACAUCAAGCUGAUUAGUCUAUUAGGGGAGAUCGACGAAAUAAUUCAGUAACCAUCAGUGUUUUUAUCUCCUUUCAGCAUUAGAUUGUUCCAAAGAGCGAUUCCUGACAAGUCAUGUCAUUGUACUUAAUAUUAGGUGCAAGCUAUGUUCAAUGUGUUGCACAGAUCGCCACAUAUACCUGAGACCUUAUCUCCAGAAGGGAAGGAUUUCCUUCAACGGUGCUUUCAGCGUCGGCCUGAAGAUCGGCCAUCAGCUGCUGUGUUGCUUGGGCAUGCUUUCUUAAGAAAUUCAUGUGAUCAAAAUGUAGCAAGCUGUUUGGAAGAAUUUUCUGGAGUGACAUUAUCUGUAAUGUUCUUAUCCUUUCCCUUUAUAAAACUUUGAUUAGUCCUACCACACUUCUUCUAGUAUAUAGUCUGUGCAAUUGCUGUCGAGCUUGAAACUAUUACGUUAUGUUUCAUAAAUGCAUGUGUUUUCCUAAAUUGUAAUGUACACGAGUUGGUACUAAUUCAUGGUGUCUGUUACAGGAUAAGCCACAAAGCCCAAAAGAUUCCAUAGAGCGUACCAAGAAUUUGAUGUCAGAUCUGCCAAGCCUAUCUGUUAAGAAUAGGGAAGUGCCCCACAACAGGUAAUAUUUUCCUUCUACCCACCCCACUGCUGUUUGGUGGUUGAAUUUGCUGAAAUACUGGGGAACAGUGGGCAAAUGUAUUAAGACCGGCUUAGUAACUGGAGAACUCGUCUAUUGUUCCAGCGAAUGCCUGCAAUCUUCUCCUCAAGUCUCAGAUUUUGGAUUCGCUUCCCGCCAGUCUCCUUGUUCAACCCUUGAUGUCUCUUCACCGGAGCUCAACAGUACUUCACGAAAUAUUAGCCCUCCUGACAUUUGCAACAGUUUACCAGCGGGUACGGGGAUUAAUAAGAGGCCCUUUGAUAACAUUUAUGUUUUUGGGUGUUCUGUUGAUCGUAAAAAAGUUACAAAACAGUGUUUUGGAAAACAUGAAGGAGGGAAAACCCCACGCUGGCAGGUUUGAGACAAUAGAUUAGAAAGGAAAUAGAAAUUUCAUGCAAGGCCUUAGGGUAGCUAGCCUUGCACAGGAGUUGGCAAGUAGCUCGGUCAAGUUAAAAGCAGAAGGGGCAUUCGUGCAGCAGAAUUUCAGUAUCCACAAGGCAUGAUAUAGUCUCCAAUAGUUCAAUCAUGAAUGACUUUAUUAAACUGAGCCACUUCGGAAUUGGAACUGUGGCCAGUCGCACCCUCCGUAAUGAUACAGCCUCUGCAGAAGAAGUUGUAUGACUUUCUAACAGAAGACUACCACUCCAAGCAAGUAGAGAGUGAUGUAUUCCAUUAUUGAUGUUAGCAUGGCAGCACUCAAUUCGGUAUAGUCUGUAAAUAUAUGCUAAAAAGUUCAAUGUUGUCUUGAAUUCUUGUGGAAAUUGUUCUUUAUUUUCUCUCAUUUUCCAAUUUAGGGAACUCCAUGAUCCUUCUUUCUUCUUUUGUACUGCUUGCUUACAUUUCGAAACUGACGAGGAUGCUUUCUGGUGCUCAGUUACCAAGCCCCUCUUUAUAGUCUAUGGUUCUAGUUGUCCUUCAAUCCUAGUUGCCAUUGUAGCAUCCAUCCUGGAAUUUGUCCACCAUAGAUACACAUCAUUCAAAAAAGGAAUACAAUGAUGAGCAAAACAAGUUUUGCAGAACAAGAUAUGAAUCCCACUUGACAUCUAGUGUGUUUGGAUUGUAAGUUAUUUGAAAUAUUUUUACUGUAGCACUUUUUAUGAUGUGAUGUAUGUGAGAUAAAAAGGUAAUUGGGAAGAUAAAAAGGUGUAUUGAAAAUUGUAACGGUAAUAUCAGCAAAUAUAUUUGGCCAAAUAAUUGACUGUCCAAACACACUCGAUGAGUUACUAAUUAAAAAAAAAUUAGUAAGAUAUUUUGUUUAAAUGAAAAACAAAUUCCCAAUUUGAAUGCAAGAUCACUUUUAACUUUUGAAAGUAUAAACGAAAAAAAGAAGCAUAAUAGGGAUAUAGACUAUCAACCCAUAAAAUACCAAGCAAAUUAAAAUCUAGUCGGACAAUUUUCUUUUUUAUAUUUUCUUUCUUGAACUUAUUGAGUAUACAGGUACUCUGUUGAUUUUUUUUUAUUCAGGAAAAAUUAUAGAAAAAAGAAAUAGGAAGAAUAGCAAUUUAUAAGUAAGGUGUAAUUUUCAGAAAAUUUGUAAAUGGUACGAGUUAUUCUUCAUAAAUGGUGAAAAAAUUUAUUUUAUAGAAAAAAAUUACGAAUAUCCUUGAUGUACAUAUUAGCACUUGUACAUGCACAUACAUCACAGAUGAAUAUUUUUUUAAAGUGUAACCCCUAAGUAAGAGGGUUCGAAUCCGAAACAUCUCACUUAUAUUUUCUCUUUCUCACAUAGAUGAACAUUUGAAUAUACAUAUGUGUACAUCUCUCAAUUUUCAAUGUGCAUGUAUUUAUCAAAGUGUACAUUUUUAUUCAUUAAGGUACACAUUACAAUUAAAUAAAUAAUAUGCCCCUUGUUACGAGAAUAAUUAAUCAUUUAACAGUAAACUUAUGAUCUUUUUUAAUCCAUGAUUAGUAACCAGACCCCGUUCAAAAAUUUCUCAAAAAUUACACCAUACUUCUGAAUUUCAUUUCUCCUUAAUUCCUUUUACCAAAAUUUUCCAAUUAUUUAUUCCAGUAUUAAGUGCAAUCAAAUUGUUCAAUAUAAAAACCAAAAACCAAAAAGAAAAUUCCAGCAUACGUAUGAAUUUCAAUUUUUCCUUUUUUCUUUUACCAAAAUUUUCCAAUUAUUUGUUCACUAUUAAGUGCGGUCAAGUUGUUCAAUAUAAAAACAAAAAACAAAAUUUUUUUUUUGAGAUGAAAAAGGUUAAAAUUAAACUGACGACUAUUUGGGCAAUUUGCCCCGCCAUUUCAUUUAUUUCUUCCUUGCCCUUUCCGGCCAUUACCUCCAACUCCGGCCCCUCUUCGAAAAAACACAUUCCUUUCUGCCCUCGCAUCAUUAUUAUUCGACAGCCCAGCAGCCCACAAAGCAGGACAGAUUAUCCUAAAAUCAGCCCUUUUUGUUUUUCUGGCAGCAUUUUCGUCUAGUCAGGAAGACGGGUAUGUAAAAUUCUUCUCCAAAAUGGGAAGAAGAAACUCCCGCCAUUCCUCGCUUUUGUUGGUAUUAUAGCUGAUAGAUAGAUUGAUUUAAUUGAUCGAACCAGAAUGGAAGUUCCAGCAAGUUUAAUCAGUAAAGUUCACAGUUCUUUCUCUGAUGGCUUACAUUUUGCAGCCCCGUUGCCUUCUUUAAGUACUAGUGAAAUUGAAUUGGUAUGUUCAACUAUUUCUUCCUAAAUUUUUUUCUUUUUUAAACAUGGUUUAUGAAGUAACCACAAGCUUUUGUAGAGUUGAAGUUUUGAAUGUAGCCUUUUUCCAUUUGGUUUUAGGUGAAAGGAGCGUUGCAUAUAUGCCAAGGUUUCUCAAGUGAUUUGUUUUAUUGGGACCAUAUUGGGCAGUCUUUUCGAGUUAAAACUGGGAUUUAUGUAUCCCAUCUCACGCGGACGAGUCUUUACGGCAUUCUUGAUCAGUUCACCUAUGCCGCUACUUGUUUAAAACUGGUGGAAAUCCUUGUGAAUAAGAUUCACAAAUCAGCUCGAUCACCUCCACCUACUUUGCGAGCAUUUGCUUGCUCUGUUUCUGCCUGGCUUAAAGUAUGCAUUUUUAUACUAUGUUAAAAGUUACUGCCUUUUGUUUUUUUUUUUCAUGCUUAUGAUUGCUGGUUUCAAGACAAAUGUUUCAAUACCUGUUUGUUUGCUUCUGAUUCUUUGGGUGUAGAAAUUGCGAGAUGUUGCUUUGAGAGAGGAAGAAAACAUAAGUACCAGUGAUGGUAAAAUGAUUGCAACCCUCUUGGGACUGUCGAGCUCUUUAUCAAGGUAUGAAUACCACUGAGAGAUUUUGUUGGAUUAAGGAAAUACAUGGUUUCCCUAGUUGGGUGUCUUCGAGCAAAUAAACCUCUCAUCUCAAGAAUCUUCCGUCUUCGUUGAAAAGAUCACAGUUUCAUCACGUCUCUUGCAAAUUUAAUUAGCAAAAACACCUGGUUUUUAUAUUGUUGUAGGACUUGAUUCUUGCUUUUACUUUUCCCUUCCAUACUUUACUCUGUUGAGAGCACUGCAGUUGUUUUUGCUUUGUGGAACUUCUGUGUGGCCAGUGUUUUGUACUAUACGUACUUCUGUCAACUAGAUAGAAGCACAACUAGAUGGACGCACUUUUUAUAUUGCCCUUUGUUGUCUAGUGCUUUGAUAUUAGCAGCUUGGUUCUCUUUCUGGAGUUUUCAUUUUGUAAUAGCUCCUGAUUGUGUUUGUCUUUUGUAGUCUGUGCUCAGGAGCUGAGUAUCUGUUGCAAAUUGUGCAUGAAGCUGUUCCAGGAGCCUAUUUUGAACCCAAUUCUUAUAUAGCAGCAGCAGAUGUUGCUGUUUACAUUCUUAAUCAGCUAUACAGAAAACUCGAUGAAGUUUGUCUUGUGCAAGGGGGUGAGGUUGUGAAGCUAUGUUGGUUGUGUCAAAGAGUUUCUGUACCCAGUUUCUGUGCAUGCCUUGAUUAAGCUUUGCUGAUCCAAAUAAUGCUCUUUCAGGAGGAUGCUUAUCGGAUGUUACUUUACAUAUUUACUGGGAGUCUACUGCCUUAUGUUGAGGGUCUUGAUUCUUGGCUUUUUGAAGGGACUCUCGACGACCCUUUUGAGGAGGUAAUACUUCAUGAAAGUUGUAUUGUGUAUCUCUUGGUUGGAGCACGCUGUUACGAAAAUGGUCAAGUUAUGAUACUUGUUUGGUGCUUGUUUUUCACAAUUAAUGACUCAAUACUCAAAACUUGAUUUGCCUAUUGUAUUGUGACCUUCUUUGAAUCAGUUUGAACUGUAUUCAAUUUUGUGAUAAGGAUAAAUGAGCAGUCAAAGAGUCAGCAAAUCUGUGUAGGUAGUCCUGCAACAUUUCUCUUAGGCAAAACAUGACUUUCAUCAUUUCUUUAUAAAGCAGGCAUUUUGACUCAGUCUCCACUGUAUACUUGUGUAUUUGGUCAUAAUCUGCCUUUUUUGAUCAUUCUGUUUUUGCCAGAUGUUCUUUUAUGCUAACAAAGGAAUUGCAAUUGAUGAGACUGAGUUUUGGGAGAAGAGCUAUCUGCUAAGGACAGCAAAAAUUAAAAACCUGGAGAUCGGUUCCUCAUCUGAUGUUUUACUAAAAGACAAAAAAGAUAUUACUGGAAGAGAGUCGAUUUCUACGAGAGAAAAAGAGGGGGGGGAGAUAGAACAUCAUGUUUGUCCUUUGUUCAUUAAGGACAUGGGUAAGGCAAUUGUUUCUGCUGGGAAGUCCUUGCAGCUUAUACGACAUGCACCUUUGCCAUCACUUUCAGAUGUACCUGCCGAUAACCAUGAGAUUAGGCGGUGUAUAGCUGGUUUGACUUUAUCAGAGGUCUUUUGCGUGUCAUUGGCGGCACUGAUUGGUCAUAGCGAUCACAUAUCUGAAUAUGUUUGGCGUGAUAAUUUGAUUGUUUCUUCAUUUGAAUCUCCUGUGGGAAAGGAGAAAGAAGAGAGAAAUGGCGAGAUUUUACCAUUUAUAUCAUCAGAUAAGGUCUGGUAUAAAAUCUUGGCCAAUGUAUUGGGGCAGAAAAGAGAGAUUGUUUCAGGAUCUACACAUAUAGAUACGGAUGUCUUUAGCUUACAGAAAGAAAAACUAGGUCCUGAUGGAGUUGAUGAUGUUCCUUGUGUUGGAACAUAUUGUCCUCAAAAUCCUGCUAUAACUGUUUGUCAGAGAUUUCUUUACGGGAAUAAGGAUGCUCAGAGUGCAUUAAGUUUGUCUAGAAAUUUGUAUCUUCCUCCUUUAGAUGACAAGGAAUUAAGAAAGGCUGUAUUUUACAAAAAUAGUGGAUCUUGUUCUGAGGAAAAAAGCACAGAUUUUACUUUUGGCUUUUGGUUUGAUGAAUCUGAAUAUGUUCGUAGACAGGAAGAAACAAAAAUGUUAGAGAUGCUAUUUCCAUUUAUGACUUUGCUUCCAUCUUUUCAGGUAUAGCUAUUUUGUUAUUACUAUGUUUGUCACAGUAGUUUUUAGAACAUUUGAAAUCUGAGCAAUUCUUUCUGUGGCGGAACAGGAGGACCUUCACAUUUCAGAGUUUUUGCCAUUUGAGAAAAAUAGUACCCUUCCAUCAAGAAUUCUAAGUUGGAUGCAGAGUGCUGAACCAAAGGUUACCCCACUUCCUGUUGUUAUUCUACAGGAAUGCCUUAUUGCCUACAUCAAGAAACAGGUGGACUGCACAAUUAUUUUUGGUUUUCGGUGUCUUAUUUGUUGCCUACAUUCUUAAGGCUGAAUUAUAUUUAGAAGUUAUUUUCAUUAAUCUACAGGCAGAUUAUAUUGGUAGGAUUAUAUUGUCAAAGCUACUAUAUGACUGGAGAUUGCUGGAUGAGCUAGAAGUAUUACGCGCCAUAUAUUUGUUAGGUUCAGGUAUUCUAGGAUAUUGGUCAAACGGAUACUUCUAGCAAUCUUGGGUGUUAUCAGAAAAUACCAUUCAUUGAUUGAAAGCUUGAAACCUUUUUAUUACAGGGGAUCUUCUGCAACAUUUUUUGGUAGUGAUUUUUAACAAGUUAGAUAAAGGAGAAUCGUUAGAUGAUGAUUUUGAGUUGAACACCAUAUUGCAGGUGCACAUGCUGAACCUUUAACCAUAUUUGUACUAUUGUGCUGUACUGUCCUGAUUUUACAUUUCUUCCUUCCCAUGAAUGAUCUAUAUUUGUCAUGCUAUAAUGUUCAUUGGAAGCCUGUUCUCUUUUUCUGAAUGAGGGAAACUGGUUAGUUGUCUCUUUUUUUGUUGGUGCAUUUUUCUUCAAAUUAUCUUCACAGGUUGGUGUUUUAAUACUACUUAACUGAUAAUGGGACUAGCAAGUGACCGUGUUUGCUUGGUGAGGGUGAAUAUACAUUUAGUGCCUCAAUAAUGACAAUGCUUAUGUUUACUUCAGGAAUCUAUUAGAAACUCUGCUGAUGGCUCACUUCUGAGCACACCUGAUUCAUUGGUUGUGUCCAUCACAAAAAACUCUGAUUUAAGUGAGGAUGAACAACAUGGUGCAUCUAUCCAAAUCUCAACUCCUCGCAAAAGUCGACUACAGACCAUGGGAAUUGAUGUCCUUCAGUCACUAAAUUUUACAUACAAGGUAGGCAGUAUGAUUUAUAUGCAUGCUUCUGCUUUCAAGAGGUGCCUGCUGUUUGCGAGCUGUCAAGCACUUCUACUUCAUUUACCUUGAAUAAUACCUUGUUGAUGAACAUCUUAAGUGCACAUGUUUCUUGAAUAUACAGGUCUCCUGGCCACUUGAACUUCUAGCUAAUGUAGAUGCACUAAAGAAGUAUAACCAGGUACCUAAUUGGCUUCAUAUGGACAAAUUGUAAUUAGUCUUGCACGGUAAUUCUUCUGAACAUAUGGUACAGGUCAUGAUUUUCCUGUUAAAGGUCAAGCGUGCAAAAUUUGUUCUUGAUAAGGCUCGGAGGUGGAUGUGGAAGGUUCCUGAUUUUUUACUCUCUUUUGCUUUCAUCAUGUUGCAGCAGUGAAAUUUUGUAUUGCUAAACAAAAAUUUCAUGGCUUAUGCAAUACAAAAUUUCAUGGCUUAUCAAGGGUAUUCUUUAGAUCACUGAUUCGAUACUUUGCCUCUCUCAGGAUAGAAGCACUGCUACAACUACUCGCAAACGCCAUUGGUUAUUGGAGCAAAAAUUACUGCAUUUUGUCAAUGCCUUUCACCAGUAUGUGAUGGACAGGGUAAUGUAUUUUACCGCCUUGUUUAGUAUGUUAACAACUUUUAGGGUUUGGUUCUUGUAUUACUUGCAUAUAAAGAUGGACAGGGCUUUCAUAUUUGUAGGUGGUUAUGUGAUAGAGGGUUCUUAGACUAAUUUUUUUUCAAAUAAAUUAGAACAAGCUAAUCUAAACUUGCUUGCCUCUUUUGCGUGUAUAAAAUUUAACUACCAAAGAUAUAUUCUCUAAGAAGAUUCACUUGAAUUUUGGAUGAUCUUCAUUCAAAUUAAAUUGUGUAAAUGCAGCUAGGUUUAUUUUGCAAUACAAGUACGCUACAUGCAAGGUUGAGAGUAUCAAUGCGUAUCUUCUUUGAAGAGAAAUUUUGGUUUCUUGCACUUCUUACACGAAGGCUGUGUGCAGGUAUAUCACAGUGCAUGGCGUGAACUCUGUGAAGGUGUUGCAGCAGCUAGGUCUUUGGAUGAAGUCAUUGAAGUGCAUGAAUCCUAUCUUUUGUCAAUUCAGAGACAGUGCUUUGUUGUUCCUGACAAGCUGGUCCAUAACUGCCUCCAAUAACUUUGCUUUUGCCUACCCUUAUUUUUCCUUUCUAUUGGACAUUUUGUUAAGAAACUAAUAAGAUAAAUUGUGUUAACAUUUUUGAUGAUUAUUGUUUCAUUACUAGUGGGCAUUGAUAGCCAGCCGAAUCAACAAUAUCCUUGGACUUGCUUUGGACUUCUAUUCCAUACAGCAGACUCUAAGCAGUGGUGGAGCAGUGUCUGCCAUAAAGACAAGAUGCGAAAUGGAAGUAGAUCGGAUAGAGAGACAGUUCGAUGAAUGCAUAGCUUUCCUUCUCAGGGUAUUCCUUCUCUAUCCUUUUGUUGGUUUUGAUGCAUAUGCUAAGAAAAUUUAUGUCCAUGCGCUAGUGGAUUGAAGUGUAAAUCCACUGUUGUGUAGUAGCAUGGAUAAUGGAAAAACUGCGGUUAAUCUUGGUUAUAGUUUUGAUAUUCUCCAGCUUAGGAGAAAAGGAUUUCAUCAUCUUUGUCACUACGUUGCAGAUUCUAUCUUUCAAGCUGAACGUGGGGCAGUUUCCUCAUUUAGCAGAUUUGGUUACGAGAAUUAAUUACAAUUAUUUCUACAUGUCUGAUAGUGGAAGCCUGAUGACAACUUCGGGCUCGGAUGUUAUUACUUCAAGAUAGGGUCGUCCAAGUCAAGAUGGACUGGGUUAUUGCUCUGUGUGGUAUAAAAUCAACAGAAAAACAAAAAAUUGAUGUCUUUCAGCAUGGUGUGAUAGUUGAAUGAGGAAUUUAGGUAUCUCUGCAUCCUGAUAAGCUCCUAAUGCAGAAGCUGCAAGUUGAUAAAUUGAAGUUGGGUUGCUUUGCUUACCGCAUCUUGAAGCGCUUGAGAUUGGAGGAUCAUGUAUUUAAGACAGCACGCAUACUUUGUUUGAAGGAAGAUAGCAGGUAUACUUGUUUGAUAGAUUUUUAAUGUCGUAGAUUGGCUUCCCUAGUUGAUUGAACAAAUAUUUAUCAUCGUAUCAGGACUUCUGCAUUCUCCUACUGCUGAUGAUAUUACUAUUAGAGAUGAAAAUAUCAUUGGUUUAGCCGCUUGGUUGUUGUGAUUACAAUUUAUAUGCUGUCAUACGUGUGAUGUUUUGUAAGUGCGGCGUUGCAGUCAAUUUACAGAUUGGUUUUAACAAUAAUUUUUCCACAAUUAUAUCAAUGCAUGUUGCAAUUUUGUUGGCUAUAGAUUUGAGCGUGGCAUUACCAGUUUGCUGUGUUUUAUAUUGAAAAUAAGAGAUGAUUUGAAAUUUUUAUGAGGUAACUGCACCCCAUAUGGAUUCUUAAAGCAUGUGGAUUUCACUGGCUGCAAUCACAGCUUAACUGAUAAAGGCCCUUUAUCAUCUGCAAGGUUGAACGAUUCCUUUGAGAUAGACUGUUGGUAUUUUUGUGCUUAAUCGUUCUUAGACUGGUGUGGCAUAUGAGGAAGCUGAGGUUAUACCAUCGGCGGAACAGAAAAUGGUUAACAGCAGAAACACAUUCACCAGCGACUGGAGUAAAAACAAGACAAUGUCAUCAUUAUCAUGCCAAGUUCAACUCGAAGCUGGAAACCCUAACCCCCAAAACUAAUGGUCUUGUCGAGAGAGUUGACAGGAUCAGUCCUGAAGUAGAGGAUUCAAUACAGCUCCAUAAAGCCAAGUGAAUUCCAGAACAAAAGAAAAAUAAUCAACAUACCUGGUUAACAAAGUCCACGUUCUUGGCUUGGGCUUUAUGAACUCUCUCAACGAGUCUUUGAUACGAUGGUUUUAGAGGGUAUUGUUUGUCUGCCCACAGUCCGUUCGCCAGACAGAUAACAGGACCACCACCAUGAUUGCCAUUGGUGGUGUUGUGAUCAUCAGUUGAUGAUGAUGCAAUGCUCGUCAAGUUUUUUAACUUUGAAUUGACAUGAUCAAGGUUGUUGCAUUCAAGAACUUGGACAUCUGGUACAAGGUCAAUCCAGUCGAUCCUGCAGCGAUCAUGCUGAGUACAGCAUCGAAUGAUAGCGGGGAUAACACCAUAUUCUUCCUGCAACCAUCUUCGAUCUCGUUGAUCAGAAGAUGGCCCGUCGUCUUGGCACAAAAUUCCAUUGUUAUUAUUUUUUUCAAUUGACUCACAGUUUCCGAAUCCACGAAUGGAAUCAACUUACAACUUCGGCUUUGGACUUGGAACUUGCUUCACCUCUUCAACCGAUGUAUUACUGAAAAGAAACAAGACUAAACAAUAUAGAAACUAGUACUACUAAUUAGCAAAUAACAUGUACUAAUAAAAGACUUGAUUUAAUUUCCAUACUGGGGGAUGGAGGGGCCCUUGGGGACAUUAUUUCGGUAGAUUGAUCUUCCCAUGCGCAAGAACAGAAGUCUCAUUGUUACAGCAAUAGUACAAACACCAGAUGACCAAUCCCAUCCCUGAUUUGCACUUAUCCAUACUAAAAAAGUGACCCCAAGCAUUGCUCCAGUAGUGAUGGAGAAUAACAACCAGUUGAAGAAGCUGGCAAGUUUAGGUGCCUCCAGAGGGUUCCUUUCAUCAAAUUGGUCGGCUCCCAGGGAUGGCAAUGCUGCUUUUACUCCGCUGUUGCCAAACGCGAACAAAUAGAGACCUGCAAAUAAGAGGGCUUCUUGGCUUCUGGUUAUUGCCUCGCAUUGAGUCGACUUCAGCGUGGCUGCAUCCUUGCAGGGAAGUGGUCUUAGUUGUGGAAAAUGUGCUUGCACCGUCGGGACAGCAAGUCCCUGAAAAAGUCAUAAUAAUAUGCUCAGCCAACAUCUUUUAAGAGAUUUCACGUUUUGCCCACUUAAAUAAAUAGAAAAAAUAAAACAUUAUGCCUACUCGCGUUUUUCCCUCGUUUUGGACACUACAGCUCCUAUGAGUAUGCAUCGCUUUCGCAUGGGUCGGACAAGGUCACGUGGAGAUUAGGUUUAUUUGCGUAAAAUUUUUAUUUUCGUAAGAAAAUGUCAGAAAGAAACUCAUUCUCAGGGGCUUGGGGAUCUUUAUCUCUUAGCAGCGGGGCACCCUGUGGGGUUUCUAUCCCACAUCGGUAUUGGGGGGUUGGGGUUUGGGUAGAUAAGUCCCUCACAGGACUCCAAAAGUUGCCGGCUUUUGGAGUUACUGUGGGGAUUAGGUUUAUUUGCGUAAAAUUCUUACUUUUGUAAGAAAAUGUCAGAAAGACAAGGGGCACGGACGGUUGCAGGUACAACCGUCCCCAACGGUAUUGGCCAUUUUCAACAGCGCGUAACUUCGGUUGCACACGACGUAACUUUGUUUGUACAAUGUAUAACUUUAGUAUUAAAUUUUGCGAGUCCCACACAUGGUAUUAAAAUAGAUGCACAACUUGUGAUCUAGAUGCAUAAUUUGUUGGGGCCAAAUCAUGGCCAUUAACAGCUCAGGAGCGGUCAUGGUGUACUAUCAAACUAUGUGGACGUGUGUAAGUAGCAAUUAAGAUGACUUUGAAAUUGUUACGCAACUCAUAUUUUUGUACCAUCAAAUUUAAUGCACUACACUAGUCUAUCAUUUGCUUAUUUUGUCUUGGAAUGAAAAAUCUCCUGGAGCUAGUCAGUCUAGUCAGUGGUGGAGCCAGAAAAAAUUUUUAAUUGGGGCAAAAGUAACACUAAAAUUUUUUUCCUCCUCUUUUAUUAGUUUUUUAAGUAAAAAAAAUAUUCACCAAUAAGUUAAAAUGAAAAAAAAAAUUGAACUUAUUUCAAAUGGAAUAUUGUGAUCCACAUAUUCUUUUAGAAUAUUAGUUCAUGAACAAAUUUAAAAGAUCAUGUAAUUCUUUCAUUUAUUACAUAAAAAAAACUUUGGAGACACAAUUAAGAUAAAAUCAAAAUUUUAUGCAUAUUGUAGGAAUUUAAGGGGAGCAGUGGGGGCACGAGCCCCCCCCACCUUAAAUCCGCCAGUGGUCUAGUUGUGUUUAUUUUGCCUAAUAAGUAGAAUGUACUAAUUGUUUAGAUUAUUUUCAUUUCCAUAUUUAUCAGAUUUCCAAGGUGUUGCCAAUCUUUAAAAAUCCGGCAUACCUUUGAGUUUGGAUAACACUUUUUUAAAUGUAAUAUAUACAGAGAUAAAAAAAUAAUUAAAAAAUAUAUUGAUGAUAUAAGUAAAUAAGUGUAUUAUGUAAAUAAUGUGUAAACAAGGUAUAAUCCAAACACAAAACUGUAGCAAUGCAUCUAGACUAGUGGAUGGAAGUUGAACAGUCGAUGUGCAAUAUAUUAGACUAGUGUAUGGCCUUUCUCAUCGAAUAAAAUGAACUACUAUUAUGCUAAAAAGGCGGAGACAUAUAGGCUUUUAUUCCCGUGGAAAUACAAGAGAUCUACAAGAUUGGCUCAAAAGCAAACAAAUACAUAAUAAUUGAAUAGGGGAUUUUUUUUUUUUUUUUUUUUUUUCCUGAGAGAUGGAAUAGAGGGUUACUACGUGAUUUAGUGUCAAAGCGACGACUUUCGAUAAAAGAAGAAAAGUGGAGGACAACAGCGAGUAGCUUGGGAUCACCUAGAUCAAUGAUGAAAUUAUUGGAUUCAACAAAUAUAACUACUACUAAUUAAAAGCAAACAUCACUAAUGGUAGUGUAUAAUUUUCAAACCAUAAUUGAAAAAGAAGACAGAAAGGGCCAAAACAAAAAAAAUGGUCUUAUACCGGGGAAUACGAUUUUGCUGCAAUUGGUUGCUUCCACAACCUCAAAUCCUUAGCAAUUAUUUCUUCUAGUAAUUACCAAGACAUUAGUUCAAAUAUAAAACCCUGGUGUUCUCUCUUCAUUUAUUUUAUUUUCAAUAGAGAGGCAGACAGUCUAAGCUGGCAAAGCAGUGACAUAAUCUGCAGCAAGAUCCUAUUUUAAGUUACAAUUAGUACCCUCCUCUCUGUCCUCAACCUUUCGUCGCCGUCGGAACCCCUACUUUGAAUAUAUCAGCAUACAAAAUGGGCUCUGCCAAAAAACAAGGGGUGCGCGCUUUAGGGAUGCCAAACUGCCAAGGCUCGAGGUCUAUCGCGGUGCCAAGCAUGACAAACGCACGAACCGCACCCGGCUGCUGAGGUUUUCGAAAAUCGUGAUUGGAUCCCUGGCGGAUCUCAAGGCGGUUAUCGGUCUGAAGGCGGCCCAUGAUACUUGGAAGGUGGAGGUGGAGCUUCUGAGAAAGUACAGGCCGCAUGGCCAAAACAGGCCACCUGUAAAAUUCCUCCGGCGUAGGGCCAAGGAGGCCGGAAUCACUCUUUUGCCUAAAAAAGUUAGAAAAGUUAAGGUGGAGUGUGAGGGUUGAGGGUUUAGGGUAUAUGGGAUAGUAGGGGGGGGUAUGGGGUAGUACGGGGGGGUAUGGGGUAGUACGGGGGGGGGGGAAUGGGAUCUUUCUGAUUCUGAGUUUCUACGUUGACUUUCUAUCUUGUAUAUAUAAAUCCAUAUAAUAUAUGCUAUCGCCGCCUAUCGUUAGGCUUUUUGUUGUUUGCGUUGAAUUCGUUUUCAUAGCCAUUUUUCCCCCUUAUGUGUUACUUGUAGAUUGGGUCAUAAGUGAUUCAAUUGGACUGGUCUGUUUCUCAUUUAUUUAUAGUUUAGUGUCUCAGAAAGUAUGCCUUUGUAUCCAUGUAAAGGCCUGUUCUUCAGUUGGAAUAACUUUACUGACGCAUUUGUUGGGCACAGCCUUCGGCUUUGGUUGUACUUUCAAACUUAUAGCCAACUGGUCCUCCACUUUGGGGUUUAGAAUAACAUGCAAAGCUCUUUAUCCAACAUACCAGACACUGAUAUUAGUUAUGGAAGUAUUUGCUCAGACUCAACCCUUGUGUUCCUUUAGCAGAGUGCAUUCUAGCUAAUGCUGUUUUAAUUCAGCCUGUGAUGCUUUAAUAGUUCUUUUUGUCUAUAUGUCAUGGUCUGACAGAGUCUGAUCUGUGACUUGAGCAAAACUUCAAGUUUAUUUAUUUGCUUCAAAGCAAUAUGAUCCCUUUUUAUGGCACUUGCUGUCUAGUUGCAUAGGGAAUAAUCAUAUGAUGGGAAUAGUAAUUUUUUUUAUUGCAAGGUCAAAAUGGGUAAUGAAUGUGCAGGCAUUAUGAAAAAUCCUCAUUGAAAUUCAAACGCAGAACUGUGGGUGUCCGUUUGGAUAUUGAAUUUGCAUAUCUUGCAAUUACAAUAUUGGUUUCAUUAAUUUGAGGUCUUUCACAAGAUCAGAUGAGUUUAUCAUCUGGUAAACCUUACGAUGGUAUAGUGUUCUCUUUGAUUGAUCUCUAAUGUCAAUUGUCAAGAUGGCUAGAAUGGUAUAGUUUUUCAUUUUGUAAUAGCUCCUGAUUGUGUUUGUCUUUUGUAGUCUGUGCCCAGGAGCUGAGUAUCUGUUGCAAAUUGUGCAUGAAGCUGUUCCAGGAGCCUAUUUUGAACCCAAUUCUUAUAUAGCAGCAGCAGAUGUUGCUGUUUACAUUCUUAAUCAGCUAUACAGAAAACUCGAUGAAGUUUGUCUUGUGCAAGGGGGUGAGGUUGUGAAGCUAUGUUGGUUGUGUCAAAGAGUUUCUGUACCCAGUUUCUGUGCAUGCCUUGAUUAAGCUUUGCUGAUCCAAAUAAUGCUCUUUCAGGAGGAUGCUUAUCGGAUGUUACUUUACAUAUUUACUGGGAGUCUACUGCCUUAUGUUGAGGGUCUUGAUUCUUGGCUUUUUGAAGGGACUCUCGACGACCCUUUUGAGGAGGUAAUACUUCAUGAAAGUUGUAUUGUGUAUCUCUUGGUUGGAGCAUGCUGUUACGAAAAUGGUCAAGUUAUGAUACUUGUUUGGUGCUUGUUUUUCACAAUUAAUGACUCAAUACUCAAAACUUGAUUUGCCUAUUGUAUUGUGACCUUCUUUGAAUCAGUUUGAACUGUAUUCAAUUUUGUGAUAAGGAUAAAUGAGCAGUCAAAGAGUCAGCAAAUCUGUGUAGGUAGUCCUGCAACAUUUCUCUUAGGCAAAACAUGACUUUCAUCAUUUCUUUAUAAAGCAGGCAUUUUGACUCAGUCUCCACUGUAUACUUGUGUAUUUGGUCAUAAUCUGCCUUUUUUGAUCAUUCUGUUUUUGCCAGAUGUUCUUUUAUGCUAACAAAGGAAUUGCAAUUGAUGAGACUGAGUUUUGGGAGAAGAGCUAUCUGCUAAGGACAGCAAAAAUUAAAAACCUGGAGAUCGGUUCCUCAUCUGAUGUUUUACUAAAAGACAAAAAAGAUAUUACUGGAAGAGAGUCGAUUUCUACGAGAGAAAAAGAGGGGGGGGAGAUAGAACAUCAUGUUUGUCCUUUGUUCAUUAAGGACAUGGGUAAGGCAAUUGUUUCUGCUGGGAAGUCCUUGCAGCUUAUACGACAUGCACCUUUGCCAUCACUUUCAGAUGUACCUGCCGAUAACCAUGAGAUUAGGCAGUGUAUAGCUGGUUUGACUUUAUCAGAGGUCCUUUGCGUGUCAUUGGCGGCACUGAUUGGUCAUAGCGAUCACAUAUCUGAAUAUGUUUGGCGUGAUAAUUUGAUUGUUUCUUCAUUUGAAUCUUCUGUGGGAAAGGAGAAAGAAGAGAGAAAUGGCGAGAUUUUACCAUUUAUAUCAUCAGAUAAGGUCUGGUAUAAAAUCUUGGCCAAUGUAUUGGGGCAGAAAAGAGAGAUUGUUUCAGGAUCUACACAUAUAGAUACUGAUGUCUUUAGCUUACAGAAAGAAAAACUAGGUCCUGAUGGAGUUGAUGAUGUUCCUUGUGUUGGAACAUAUUGUCCUCAAAAUCCUGCUAUAACUGUUUGUCAGAGAUUUCUUUACGGGAAUAAGGAUGCUCAGAGUGCAUUAAGUUUGUCUAGAAAUUUGUAUCUUCCUCCUUUAGAUGAUAAGGAAUUAAGAAAGGCUGUAUUUUACAAAAAUAGUGGAUCUUGUUCUGAGGAAAAAAGCACAGAUUUUACUUUUGGCUUUUGGUUUGAUGAAUCUGAAUAUGUUCGUAGACAGGAAGAAACAAAAAUGUUAGAGAUGCUAUUUCCAUUUAUGACUUUGCUUCCAUCUUUUCAGGUAUAGCUAUUUUGUUAGUACUAUGUUUGUCACAGUAGUUUUUAGAACAUUUGAAAUCUGAGCAAUUCUUUCUGUGGCGGAACAGGAGGACCUUCACAUGUCAGAGUUUUUGCCAUUUGAGAAAAAUAGUACCCUUCCAUCAAGAAUUCUAAGUUGGAUGCAGAGUGCUGAACCAAAGGUUACCCCACUUCCUGUUGUUAUUCUACAGGAAUGCCUUAUUGCCUACAUCAAGAAACAGGUGGACUGCACAAUUAUUUUUGGUUUUCGGUGUCUUAUUUGUUGCCUACAUUCUUAAGGCUGAAUUAUAUUUAGAAGUUAUUUUCAUUAAUCUACAGGCAGAUUAUAUUGGUAGGAUUAUAUUGUCAAAGCUACUAUAUGACUGGAGAUUGCUGGAUGAGCUAGAAGUAUUACGCGCCAUAUAUUUGUUAGGUUCAGGUAUUCUAGGAUAUUGGUCAAACGGAUACUUCUAGCAAUCUUGGGUGUUAUCAGAAAAUACCAUUCAUUGAUUGAAAGCUUGAAACCUUUUUAUUACAGGGGAUCUUCUGCAACAUUUUUUGGUAGUGAUUUUUAACAAGUUAGAUAAAGGAGAAUCGUUAGAUGAUGAUUUUGAGUUGAACACCAUAUUGCAGGUGCACAUGCUGAACCUUUAACCAUAUUUGUACUAUUGUGCUGUACUAUCCUGAUUUUACAUUUCUUCCUUCCCAUGAAUGAUCUAUAUUUGUCAUGCUAUAAUGUUCAUUGGAAGCCUGUUCUCUUUUUCUGAAUGAGGGAAACUGGUUAGUUAUCUCUUUUUUUGUUGGUGCAUUUUUCUUCAAAUUAUCUUCACAGGUUGGUGUUUUAAUACCACUUAACCGAUAAUGGGACUAGCAAGUGACCGUGUUUGCUUGGUGAGGGUGAAUAUACAGUUAGUGCCUCAAUAAUGACAAUGCUUAUGUUUACUUCAGGAAUCUAUUAGAAGCUCUGCUGAUGGCUCACUUCUGAGCACACCUGAUUCAUUGGUUGUGUCCAUCACAAAAAACUCUGAUUUAAGUGAGGAUGAACAACAUGGUGCAUCUAUCCAAAUCUCAACUCCUCGCAAAAGUCGACUACAGACCAUGGGAAUUGAUGUCCUUCAGUCACUAAAUUUUACAUACAAGGUAGGCAGUAUGAUUUAUAUGCAUGCUUCUGCUUUCAAGAGGUGCCUGCUGUUUGCGAGCUGUCAAGCACUUCAACUUCAUUUACCUUGAAUAAUACCUUGUUGAUGAACAUCUUAAGUGCACAUGUUUCUUGAAUAUACAGGUCUCCUGGCCACUUGAACUUCUAGCUAAUGUAGAGGCACUAAAGAAGUAUAACCAGGUACCUAAUUGGCUUCAUAUGGACAAAUUGUAAUUAGUCUUGCACUGUAAUUCUUCUGAACAUAUGGUACAGGUCAUGAUUUUCCUGUUAAAGGUCAAGCGUGCAAAAUUUGUUCUUGAUAAGGCUCGGAGGUGGAUGUGGAAGGUUCCUGAUUUUUUACUCUCUUUUGCUUUCAUCAUGUUGCAGCAGUGAAAUUUUGUAUUGCUAAACAAAAAUUUCAUGGCUUAUGAAAGGUAUUCUUUAGAUCACUGAUUCGAUACUUUGCCUCUCUCAGGAUAGAAGCACUGCUACAACUACUCGCAAACGCCAUUGGUUAUUGGAGCAAAAAUUACUGCAUUUUGUCAAUGCCUUUCACCAGUAUGUGAUGGACAGGGUAAUGUAUUUUACCGCCUUGUUUAGUACGUUAACAACUUUUAGGGUUUGGUUCUUGUAUUACUUGCAUAUAAAGAUGGACAGGGCUUUCAUAUUUGUAGGUGGUUAUGUGAUAGAGGGUUCUUAGACUAAUUUUUUUUCAAAUAAAUUAGAACAAGCUAAUCUAAACUUGCUUGCCUCUUUUGCGUGUAUAAAAUUUAACUACCAAAGAUAUAUUCUCUAAGAAGAUUCACUUGAAUUUUGGAUGAUCUUCAUUCAAAUUAAAUUGUGUAAAUGCAGCUAGGUUUAUUUGGCAAUACAAGUACGCUACAUGCAAGGUUGAGAGUAUCAAUGCGUAUCUUCUUUGAAGAGAAAUUUUGGUUUCUUGCACUUCUUACACGAAGGCUGUGUGCAGGUAUAUCACAGUGCAUGGCGUGAACUCUGUGAAGGUGUUGCAGCAGCUAGGUCUUUGGAUGAAGUCAUUGAAGUGCAUGAAUCCUAUCUUUUGUCAAUUCAGACACAGUGCUUUGUUGUUCCUGACAAGCUGGUCCAUAACUGCCUCCAAUAACUUUGCUUUUGCCUACCCUUAUUUUUCCUUUCUAUUGGACGUUUUGUUAAGAAACUAAUAAGAUAAAUUGUGUUAACAUUUUUGAUGAUUAUUGUUUCAUUACUAGUGGGCAUUGAUAGCCAGCCGAAUCAACAAUAUCCUUGGACUUGCUUUGGACUUCUAUUCCAUACAGCAGACUCUAAGCAGUGGUGGAGCAGUGUCUGCCAUAAAGACAAGAUGCGAAAUGGAAGUAGAUCGGAUAGAGAGACAGUUCGAUGAAUGCAUAGCUUUCCUUCUCAGGGUAUUCCUUCUCUAUCCUUUUGUUGGUUUUGAUGCAUAUGCUAAGAAAAUUUAUGUCCAUGCGCUAGUGGAUUGAAGUGUAAAUCCACUGUUGUGUAGUAGCAUGGAUAAUGGAAAAACUGCGGUUAAUCUUGGUUAUAGUUUUGAUAUUCUCCAGCUUAGGAGAAAAGGAUUUCAUCAUCUUUGUCACUACGUUGCAGAUUCUAUCUUUCAAGCUGAACGUGGGGCAGUUUCCUCAUUUAGCAGAUUUGGUUACGAGAAUUAAUUACAAUUAUUUCUACAUGUCUGAUAGUGGAAGCCUGAUGACAACUUCGGGCUCGGAUGUUAUUACUUCAAGAUAGGGUCGUCCAAGUCAAGAUGGACUGGGUUAUUGCUCUGUGUGGUAUAAAAUCAACAGAAAAACAAAAAAUUGAUGUCUUUCAGCAUGGUGUGAUAGUUGAAUGAGGAAUUUAGGUAUCUCUGCAUCCUGAUAAGCUCCUAAUGCAGAAGCUGCAAGUUGAUAAAUUGAAGUUGGGUUGCUUUGCUUACCGCAUCUUGAAGCGCUUGAGAUUGGAGGAUCAUGUAUUUAAGACAGCACGCAUACUUUGUUUGAAGGAAGAUAGCAGGUAUACUUGUUUGAUAGAUUUUUAAUGUCGUAGAUUGGCUUCCCUAGUUGAUUGAACAAAUAUUUAUCAUCGUUUCAGGACUUCUGCAUUCUCCUACUGCUGAUGAUAUUACUAUUAGAGAUGAAAAUAUCAUUGGUUUAGCCGCUUGGUUGUUGUGAUUACAAUUUAUAUGCUGUCAUACGUGUGAUGUUUUGUAAGUGCGGCGUUGCAGUCAAUUUACAGAUUGGUUUUAACAAUAAUUUUUCCACAAUUAUAUCAAUGUAUGUUGCAAUUUUGUUGGCUAUAGAUUUGAUUGUGACAUAACCAGUUUGCUGUGUUUUAUAUUGAAAUUUACAGCACAUCAUCACCUGCCAAAAUACUCUACCCCGCGACUGGAGCAAAAACAAGACAAUGUCAUCAUUAUCAUGCCAAGUUCAACUCGAAGCUGGAAACCCUACCCCCCGAAAACUAAUAUACUUGUUGAGAGAGUUGACAGGAUCAGUCCUGAACUAGAGGAUUCAAUACCGCUCCAGUAAACAGCACUGACCUGGAGCUCUCUUCCUUAUCAUGAACAUGAAAGGAUGUUCAGCCACAAAUCUCGUCUCAUCAUCUAAUGAGCAACCAAGUAAUCACACGCAACAGUAACAGCUGCUGCUUCCGUGCCUACCUCAUCUACCUCUAUAAAAGCUUUUUGAACUAUCUCAGAGACAUAAAAUGGAAAUCCGUUGGUGUCUAUGAACCCGGUUAGCUCUUUACAGUCCUACAUAAAUGGUAACUUUAGCACCAUAUCUUCCAUGGUUUGUCGCCCUUUAGAAGUAUGGAAUGCAAACUUAGACUUUGGAAUCCAGAAAGUAUCAUAUCCCCCGUACUUGAGCUGAAAAUCUUGUGUAAAGAAUCCCGAAUCAAGAGUUGUCUGUUCCAAUAGAUUAUGCAAUCCAUCUCUCUCAUUUGGAAGGAAAAUGAACAAGGAGAAUACUUUUCCUCUCUGAUAUGGAAUACUAACAACCUCAAAACCUUCGUAUGAUCCAUGAGUGAGUAUAUGCUUCGCAACCAGUCAUGAAGGGUACUGAAACUGUGUCCCCAUUUAAAAGGUAAAAGUCUCCGUUCGCGGUUUCCUCUGCGUUAAACUUUUCCUCCCACGAACCUUUGAAGUACAGUGUAGUUCCAAGAAUGAGCAUGGUAGCUGGAGUGAUGUUGGCAGGCGUGAGAACGUCGGUCACGAGCCCUUUGGUUGCUGAUUUUGCCCAUGCAUUCACAAUUUCAACAACUUUAUCACCCCACGGAUGAAUCAAUACAUACAUAAUAUCUAUGAAAUAAAACAAUAAACUUAUAUUUGAGCCUAAUCGGGCUGCAUAUGUACAACUCCUUUACAAUUCCGAAUUCAAUUCCGUACUUUAAUCCAACAUUAAUGCUAAUCCGAAUUUGAGAUCAAAAUCAUUCAAAAUCGAAUUCAAAUUAAGCCCUUAAUGAACUGAGUCCGAAUGUUUCGUUAGGGCUCGAUUGUCCCAUGGACUAUGGGCUUCUGUCUCAAAACAGCAUUCAAGAUGCAUGAUGCAUUUUUGAAAAAAAAGAUUCACGAUACACGAUUGCAACGACAUUAGGAAAUUUCACAAUUAUAUAUUUCUUUCUAAUACGAGGUUAAGAAAUCACCUAAAUCAACAGUAGCCUAAGCAGAUUUUGUGUCCAUAAAGCCAAGUGAAUUCCAGAACAAAAGAAAAAUAAUCAACAUACCUGGUUAACAAAGUCCACGUUCUUGGCUUGGGCUUUAUAAACUCUCUCAACGAGUCUUUGAUACGAUGGUUUUAGAGGGUAUUGUUUGUCUGCCCACAGUCCGUUCGCCAGACAGAUAACAGGACCACCACCAUGAUUGCCAUUGGUGGUGUUGUGAUCAUCAGUUGAUGAUGAUGCAAUGCUCGUCAAGUUUUUUAACUUUGAAUUGACAUGAUCAAGGUUGUUGCAUUCAAGAACUUGGACAUCUGGUACAAGGUCAAUCCAGUCGAUCCUGCAGCAAUCAUGCUGAGUACAGCAUUGAAUGAUAGCGGGGAUAGCACCAUAUUCUUCCUGCAACCAUCUUCGAUCUCGUUGAUCAGAAGAUGGCCCGUCGUCUUGGCACAAAAUUCCAUUGUUAUUAUUUUUUUCAAUUGACUCACAGUUUCCGAAUCCACGAAUGGAAUCAACUUACAACUUCGGCUUUGGACUUGGAACUUGCUUCACCUCUUCAACCGAUGUAUUACUGAAAAGAAACAAGACUAAACAAUAUAGAAACUAGUACUACUAAUUAGCAAAUAACAUGUACUAAUAAAAGACUUGAUUUAAUUUCCAUACUGGGGGAUGGAGGGGCCCUUGGGGACAUUAUUUCGGUAGAUUGAUCUUCCCAUGCGCAAGAACAGAAGUCUCAUUGUUACAGCAAUAGUACAAACACCAGAUGACCAAUCCCAUCCCUGAUUUGCACUUAUCCAUACUAAAAAAGUGACCCCAAGCAUUGCUCCAGUAGUGAUGGAGAAUAACAACCAGUUGAAGAAGCUGGCAAGUUUAGGUGCCUCCAGAGGGUUCCUUUCAUCAAAUUGGUCGGCUCCCAGGGAUGGCAAUGCUGCUUUUACUCCGCUGUUGCCAAACGCGAACAAAUAGAGACCUGCAAAUAAGAGGGCUUCUUGGCUUCUGGUUAUUGCCUCGCAUUGAGUCGACUUCAGCGUGGCUGCAUCCUUGCAGGGAAGUGGUCUUAGUUGUGGAAAAUGUGCUUGCACCGUCGGGACAGCAAGUCCCUGAAAAAGUCAUAAUAAUAUGCUCAGCCAACAUCUUUUAAGAGAUUUCACGUUUUGCCCACUUAAAUAAAUAGAAAAAAUAAAACAUUAUGCCUACUCGCGUUUUUCCCUCGUUUUGGACACUACAGCUCCUAUGAGUAUGCAUCGCUUUCGCAUGGGUCGGACAAGGCCACGUGGGGAUUAGGUUUAUUUGCGUAAAAUUUUUAUUUUCGUAAGAAAAUGUCAGAAAGAAACUCAUUUUCAGGGGCUUGGGGAUCUUUAUCUCUUAGCAGCGGGGCACCCUGUGGGGUUUCUAUCCCACAUCGGUAUUGGGGGGUUGGGGUUUGGGUAGAUAAGUCCCUCACAGGACUCCAAAAGUUGCCGGCUUUUGGAGUUACUGUGGGGAUUAGGUUUAUUUGCGUAAAAUUCUUACUUUUGUAAGAAAAUGUCAGAAAGACAAGGGGCACGGACGGUUGCAGGUACAACCGUCCCCAACGGUAUUGGCCAUUUUCAACAGCGCGUAACUUCGGUUGCACACGACGUAACUUUGUUUGUACAAUAUAUAACUUUAGUAUUAAAUUUUGCGAGUCCCACACAUGAUAUUAAAAUAGAUGCACAACUUGUGAUCUAGAUGCAUAAUUUGUUGGGGCCAAAUCAUGGCCAUUAACAGCUCAGGAGCGGUCAUGGUGUACUAUCAAACUAUGUGGACGUGUGUAAGUAGCAAUUAAGAUGACUUUGAAAUUGUUACGCAACUCAUAUUUUUGUACCAUCAAAUUUAAUGCACUACACUAGUCUAUCAUUUGCUUAUUUUGUCUUGGAAUGAAAAAUCUCCUGGAGCUAGUCAGUCUAGUCAGUGGUGGAGCCAGAAAAAAUUUUUAAUUGGGGCAAAAGUAACACUAAAAUUUUUUUCCUCCUCUUUUAUUAGUUUUUUAAGUAAAAAAAAUAUUCACCAAUAAGUUAAAAUGAAAAAAAAAAUUGAACUUAUUUCAAAUGGAAUAUUGUGAUCCACAUAUUCUUUUAGAAUAUUAGUUCAUGAACCAAUUUAAAAGAUCAUGUAAUUCUUUCAUUUAUUACAUAAAAAAAACUUUGGAGACACAAUUAAGAUAAAAUCAAAAUUUUAUGCAUAUUGUAGGAAUUUAAGGGGAGCAGUGGGGGCUCGUGCCCCCACCUUAAAUCCGCCAGUGGUCUAGUUGUGUUUAUUUUGCCUAAUAAGUAGAAUGUACUAAUUGUUUAGAUUAUUUUCAUUUCCAUAUUUAUCAGAUUUCCAAGGUGUUGCCAAUCUUUAAAAAUCCGGCAUACCUUUGAGUUUGGAUAACACUUUUUUAAAUGUAAUAUAUACAGAGAUAAAAAAAUAAUUAAAAAAUAUAUUGAUGAUAUAAGUAAAUAAGUAUAUUAUGUAAAUAAUGUGUAAACAAGGUAUAAUCCAAACACAAAACUGUAGCAAUGCAUCUAGACUAGUGGAUGGAAGUUGAACAGUCGAUGUGCAAUAUAUUAGACUAGUGUAUGGCCUUUCUCAUCGAAUAAAAUGAACUACUAUUAUGCUAAAAAGGCGGAGACAUAUAGGCUUUUAUUCCCGUGGAAAUACAAGAGAUCUACAAGAUUGGCUCAAAAGCAAACAAAUACAUAAUAAUUGAAUAGGGGAUUUUUUUUUUUUUUUUUUUUUUUCCUGAGAGAUGGAAUAGAGGGUUACUACGUGAUUUAGUGUCAAAGCGACGACUUUCGAUAAAAGAAGAAAAGUGGAGGACAACAGCGAGUAGCUUGGGAUCACCUAGAUCAAUGAUGAAAUUAUUGGAUUCAACAAAUAUAACUACUACUAAUUAAAAGCAAACAUCACUAAUGGUAGUGUAUAAUUUUCAAACCAUAAUUGAAAAAGAAGACAGAAAGGGCCAAAACAAAAAAAAUGGUCUUAUACCGGGAAUACGAUUUUGCUGCAAUUGGUUGCUUCCACAACCUCAAAUCCUUAGCAAUUAUUUCUUCUAGUAAUUACCAAGACAUUAGUUCAAAUAUAAAACCCUGGUGUUCUCUCUUCAUUUAUUUAUUUUUCAAUAGAGAGGCAGACAGUCUAAGCUGGCAAAGCAGUGACAUAAUCUGCAGCAAGAUCCUAUUUUAAGUUACAAUUAGUACCCUCCUCUCUGUCCUCAACCUUUCGUCGCCGUCGGAACCCUAACUUGAGAACAAUAUCAAGCAUACUCAACAUGGCCGCUCUGCCAAAAUCAACGAGGGUCCUGCGCGCUUAUAGGAUUGCCAAGAACACUGCCAAGGAGGCUCGCGAGGUCUAUCGCGGUGCCAAGCAUGACAAACGCACGAACCGCACCCGGCUGCUGAGGUUUUCGAAAAUCGUGAUUGGAUCCCUGGCGGAUCUCAAGGCGGUUAUCGGUCUGAAGGCGGCCCAUGAUACUUGGAAGGUGGAGGUGGAGCUUCUGAGAAAGUACAGGCCGCAUGGCCAAAACAGGCCACCUGUAAAAUUCCUCCGGCGUAGGGCCAAGGAGGCCGGAAUCACUCUUUUGCCUAAAAAAGUUAGAAAAGUUAAGGUGGAGUGUGAGGGUUGAGGGUUUAGGGUAUAUGGGAUAGUAGGGGGGGGUAUGGGGUAGUACGGGG
rnacentral:lncRNA from 1 species